rnacentral:lncRNA from 1 species
UUUCUUAGUUGGUUUUCUUCCGGUUCUUCCCCUGCGAGGAUAAGGCAACGUGGAUCCUCCAAGAACUGGACGGGCCAAUCUGGCAUUGGAGUCAGGAUCGCCCAAGUCAUUGUAGACAUCAUAGUCAUAGAUUCUUUCAUGUUCUUUGCGCUCUCCUGUUCCAUCUCCUCUCAAAGUCUUUAAUUCUUCUUCUCUAUACUUCACCAGUGGACCUGGUGUUUCACUUGGAAGGUAUGCCUAUAUUUGUUUAUAUUUAACAGAUUGAUUUUCUCAUUGAUGGGUGAUGCCAAGAUUGGAAAAUAGAUUUAACUAGUUUACUUGGUGAGAAGUUUACCUUGUUGGCAAAGAAAAUGCGAUCAGAUUUGUACUUUUUGUCGUUGUAAACCCAUGAGUUGCAAACAAAGUGUAUGGUUCCGUGGUUAGGAAUAUCUUCAAGAGUCAAACUCACAAGGAAGAAUUCAACUUGCAUGAAAUUCUCAAUGUAAAAGGCUCCAGGAAUUCCCAUGUCACUGUCCCAUUCAAAAUGAAUAUCGAAUGCAGACUGGCCAGCUCCCAAGGUUGGUAAGGAAGUAAUAAUACCUUCCAAAUAUGUUUGUUUUCCCACCUUUCCUUUUCCAGACGCUGAACAAAAUUUUCAAGUGUCAUAUUCUCAUUUAUUCAACUUUCUGUCAAAUUCUCACAUACAAAAUAAUCACGUCCAACGUAAGUUUUACAGCAAAAAGAACUAAAAAUUUCACCAUUUUGCCACCUUUUUUAGCUUAAUCAUGAUUCUCUUCAUUUCAUCUUCUUGGUUGUUUUAUUAUUAAACUGUUUAAUAUGAUCCUUCGAUUGUCAUAUAAUUAUUUUGUACAACAUUAGAGUGGAAGUGAGUGUUCCUAUUUGGUUGGACUGAAUACAGACAGAAAUGAAUUGUAUAAUCAGUUAAACAUUUAAAUAACAAUAAAUAUAAUUUAAAAAGCAAAGAAAGCAAAGUAUAGUAAUAAGAAAAGAAGUCGGUUACCAUCAGCAGCAGUGGCACUGAUCAACCUGAGAGCCACAGAUCGUCCGAGAAAGGAAGUGAGAGUGUCAACGGUGGUGCCGAUGACACCACCCACAACACCGAUUGCGCCACCGAUGAUGCCGGUGGGACUUUGAGCAGAAGUGAGAGCAUUGAUAUCCAACACAUUCUUACGCAUCAACACCACUGUUCCCUUCAGCUUCUGCCCCCGGUUGAUGAGACCUGUCACACCUGAAAACAUCUUUAGAAAUCUUAAACAACAACAACGUUAUACACUUGGUUUUUCUCCAGUAGAGAAACUGGGUUGGGAGAAAGACGAAGAAGGUGGCUAGUAUUUAUAAGGCCAAAACAAGAUCGUCAGAAAGAAAGAGUUGUCAUUUCUUAACAGCAUGUGCCAAACAUGAUCUUCCAUACUCUUCUUCUCAUCUGCUCUAUAAAAUAUCAAUAACAUAUACUUUUUAACAUCAGAUACAUAGCACACAACACACACGUGUUACCUUUUUAUCAUAUUUAAAAUAUGUUAACAUAAAUACCAAAUAAAUAAUAAAUGAGAAUAUAUAUAUAUAUAUAUAUAUAUAUAUAUAUAUAUAUAUAUAUCCUUUAUAUAUUAGUAAUAACAUUAUAGAAACUGCAGUAGAAUAACUCUCCCAAAUAUACUAUUGUAUUUUUUCUGCAUGAAUUUCAUUAAACUGUAUAUCUAUUUAAAAGCACUACUUCUAUGAGAUUACAUAUACUUCUCUGAGAUUACAUAUCUAAUCCGAGCAGUCAAAACAUAAACAUUAAUCAUUACCGUAAGUCUCUGAUCAUAUAUAUAUAUAUAUAUAUAUAUAUAUAAUCUACAGAAAAAAUGUAAUUCAGCAUACUACAUUGAUAUGGUCUAAAGGGAGUGUUCAGAAGAUCUGUGAGAGAGUAUGGGCUGGAUUACAAUAUCAUUGGAGCAAUCAAUCUUCCAAUCUCUAGCCCAACUAUUUCUUUAAUCUAAUAUUUACUGCUAUAUUAUAUAUACAUCAUACUCUGCAAUAUAAACUGCAUGUUUAAAUUAAAAUUGAGAUCUUCAAAAUUAAUUUUAUAUUUUCUAUUUUCGUAUGAAGUUCUUUUGCCUUUAAUACCACUUGAACAACGUAUGUUAAGCAUGUGUAUGCUUCCUAUUGGGGUCUUCUUUUGUCAAUGCCUAUUUGUCUAUACGUUUCAAACUAUUAUUUUUCAAUAAUGUCAUCAAAGUAAUCAAAAUAUGUAUGUUAGAUAUGUAACAUGGGUGAAAGAAACAACAACACAACAAUAAAAAAAAAUACUAACAAUAAAAAAAUACUAAAAUAUGUAAAAAGUAAUUCUUUUAAAUUUAUCUGAGGUAUAAUAGUAAAAAAUAGUAAUAAUAAUAUUAAAAAAAAGACUAGUGUUUUUAAUAUGGAAAAACGUUUUUAAUCACAUCAUACAUUUAUGAAAACAUUAAUUGAGUAUCAUUUACUUGUAUUCUCAUUUAUUCUUAGGAUAAACUUAUUUAAAUCUUGAUUAGAUUUUUAUACAUAGAUCAUAUUGUAUUUGGUUAAGCGGAUAACCAAAACCAACAAUUAUAUAUCACUUAUGAGUCUUUUAAUUAAUUAAGAUUCACCGAUAUAAAUACAAUAAAAUAUGAGUUAUGACCAAGUCAAAUGAGCACUGUAUGAUCCUUGUAUCAAACCUUUUUAAUGGGUUUUAGGCAAAUAUGUUUCAUUGUAAUAUAAGAACAAUAUAAGAAAGUUAGAAAGAUAUAUAGUUAUGAUUGAAAUUUGUUAGAAAUUCAAAUAUGACAAGUCUUAGAGAGUGUUCGUUUGUGGAAGUUCAUUGUGUGAAUGGAUUUAUCAAAGCAAAUUUGCGGGAUUAGGAUGUAUUCGUUUUUAACAAUUUGUAAUUGAGUAAAGGAGAUGAAUUGUGAUAUGCUAUCUUACCAAAACAAAGAGAUUUGUGAGGAUAGAAUAUUUUUUUACCAUAAUAUUCCUAAUAUGUACACAUGUAAUCAAUUCCACUCAUUAUUGGAAUGAGUUCCUUUCCUCUCUACAAUUUGUUGUUCCUUUCUCACUCCUCUCUCUCUCUCUCUCUCUCUCUCUCUCUCUCUCUAUAUAUAUAUAUAUAUAUAUAUAUAUAUAUAUAUAUAUAUAUAAAAUAAUAAUAAUAAUAAUGUUGAGUACUAAUAGGAAUAUUAUAUAAUAAUAAUAAUAUUUAAUAAUAAUAAUAUUAUUAAUAUAAUAGUAAUAAUAAUAUAUUAAUUUUAAUUACAAAAAUAAAAAAUAACCUUAUAUUUUUAUUUUUUUAAUAUUUAUGAAAAAAUUUAUCCAAAGAAUUUAUAAGAUUUAUAUUUCUCUAUUUUAUUAUAACCUGAGUCUCUUCUCUAUUUUCAUUAUUUAUUAUUUCUUUUUAAUUCUAUUAUUUUAAAUAAUUUUUAUAAAAAAAAUAUUAUUAUAAAUAUUAUUUUAUAUUAAUAUUAUUAUUCUUUAUUACAUAUCUGUUAAAACAAUUCUUUUUAAUCUAUUACAUGAGUCAAAUUAUACAUCAAUUUUCCUUCUAAAUUUAUUCUCAAUCACCUUCAAGUCCAUUAAAAAAAGUAACACACAAUUUCCUCUCAAAUCUCUUUAUAUCAUUCUACUUCAUCUCCCUUAAAUCAUCUUUCUCAACUGAAUACACCUUAAGAGUUAGCAUAAAUAUUUAAAGAUUAAAAUUAAUUAAAAAUAGUUAGUAAUUGAAAACAUAAUAAAAUAAAUUUGGAUAAAGGAAGGCACAAGGACCAAUGUUUGAUGAGUUUAAUAAAUUUAAAGAUGAUCACGGUAAGCAUUGGAGUAUUGAUAAAAUCACAGGAUAUUGGAAAAGACCCUAACAAAAAUAACCUCAGUUAUUUUUAUAAAAUAUUAUGCUCUCGCUGAAUCAGAAAAGGUUAUAAAAAUAAGUUGAGUGGUGGGUGUUGCAUAAUUUAUAAUUAAACAAAAGAAAAAUACAAUCUUUAUAUUAUAAGAAAAGGUAAUUUUGUUCUAGCUGUUAAGUCGAUAUUUUUAAAUGAUCUUGAGAUCUUCAACAAUUAGACCUCGAAAAGAUAGAUCAUCUUGCAAAUUUCUCUUAGGUUUUUUUAAGUCUUUUUCUCAUCAUGGAUCCACCUAAAUCUUAAAUUAGAUCAUGAUUUUGGUUUUAAUGCUCCUCACUUUUUCCUUAGACUUUCAUUUCUGCAUUAAAAAUAAUUGAAUUUCAUGUAAGAAAAUAAAUCCUUUGAUUUUGAUGUUCUCAUUACAUGCAUAAACAAAAAAGUUAAAUAUCAUAUAAAUUACCUCUUUGUGUGAAUUUGACACUAAGAUCUUAUUGUUCUUUUGUCUCCCAUAAAUUCCUUUCCAACAUCUAUCAACAAGACAUAUAUAAAUGAAUGGUUUAAUAUUACUCUCUGUGCUUUGCAAAAAGACAUCUAGAUUUUAAUUUCCGUAUCUGCAAAUAAAAAUUUAAUUAGUCUUUGAUAUAUAUAUAUAUAUAUAUAUUUCACACUUUAAACUAACUAUUAAAUAAGCUCACAAGUUAAGCGAGUAGUUUACGUCAGAUGUAUCAAAAUCUAAUGUUGUUUCACCUGUUUCCUUAUAAGUAACUUUAAUGUAUAACUUAAUCACGGUUUGUGUUCUUCGCACUUUUCUGUAUAUGUGAUAACGAUGGAAACGCAUAUGUGAUUUUGUCUUCAUCUUUAUCUUUAUGCAGCUUGUCCUUUUAUCUUCAUCUUUGAAUAUGUUGAUUAUACUAAUGUUAGUGUAUAAUCGUCUUGUUAAUUCUUAUCCAAACAAUUAAAUAGAACGUUACAAUUAAUAAACCUACUAGUGCAAAAACGUUGUUUAAUAUCGGUUAAUUUGGACUUUUAACGUCACUUUCACAUCCGACGUCUAAACGGGUGACGUCUAUGGGACGUCAGAAUUCCUCAGAACCGACGUCCAACUCAAUGUCGGCUAUAGACAUCCACCGAGGUCUCUAUAGAUGUCUGAUUAAACACACACCGACGUCUAAUUACUCUGUAUAGACGUCAUCCUAUGAUUAAACCGACGUCAACAUGAAUAUAUAAAGAGGUUUAAAAUGACACUAACCGACGACUAUGUUGUUACCGACGUCUAACAACAAUUUUGUGUUUUAGUGCAGUUUUGAUUCAGGCUUUCGGUAACAUUGUGUAACAUUUUUCUCUCGCUAGUUUCCUCACAAAAAAGCUUGCGUCUUUUGAAUCCUCUAGUCCUUUCAACCCAAAACCGAAUUUGGGUCCAUGGCUACUUCCCAUUAAUCAACUACAACAGAAAAAAAUUACGGUGUCGAGAAGUAGACAAGGACACAGUUUCCAUUUUGGGUCGGAAGAACUAGAAAACUCAAAAGAUCGCCACUCUUCUUGUGAGGAAACCAGCAAAGGAAGAAUGUUGCACUAUGUUACCCAAAGAGAUGAUCAAAAUUGCACUAAAAUACAACACAAAGAAAGGAAAUUUUGAUCAGUUCAACGACAAGAUAAUCGAUAACAAACUAAAGAAAGUUUAAACGGGUAGUAUAAAAAAAAAAACCACAAACUUGGGAUGCAAGAGAGAAAAAGGAGAGUACGAAGACAAUGACGUUGUGAGAAACGACAACGCAAUGCAGCAAGAGAUAAACAGUAGAGGAGAAGCAGAGAAAAAGGAGAAGAGAUGAAGACGCGAUUGAAACUGAAUUUUGAGAAGAGUCUGCGGUCUAUUUAAAAUGAAAUGGGGCGUCGGUUGCUCCAGAAACCGACGUCUAGGAAGCUGAAAAGAUUGACGUUUUGGUUUCCUGUCAGGGAAGUUAACGUCGGUGCCCCUAAGAGCCGACGUCUACAACCCUCGAAUUUGGUGAAAAUAAAGGAACGUAGACGUCGGUGCCCCUUAGAACUAACGUCUACAUUGAAGAAUUUUUGUCUUCCUGCCUUCCAGACAGGCCUUAGACGUUGGCGUUUGACUACGUGACGUCUAAUUGCCUGGGGUAUUAGGUGAACAACAUUAAUUAAAGCUGAACCAGUUGACGUUUGAUUUUCUAGUGAGUGACGUAGACGUCGGUGCCCUUUCCAGCCGACGUCUAAGCUCCUGGGAUUUUCGUAUAGCAUUAAUUGCAACAUAGUAGACGUCGGUCCCCUGAAAAUGCCGACGUCAAUGGACUGUCUUAUCACAUACCUCAGGCAAUUGGACGUCAGUUUGUGGGAGGUCCGACGUCUAUGAUGUCAUAGACGUUGCCUGAUAUCGAAACUGACGUCUAGUUUUCUAAUUUAUUUACAAUAAUAUCACUGCGCAUUAGUAGACAUCGGAUUUUCACGAAACGGACGUCUAAGGGGUGACGUUAAACAACGUUUUUGCACUAGUGACCUAAAAAUGUUUUAGUCAGUUAACUGAUUGACUAAUCAUCCAAAUAUUUCACAUCUUCAAUAAUUAAGUUGAUAGAUAAAAUGCAUUUAUUAAUUAUUUGGUUAUAAUUAAGUCUAUAUUAAUUGUAAUUCUAUUUUAAAAUCUAUAAAUACGAAUCUAAAUAUCUUAAACGAUUUGGAUAAAGAACAUUAAGACUUAGAAAAACUUUGUAACUCAGAAGGUGAAAACAAUAUUAAGAGGUUUGGAGAAAAUGUGACGGAAAGUGUUUUGAUUGUUAUCUCGUUAUAUCCAAAACAACUAUAUGUGAUUGAUGAAUUUGAAUACAAAUAGUACUUUUUAAAUUUAUUUGUGGUUAUAAGAUUAAACAAUGAUUGAAAUUCAGUGCAGAAGUGUGUUUGGCGUAAUGUGCCUAAGGAUAUGCACCUAUGGAGGGUUGCUUUCAACUUUAGAUUUUGCAAAACAGGAACAGCAAAAACUACUGACAAGGCCAACCAUAUAUUUUGGAAGCAUUAGGCUUUCUAUACAAUGAACUCCUCUGCAUAAUUGUUUUGCAUUAUAUUCAUUUUUAUAUGUUAUAUCUAUCUGCUACAAAUGCUAUUUAGAUUCAUCUUGGUAUGUUAUAUACUGUCUUGUAUUUGGAUCAUUUUAUUUCUUAAACGAGAAAACAAAAGCUCAGAAAUUAUUUUAAAAGCGAUGUUCAUGUUGUAUGGAAGAGUAACUUUAAACCAUAUAUAGGGGAACUUAAGCAAUUAAUUGCAGAAAUGGAUGUAAUUUCUAAUCCGGGGUGAUAACCUACGAGUCAAUCCGACUCACUACGGGUUCGGGUCGGAUUGUGUUUGAAAAAAUUAUAUAUUUUUUUUUUAUGUGGAUCAGAUUUCAGCUCAUUCAAACCCAGCUCAUGCAGGUUGAACUAGUGGUGGGCCGAGUUGGUCCACCAACCCAUAUACCUAAUUUUAUUUUAUUAAAAUUUAAUUUUAAUUUUAUAAAAAGAUAUUUAUUAUUUUUUUGCUUGAAAAAAGAUUUUAAUUUCCUAUUUUCAAAAUUAAUUAAACACCUAUGUUGGGAGUGAAAUUUGGAAAAGAAAUUUGUUUAUAUUUGAAUUAUAAAUAGUUUGUAAUUUUUUUAUUUAAAAUAAAUUGUAAUUUAGUGAGCCAGUGAGCCAACCCGUUUACUUACCAACCCGUGGUGGGCCGGACCGGGUUCGAAGUUUUCUAGCUCGCUAAUAAGUGAGCCGAGUUGGGUUGGCUCACUAAAUGACCAACCUGUGGUGGACUGGACCGGGUCGGGCUGAGUUACCCGUUUUGACAGCUCUAAUUUCUAUCAUACAUAAAUUAAUUAAUAUAAAAAUAUUAGUAAGUAAUUUUUGUUUCUGUUGUUUUAAUUUUCUUUAACUAGUUUUAAAUUGUUUUGACUGCUUAUAAAAAUAUGGUUUAUGAACUAUGGUAUUUUUUUCUUUUCAUUUAUCUCUCAGUGUUUAUUAUAGAAUAUCGGGUUAAAUAUGUUUUUAGUCUCUAUAUUUUGGAACGAUUUUGGUUUUAGUCUCUCUUUCAAACUAAGGUACAAUUUAGUCCUUCAACUUUAGAAAACUCUGGUUUUAGUCCUUUUUACCAAUUUUUUUUAACUUUAUUUGUUGUUUCAAACGCGUUUCUCAAUUAACAUUAAAGCAAAAAUGUGUCAAACAGUGUAAACAAUCCAAAUGCUAUAAUGAAAGGUGUUUGAAACAACAAAUAAAGUUAAAAAAAUUUGAUAAAAAGGACUAAAACCAGAGUUUUCUAAAGUUAAAGGACUAAAUUGUACCUUAAUUUGAAAGAGGAACUAAAACCAAAAUCGCCACAAAGUACAGAGAUUAAAAACAUAUUUAACCCUAGAAUAUCGCAUUAUUGACAAUUUCUUCUUAUAUAUGAGUUUUGAAAAAGAAUAAAAAUAUUCAUUAAAACACUGUCGACUUUACUAUUAGUAUAUAUGGUGGAUCGACAAAUAAUUAUAGUUAUUAAGUGAUGAAUUAUAUUAUUGCUUAUAUUUUCUUUUCAAUGAAGACUUUACUUUUAUAUUAGUUUUGAAUAAAAUGCAUACAUUAUAGGAAAAAAAAAUCAGUUGUGUUUUUUUUGGAGAAGAUAUUGUAACUUGUAAUGUGGUCAUUAUUAAGAAAAAAAGCAUCCAAAAGAAUAUGAUACAUUUUAAAGAAUAAUUAUUGCAAUUUUAGUUUUUCAAAUCGCGUGAUAUGUUUUUAUUUUCUUUAAAAAACGAAAUAUAUAAAUAAUGUGAUAUGUUUUUUUUUUUAAAAAUAUUACUAUUAUUUUAAUUAUUUUAUCAAAACGAGGAGAUUUGUGUUUUAUUAACCAAAGUCAUACAAUUUUUAACCAAAACUGAAAAGGUGUGUAAAUUUUUCAAAAUUUUCAUUGAAUUAUUUUAUCUGCACGAGGAGAAUUGGUUUCAAUUAUUAUAGGUGCAGCUGUACAUCUUUUUUAUUUCGAUUCCUACAACUAAUGUAGAAAGAUGCAUGAUUUUUUUUUUUUUAAUUUUAAGAGUAUUUCACAUUAGUUAUUUUUAUAAUUGAGGCCAAAUACAACAUUAAGUUAAAAUGUAUGCAAAAGUUUUAUUUAUUUUUUUCAAAAUUCUCAUUAUUAUUUUAAUUAUUUUAUCUUUAGUUUCAAUUAUUAAAAUGAAGCUAUACAUAUUUUUUUACUUCGAUUCCUAACAACUAAUGUAGAAAGAUGCAUUAUUUUUUAUUUUUAAUUUUAAGAAUAUUUGACAUUCGUUAUUUUAUAAUUGAGACCAAAUAUUCUAUUUAUGAACGUUGUUUUGCUACCAUCUUCCAUUGUUUUUUCAUCAAACAUCACCAUGUCAUCACUAAUUUCGUAACCUUCAUUUUUGCUUCCAUUUUGAAAUCAUGAGAGAGAGAUUCACUAGAGUGUUUUUUUCUAUUAUUUUAAUUUGAAAGGUUAAUGCAACUAUCUUUUAUUCAUGUUCUUCACGUCAAAUGUAAUUUGUCAGUUUGUAAUUUGAAGAUUUGUGAGACAUUUAGUUGCAAUUUAUUUUGUAGUCUUAUGUUCAUGAAAAAUUUUAUUUUUUUGUAGAUAUAUUCUUAUUAUUUUUUGGUAUAUUUAUAUUAAAAUAUGUUUUUUAUAAUGUAUUUUUUUUAUAUUUGAUAUAUGUUACAUUAGUGUUUAGCAUAUUUAUUUGUUAUAAAAAUAUUACAUUCUUGUAUCUGAAUUUUGAUUUAUUAUGAAUGUGAUAAAUAUAAGAUGUUAUUUUUUGUGUUGGUUAUAUAAUAUUAUAUGCAGGUUUAAUACGUAAAAAGAAAAAAAAGUUAUUAAAAGAAUAUCUACACUAAAGUUUGGUUACCAUGAUUAAGCAUAAACUAGAAUUUAGUUCUAAUAUUUUUUUCAAAAUUAAAAUAUUAUUUAAUUUUAAAAGUAUCGAUUCUGAUAAAAGAAUUAAAACUAAAUAUCUUUAAAAUUAAAUAACAUUUUUAUAGAAAAAGAAUUGAAAUUUUAAUUACUGUUUGAACUGAAAUUUAAAUCUACAUUUGUUUUAUAUUUAUCAUUAUUCAUUUAUAAUUUCAUAUGAAGAAAAAUAAAAUCAAAGUAUAAUAAAAAAAUUUGAAAAAAAUCUUUUUUUUUUAUCUUAUCUCAUAUAUUUCGAUUAUAAAAUCAUAAGUUAAUAUUUAAAAUAAUCUAUGACAAAACCAUGAUUGAAAAAACACGUCGAAAAGGAUAUAUGCAUUUAAAAGAAUAAAAAAUGCGGAUCGUGGUGCGCGAGGGGAAUAAAUAAAUAAGACGAUAACGGUCUCAAUCAUAAGAUAAUAUAAUAAUAUAUGAUGUCUGAAUUGGAAAGUCAAAAACACCAUUUUCCAUGCGCCACGUAUUCAAAACUAUCAAAUCUCUAUAAAUGGAUAUAUUAUAUUUACCUAAUCUUUUAUUGCAUCAAGAUAAUAUAUUUAAUAUAAAUGCCACACGACAGACGGGUUCUCCAAACUUAAUCAUCAAAUCAAUUUUAUGUUUUCAAGAAAAUCACAGAGAAAAUAUUCAUUUAAUAAGCUAUAUAUAAAAGAUCAAUUUAUUAAAAAUAAAUAAGAAAACAAAAUUCAUUUCCUUUUGCAUUUUUGUUUUUCCACUUUUCCCACACAGCAAUGACUUAAAAACGACAUUUGAGUUUUGUCGGUGGAGAAGUUUUUGCUUAUCAGGGACCACCAAUUGCUUUUUCUGGCAGUGAUUUAUGUUUUGUAUUUAUAUCCGUCAGAAUAAAUAUAGAUUUUUUUUAAUUUCAGCAGAAAAAUAAACCAUCGUAUAAAAAAUAUUCAAAUAAUUUUAUUCAAGUUAUUAUUAUUAUAUAUUAGCCAAUAUGAAAAUACUUAUUGUAGUAAAAAUACAAAGUUAACUAUUUUCAAAUAUUUGAAAAUAUUAUAAUAUAUACUAGUUCUUGUUAUCUUGAUGGUUGUUAGAAGUAAGUAUAAAUAUUUUUAAAAGGAAGCAAAAAAAUGUUGAAGAAUCCAAUCAUAACUUCUUUUAGGGUAAGAAUGAUGGAGAAAUAGUGAGUAAUGAUUGAGACACGCCUUGUGUUUGAUUGAACACUUUUAUAUCUUUUACAUAAAUUUUCACGUGAAUAAAUUUUAUGGACGAAUUCAUCCUUUUUCUUAAUUAUAAUUUUAAAAUAAUUAUAAAAAUAAAAUAAUUUUAUUAUUUAGAAAAUAUUUCAGUAAAAUUAAAGUAUUAUGCAGAGCACAAUUACAAUUAUAAUAAAAUAAAAUCGAAAUCUUAUUUCUACGUACUAUUUUCAUUUUAUAAUAAUAAUAAUAAUACAUAUCAUUAUUAUUCUAAUUAUUUGCCACCUCAUCGAUUAUAAAUGUCGGACCCAUUACGCACAUGACUGAUAGAUUGAUUUGGAUUGGACGUUUCAGUCAAUAAUUAAGGAUCGAUGAUAUAUUAAAAAAUGAGUUACAAACUGAAUUAUUAUUUGAUAGGAAUUUUCAAUAAGAAAAUCAUCUGUUUUCUUUUUUCUUUUCAAUAGGAUAUUUUAAAUUAUAUUGAUAUCUUCAAUGUGAGAAAAAAAAUCAGCAGCAAAAUCUGUGUACAGCACAGAUGAUUUGAAAAUAAACUUUUAAAUAUAUCAUCAAAUUUAUUUCUUAAGUAUUUUAAAUUUAUAUAUCGAUUUUACUAUUAAGUAAAUAAACUUUCAAACUAAUCUAAAAAUAUACAGUUCAUAUUUGUAUAAUAAUAAAAUUUAUUAUUUAUUACUUUUAUAAAAAUAUAUGUAAAGUUAAACUUAUUUAAAUCAAUCACCAAUACUCAUUAUGGAUCAUGAAUUUUCUGAGAAAAGAUGAAACUAGAAGAAACUUUAAUAUAUUUAAAGCAUUAGUUAAUGUCUUUUGAAAUUUGAGGCACGUGCACUGUUUGUUUUGAAGAGACAUUUUUGGUACGUGUCCAUGUUGUCUUUGUCGGUAUGUUAGGAAGAAAAUUUGCACAUCUUAUCCAUAAGAAAUAAGAAAUGAGUGCAUGCUAUACUGAAAUAAAUAAAUAAAAGUAAUAGUACUUUUUGUUUCAUAUAAAACAGUCAAAUAAUACAAUACGGUACCAUAGUAUGUGUUGUAAACAUUUUUUUAAGAAGAGUUGAAACGUGGAAAUCCAAACAACACAAAAUAAAAAAUUAUAUUUUCUAUAAUACAAUCUAUUUCAUAUCUCAAAAAAAUAUUUUCUUCUGGUGAAUACCCAGAAAAAAAAUAUUAUAUUUCAGAAUUUCAAAUCUAACGUACCUGUGUGUACGUGGCAUGAAAUAAAAAAUGAACAGAAUCUUCGUUUGAUUGCUUAUUUAUUGCAAAAAAAAAAAUAAUAUUAAUUAUUAAACGAUACAAUUAUUAUAGUCACAAUAAUGUUGAAGAAAACACAGUUUGGCUUGUGUUCAUACAACUCAUUCGUAAGGUUGCUUUGGAUUCUUUUUGAUAAUCAUUCUCUCAAUAAAAAAUGUGAAUAACGAGUUUUCUUUUCUUUUUCAAUGUUUUAAUCUAUUAAUAACGAUAUAUUUACACAAUAAAAUAUUUCUACUUUCUUUUUGAUAAUCAUUCUCUCGAUAAAUUUGAUUUCUACUACAAUUUAUAAUAUAUAGAUGAAAAUAUAUCUCAUUUUAUUUAAUCAUUUUUAUGAUGAAUUAGUUUUAAAUUCGUUUUUUAUGUGUUAACUUUUUUUAAUAACCUACCUGAUCUUUAAAAGAUAAUUUAUUUUAAUUAUUAUAUUGUUUUCUUAGACAUUUGACUUAAAAGAGAAUAUAAAGUUUCAAAUGUGGAGUCCGAUAUUAAAAUAUUAAACACAAUCUAUCAUGAUCAAAGCACUCAUUUUAUAUUUAUUGUAGUUACAUUGUUUAUUAUUAAUUAACUUCAAACUCAAUAUAUAAUACUUGGUUGACGUGACUCAAAUCACAUUUCUAAAAGUAUGAAUUAUAAUGUUGACGUGUUCAAAAUAAUAAAUAAAUACAUCCACGUCUUUUCCUUGUCCAAUGGAAAAACGAAGGGUAAAUGAUUCUUUUCAAGACUUAAAAAAUAUAGGUUUAAUGUCUAGAUAAGUGCUAUUUUCGUUCAGAAUUUUAAAUAGGUUUUUUUCUUUUUCGAUGUCUCAAUUAAGUAUUUAUUCUUUGUAAAAUGAAUUAAAUAGGGUCUUUCCAUCAAAUUGAGAUGACGCCGUUAAAAAGGAUACGUUGAUAGUGUGUUUUUUAUUACGUGACAUUAGAAACGUGAUUGAAUUGUAUUAUUUUAAUUUUUGAAUUAAAAAAUGAAAUAUACAAAAUAUACUUCAUUUUUUAAUUCAAAAAUUAAAAAAAUACAAUUCAGUCACAUUUUCAAUGCCACGUAAUAAAAAACUACAGGGUCAACAUACCUUUCUUAACGGCGUCAUCUCAAUUUGACCGAAAGACUCUAUUUGAUUCAAUUUUAAGAAAUAAAGACUUAAUUGAGACGCCGAAAAAGAAAAGGGACCUAUUUGAGAUUCUAGACGAAAAUAGGGACUUAUUGAGACAUUAAACCAAAAAAUAUAUAUCAAAUGAAAUCUGAGUUUAAUCAUAUAAGGAAUUGACAUUACUUUCUAUCCAAAACCUUAAAACUUGAAACAAGUAGUCUUUAUUCUGUCUAUCUAGAUUAAUGAAUCUUUCAUUUUUAUAUAGUAUUUUUCUUUUUCAUUUUUAUCUAAUGUGAAACUUAGAUUUAAAAUUUCAACAAGAUCAUGUCAAAUUAAAUAAUUGUUUUAAGAAUAAAAGAAAAUAUCUCUCUUCAUUAUAUCAUCUAGGUUUAAUUGCUUCUUUCGUCCCCUUUUUAGAAAAAUGUCAAUUUCGUCCCCAUAUAGAAAAAAUUUGUGUCAAUCAAGUCAUCUCCGUUAAAAAUCAUUCCUUUCAAAACUCACUUUAUCUACUGCAAUAUCAGAUAUCGGACCCAUGAAGUGGUUAUUNUUCAAAACUCACUUNNNNNAAGUGAGUUUUGAANAAUAACCACUUCAUGGGUCCGAUAUCUGAUAUUGCAGUAGAUAAAGUGAGUUUUGAAAGNAAUGAUUUUUAACGGAGAUGACUUGAUUGACACAAAUUUUUUUUAUAUGAGGACGAAAUUGACAUUUUUCUAAAAAAAAGACGAAUUUGACACAGUUCAACCAACCUGAGAACAAAAGAAGCAGUUAAACCUAUCAUCUAUAUCUUUAUAACGUAGAAGACAAAUAGAACAUAUUAAAAUAGUAAUUACUUUAUCAUCCCUACCACGUGUUCGUAUGGUUUGAACAUUAAAUAUUAAAGAAAUGGUAAUAAUUUAUGCUUUUAAUUGAAAGAAAGCGAAGGUAGAAGUUGUAGCUGUCAUUAAUUAAUUGAUUAAUUAAUUAAUUAAUUAAUAUUGUCUAAUCUUCAAAAGCAAGAAUACAAAAUAUAUUAUAAUUUGCACGCUGGUCACGAGUUGAUGAAACAAUUGAAACUCCUUUCUCCUAAUUGGCUUUAACCAUGAAAAAUAACACAUUUUUGUCAUUAUAUGAAUGCAAUAAAUAGGGUUAAAGUAACACAUGUUUCAGGCAGAUUAAAGUGCUUUCAUAUCUUAUUAAAACCAUAAACUUUAUAUCACAAAGUCAGAUUUACAAUAUAUAAUGAAGUUUAGACUCAAGAAAAGAGUUGUAAUACUUAAAAGUGACGACAUACUAGAAAAUUUUAUUUAAUAUAUAAUUGAAUAUAUUAAUUAUAACAUUUUAUACUUAUUUUUAAAGAUUUAACUAAUUAUAAUUAUAGCAAUUUUUUUUAUAAUAACAAUGAUCAAUGAUGGUGAUGAUAAAUAAACAAAAAAACAUUUUUUUCAUUUAUUUUUUUAUUAAAUUAUUUGUAUUUGUAUUUUUCUUUUGAUUUAUUUCUUUCCAUUUAAACCAAUUAUUUUUCCAUUUCCCAUUUGAUAGUAUUUUAGAUUUUUAUAAUAAUAAUUUAAGUAAUCAUUUAUUUUAGUGACAAUGCAUAGUGACCAAAAUAAACCAAGAGAAAUUUUUUAGGAUUGAUUUAUGUAAUUUUUCUUAAAUAACUAAAAAAGAAUUAUAUUUUUUCUAUUGGUUAUAACUUUUACAGAUAUAUAUUUUAAGAACUAAUAAAAAAUUGUAUCCAAUUGAGGAAUUAAAAAGUAUAUUUGUCUUCAUAUAAGUAGGUAUACUUCUCCUAAAUGAAAAUUAAAAAUAAAUUAGCAUAUAUUUCUUAUAAAACCAACUUCUAUGAUUUUAAAUAUCUAAUUUUUUCUAUCACAUUCAAUAAUUUCAUAUAUUAUUUAAAAGUUGAUAUUUAAAUAUUUUUCCAUCAUCACAUAAUUACAAACUUGCAGACAAUAUCUAUAUAACAUAUUUUAAUAGAAAAAUAUUAUUUGACAAGUAAAAAAUUUUAAAUUUUUAUGAACAUUUUAUCUUAUUACUCAAUGUCAAAUGAAUUUAAAAAUAUAUUAUGAUAUCAUUACUCCUUUUAAAACUAUGAUAAUAUGUUGAAUUACGUGAUCAUGUCAUUAAACGGAGUUGGAUUCUUUAAUAAAUUAUAAAUUAACACUUUUGUGUAUUCUUAAAAUUGAAACUCUUUAAUAAUCUUUCAAUCUCUAGACAAAAUCUUUAAAGACCUAUAUAUUUCGUAUAACAUGAUUUCGUUGAUAACACUGUCAAAUUAUGUUAGCAUAUUAUUAAAUUUGUAAGCCAACACAAGUGUAAGAUGUUAACUUUAUGCAUGCAUGAGUUUUGGUUCUCGUAAAACUAAUGAACGGAAACAACUUGUACAACUUUGGUGGUAAACAUAAAGAACUAAAUAAGUGAUAUUGAAAAAACUCCUUAUUUAUUAUAUGCAAACCGAGAGCAUGCAAAUACAAAAGUGCAAACAUACAUGCUAUAGUUACACACAGGAUAGCAUAUACCUUAAUUAUUCAGAAGUACAAUGAUAAAGAGAAGGAAAACCACACAGUCUUUUUAGAUAGAGAUACUGUUGGGAAUGCCUCUGAAAGUUAACCCUUCCUCACUUGAACGAUGGAGCAAUGUGUAUGGCAGUUGAACUGGUCCAUGUCGGUUUCUCAGACUUGGAUCACUGUUCCUUGCAUUGAUUUUGCUCUCAAUUUCAGUGAGUUUGCUUCCAAACCUUUGGAAAGCUUCUAAUGCCUUGUUAUCAGUUGUCCAGUUUGGAGUAUCCCUUUGUCCAAGGUAGAUCUCAUCAGAAGCAUGCCUUGAUAAUAUCUCUAUCACUGAAAGGUCAACGAGGGUCUCGUACUUUGGUGUGAUUGUUUUCAGAUAAGCCUUUUGAUAAUCGGCCACCAUCUCAUCAUAUUCUGGAGUUCCUGGUUCAGGGAUAAACCUUCUGCUUAGAGUUGGACGGUUCAGGAUAUAGCCUCCAUAAGGAUACUGUCCAAAGUUAACAGCUGAAUGAAGAGCAGAAGCUGUCCAUAUUAUAAUAGAGCAAGAUUGUAUGAGAUCUUCAAUGCUCUUCAGUUUAGGCCACCACGGUUUAUCUUUUAGGUCUGCAUGACCCUUCUCCACAACUUCCUUCCACCAUGCUUGGAGUUCAGUAUCUUGUUGAAUUGCCACAUCUGUUGGGUAAUACAAGGACACAUACUCUUUCACCCAUGACUUUAUAGCAUCCCAAAUUUCAAGUCCAUCAACAGCAUAAGGGUAGUCCUCUAUCACAAGACGAAGGCCAUGAGGAGCAGAAGGAUCUUCAGUAGCCAACCCUCUGAAUCAAGUAACAGUAAAAUGUUAUUACAAAUUCAAUAAGCCUCUCUCCAUUUCUUCCACCAUCAAACACAAAAACUUGUUUUUGUAGUUCCAAAGCUAGAAAACUUAAUGUUUUCAUUAAUAGAUAGAUAGAUAAAAACAAUAGUUUAAAGGAAUGGUUGGCUUUUACUAUAUAUAAAAUACCUCUUGAUAAGAUCUGCUGGUAAAGCUUGGUCAGUAAAAACCCAGUUCUUGUAAACUGCUGAAGACAUCUCAAUAGAGUACUUUCCGGGCAAAAAUGAUUGCUCUAUAAUUCCACCUGCAUUAAUCAAAGAUUGCCUAGCAAGUCCAUUGAUAUUAAUGGUAUCACGAUAGUGAGGAUAGAGAAGUUUAUAAAUGGGGUGAAGCACACUGAGUUGUCUGUUUGUUGCUAUGGCAAAAGGCUCCAUCACUGCAUGAGUAUUUAACCUGCAACACCAUAAAGAAAAAGAAAAAAACUUAUCAAUAAUAAAUUCAUUUACGCAUACAUUACAUAUGUGCUAAAUAUUGCCAAAGAAGUUCUUACCAAUGACUCAUGAGCUGAUGAUAACCAGAGUCAUUCACAACUACAUGAGCCUUGGCCAAUAGCCAAAUUGUGCUGUCAACACCAUCAAUUGCAGGCAACACAACUUUGCUCACAGGACCCAAAUUAUCUCCACCUGGAUGUGGCUUGCUUAAUUCGAUAGCAAGUGGCUUCAAAGUGCCAUCAUCUUUCAAGAAGAAGAUUGUUCUGGUGGCGUAAGCUCUUGCAACAGGUAGGCUGUUUAUCCUCGUCAAAUACGGAAAGAAUGCAUCUUGAUAAUCUAAUAUGAAUAAUCUCUUUGCGCUAAGUGCCUGUGUUCCAGAGUUUAAUUUCAGUGAUCUUUCUUUCAUAACUUCAAAUUACAAAUCUAAUAUGGCUUCAAGUGCUUAUACUAAAAAGAAAUUAUAAAAGAAUAUGUAACAAAAGUUAUGCUAAGUACAAAAUUACCUCAUCUACUGUGACCCCAUCCGUGUUAAUCUCCAACUGUUCUCUUGUUAUGGUACUGGUUUGAUCACCAUAGAGAGAGGGAUCAAGAGAACUUUUUGGUGGGAAUUCCUGCCAUUAUUAAAAGAUGUCACAAAUAACAAGAGAAACACAUUAACAUCUUAACUUUGUCAUCAAAGUUGACCGUUUUAGAGACUUAAUAUCAAGAGUAUAGACAUACCUGAAGAAGACGAAAUACAUUUGGAUUGACACCAGCAAUCACUUCUCUUGCAAACUCUUCAUCUGUGUUCCAUUCAGACCUUUUAACUGCAGAAAUUAAAAAGGAAAAAGUUGAGUAACCAAGUUAAUAAUUCAAUUAAAAAAUGCUAAUAUAUUGAAGUUGUUUUGAUGAAGUACCUUGGAUAACAUGAGGCAAUGGAAAUUGAAGGACAUUUUCACCAUCACUGCGGAAGAGUUCCUUGAGGGCAGGUACAGGGCUAAUUUGGCUCAAAAAAUCUGUUGGCAGCUUAAUUCCACCCUCAUAGAGACUACGCACAUCAUCGAAGUUCUUAAACUCACUUGAUGUGAUCCUUAAGUCAAAAAUUGCAGAUUUUAACAGGGGCAACACGUCCUGAGAUAAAGAUUUUAUUCCAUACAUGAUGAAAUCUGAUGACUUCAAGUGACCAAAAUUUUCAUCUCUUGGAACAUAAAUCGCGCCUGGUUUCUCACUGUUGGGAUCUGUUAUAAACCAACCAAAUACAGCAUUAAAUCCUUGUUUUUCAAUCAUAUAUAUUAUCAAAUUUUACAACUUUUUUCACUUAUAUAGCCUAUAUAUUCACGUUGACCUCUCUACAUUGUUUGCUGCUGUGCAAAACAUUACCAAAUCUGGAAGUAUUUCUAGGAUCAUUUCAAGUUCUUUCAGUAUAGUGUAUUUAGAAAGAAAACAUGUUAAAAAUUCUUGGAUGGGUUAAACAACUUCACCAUAGUUAUACCAUUGAAACUAUAUGCUCAUAUAAUAUAUAUAUUAAUUUUAUAUCAUGAUCAAUGUCAGAAACAAAAUAAUUGAAUAUAAUUAAACAGAAAAAGUCUAACCUGUCCUGGUUCGGUCUCUACCAGUUCUAACCCUGCGAGGGUAAGGAUAGAUGAUAGAUCCUCCAAGGAUUGGGCGAGGAUCACCACCAUCUGGGUUUCCAAGGUCAUUGUACACGUCAUAGUCAUAGAUUCUAUCUUGUUCCUGGCGUUUACCAGUUCCAUCUCCUCUAAGAGUCUCCAAUUCUUCUUGUCUGUAUUUGAGAAGUGGAGCUGGUGUUGCACUUGGAAGAUAUGUCUGAAAUAUAUUCAUGAAUUAGUUUUCUGACCACUAAUAGAAUGAAAACAAAAACGAUCAGGACUUGGAAAAUAAAAUCUGGGCAUAAAAAAAAUAGAAGCUUACAUCAUUCACAAAGAAAAUACGAUCUUUCUGGUAUUUGUUGAAGUUGUAAAUCCAGGAGUUACAAACAAAGUGAAUGGUUCCAUGGUUUGGAAUGUCCUCAAGAAGAACACUGACGAGGAAAAACUCAUCAGUUGUAUAGUUUUGGAUGUAAAAUGCCCCUGGAAUUCCAAAUUUAGCAUCCCAAUCAAAGGAAACACGGAAUGCUAGCUGCUGAGCUCCCAACGUUGGAAAGGUCGGAAGAUGUUUUUCCACAAAUGCUUUGCUUCCAACUUUUCCUUUUCCACUAGCUGCAAACAAACAUACAGAUAAAAUUGAAAUAAUAAUAACAAACUAAAGAUGAGUAUUUUAGAUUACGAUUGAACAAUAAUGUUAAAAAAAGGUGAUGCUUUGCAUGAAUAUUUCACACAAAUAAUUCACGAAUACAUAGCUGUCUCUGAAAUAAACAAAAAAACUACGUUAGCCACUUGCAAGAUAUACGUAUGUCGGAAUAUAAAACCGUGAAUUAGUUCUUACAAUGAAGUUUGUCUCUCUUUCAUCUUUUUGCAUCACUGUAAAGUUAACUUCACCAUUCAAGUUUACUAAAAGAGUUUUUAACUUAUCCAAUAAAAACAUAUGAUCAAACUUAUAAUAAUAGUAUAAGUGUACGACAAUUAUUUAAUUAAACUUCAUAUUCAAUCUAAACAAUGACUCGUUGCAUUAUUGAGAUUCAGUCCAGAAACGACAAAACAAUAUAGUAUUUUAAGAGUGGCUAUAGAGCUGGAUGAGAUAUGUUCAUACAUCAGAGAUAUUAAUUAAUAAGAGUUUCAUUUAGGUACUGCAAUUUUAGUAUAAUAACAAUUAAUUAGCAACCAGUUGAAGUCUAAUCUGUGAAAUAAUUUAUGACAGAAAAUAGUGUGGCUGGUAAGAUGAGAACAAACCAUCAGCUUGAGUAGCACUGAUCAACUGCAAGGAAAUAUUUUUGCCUGCGAAGGCAGUUGCAGCAUCAACCAAACUACCAGCUACGUUAACGACAGUGCCAAGGAUAUCUUUGGUAGUUUCAAUAACACCGUCUUUACCAAUGGAAGUUAAAGCGUUGAAGUCCAACACGUUCUUGGGCAUCAACACCACAGUGCCCUUUAUCUUCUGACCAUUGUCAAAGAGGCCACCUAUGAGACGUGACAUCUUAAUUUGCUACUGUAUCAGCACUGUAUAGUGUUGUUAUUCUUUCUGCAGAGGAAGAAGGAGAGAAGAUUGAAGCUUAGUUGUGUGUUGUGAAGAGGCAAAGAAAUGCUAUUUAUAGAGAGGACGUGAGAAGAGAGAAGCAUAGCUCCAUUACAGUGAGGUUUGCAGGCUGAUUUUUCUAUGGCCACCAACUCCAUAUGCAACACGUUAUCCACAUUUCAUUGCAUAUUUUUUUUCUUCCUUCUUAUGUAUUCAAAUUUAAUAUUCUUGAUGCCAUUCAAUUGAUUUUCUUAUUACAAUCUUUUUGUUUGAGUUUUGGACGUUCCUAGCUGUCCUUUUCUUUUUAUUAUGCAAAUGAUCUAUUACAAUCAAGAGUAGAAAAAAGAAUGGUUUAUUUCAAGAAAGAAAAUCGUGUGAUCGUUAUUUAUACUUUUUUAAACUGUCCUCUGAUAUAAACAAAUAUUUUUACAAUUACAAUACUUAUUCUUUUGGGAUUGGAAGCCAUGUUGUAUAUGUGAAAAAUACUGAACUUUUAUUACUUUUUAGAUGAGAAUUCCGUAUUGAAAAAAAAGAUAAUCUUGAAAAUUAUAUUUGUUAUACAAGUAACCCAUCUAGAAUGUGUAUGGUGUUUGCUCUUAAUUAUUGCACAUGUUAGCAUAUUUAUUAUUGUAAGUGUGUUGUUUUGUGAUUUUUAUAUUAUUAGAAAAAUUUGUACACUUUGUUUUUUUUAUCUUUUGUUUGUGAUGAGUGAUUGGAAGAACAUGGUUCUUUGAGAAUAAGUCUCAACCAAAAAUUACAUAAUUGAAAGACUUGGCUCUCUACAAAGAUGGUGGUAAAGAAAGUCUCUUUUGAUUUUAGUACAAAGAACUAAUUGAAACUUCUCAACUUUAUUACUGAUAAACAUAAGAUGAACUAGAUAGGAAAUGACAGUGAAAACAAACUUAUAACAUACUCAAAUUGAACGAGAGCAGCAUACUGCAUACACACUGAGACAACGAUUUCACACAGACUUUUGUUGUUUCUUACUCAAAAGCAUAAUAUGGAUAAGGAAAACACAUCCGUUUCAGAUAGAGAUACUGUUUGGAAUUCCUCUGAAAGUCAUUCCUUCCUCACUUGAACGAAGGAGUAAGGUGUAUGGCAACUGAACUGGCCCAUGACGGCUUCUCAGACUUGGAUCAUUGUUCCUUGCUGUGAUCUUUCCUUCAAUUUCUGUCAGUUUGCUUCCAAACUUUUUGAAAGCUUCUAGUGCCUUUGAAUCAGUUGUCCAAUAUGGACUAUCUCUCUCCCCAAGAUAGAUCUCAUCAGAGGCAUGCCUUGACAAUAUCUCUAACACUGAAAUGUCAACAAGGCUCUCGAACUUAGGUGUGAUUGUGUUCAAAUACGCCUUUUGAGGAUUCUUCACCAUCUCAUCAUAUUCUUUGGUUCCUGGUUCAGGGAUAAAUCUUCUAGUCAGAGUUGGACGGUUCACGAUGUAACCUCCAUAAGGAUAUUGUCCAUAAUUAACAGCUGCAUGAAGAGCAGAAGCUGUCCAUAUGAUGAUAGAGCAAGAUUUAAUGAGAUCUUCAGUCGUAUGCAUUUUAGGCCACCAAGGCUUAUCUUUUAAGUCACCAUGACCCUUUUCCACAACUUCCUUCCACCAUGCUUGUAGUUCAGUAUCUUGUUUUAUUGCUUCAUCUGUUGGGUAAUACAAGGAGACAUAAUCUUGGACCCAUGCCUUAAUAGCAUCCCAUAUUUCAAGUCCAUCAACAGCAUAAGGGUAGUCCUUUAUCAGAAGACGAAGGCCAUGAGGAGCAGAGGGGUCUUCAACUGCUAAUCCCCUGAGUCAAGCAACAAUAUAACAUCUUAUUGACAAAUUCAACUAGCCUCACUCCGUUUCUAUUAUCAUUAAGGGAAAUUUUUUGUUUUCAUAGUUCCAUAACUGAAAUAAUUCAUGUUUCUAUUGACAAACACAUAUUUAAAAGGUGAUAAUUAAUAGUUCAUGCAAUCACAAAGUCAUCUAAUCACCCGUGACAGCAAAGCUUCUCUCUUACAUUAACAAUACGUAAAAAUUAAACCCUAUCUUGAAUUACUAAUUAGUAAAUAAAACUUCAUAUAUCUUUAUUUUAGUGAAGUAUAUUUUAUGAAUAUCACCUCUUGACAAGAUCAGCUGGUAAUGCUUGGUCAGUAAAAACCCAAUUCUUGUAAACAGUUGAGGAAAUCUCCAUAGAGUACUUUCCAGGCAAAAAUGCUUGCUCAAUAAAACCAUCUGCAUUGAUCAGGGAUUGCCUAGCAAGACCGUUGAUAUUUAUGGUAUCACGGUAGUGAGGAUAAAGAAGUUUAUAAAUGGGGUGAAGCACACUGAGAUUCCUGUUUGUUGCUAUGGCAAAUGGCUCUACCACAGCAUGAGUAUUUAACCUGUUAACCCAAGAAGAAAAAUAUCAGCAAUAAAUUCAUAUGCACAUACACUAUACAGUACACAUGGACUAAAUAUUGCAAAGGAAGUUCUCACCAAUGACUUAUGAGCUGAUGAUAGCCACAAUCAUUCACAACUACAUGAGCUUUGGCCAACAGCCAAAUUGUACUUUCAACACCUUCUGUUGCAGGCAGCACGACUUUACUCACGGCACCUAAGUUGUCUCCACCAGGAUGUGUCUUGCUUAAUUCGAUAACAAGAGGCUUUAAAGAUCCAUCAUCUUUCAAGAAUAGGAUUGUCCUUGUGGCAUAAGCUUUUGAUGUUGGUAGGUUGUUUAUCCUCGUCAAAUAAGGGAUGAAUGCAUCAUGGUGAUCUAGUAUGAAUAAUCUGUCUUUACCAAGUGCCUGUUCCAGAAAUUUUUAUUUCAGUGACUCAAUUUCUUAACUUCAAUUUACAAAUCCAAGUAGAGCAAUUAAAUAUUGACUCUUUUACAUGUUAAUCGAGUGUAUUUUGUUUUUAAUUUGCAUCAGAAGGAUUACUGAAAAGGAAAUUAUAAGAGAAUUUAGCAAAAGUCAUGCCAGAUAGAAGUCGAAUGAUGAUGUUUUUUUAUUGUGAAAAAUGCAUAUCAUUACCUCUUCUACUGUGACCCCAUCCAUGUUAAUCUCCAACUGUUCUUUUGUUAUGGUACUAGUUUGAUCACCAUAGAUUGUGGGAUCAAGUGAGCUUUUUGGUGGAAAUUCCUGCCAUUAGUAAACAAUGAUGUGAGGAAGGAUGACAGAUAUACGUAUAUAAUGAAUUUAAUAACAAAACAUUUGAACUUACUUGCAGACGACGAAUUACAUUUGGAUUUACACCAGCAAUGGUCUCUCUUGCAAAUUCUUCAUCAGUCAUCCAUGCUGACUUGCUAACUGUCCAAAGCAUAAAAUAUGUACUUGUCAAAUUAUCAAUUCAACAAACGCUAACAUGAUUAAGUUGUUUUGAUCAAGAUGUAUAAUCGAAGGUACCUCUGAUUACAUGAGGUGGUGGAAAUUGAAGGACAUUUUCACCGUCAGUACGGAAGAUUUCCUUGAGGGCUGGUAAGGGACUGAUUUGGCUGAGUAUAUCUGUUGGCAGCUUAAGUCCACCCUCAUAGAGACUACGCACAUCAUCGAAGCUAUCAAACUCACUUGAUGUAACCCUCAAGUCAAAAAUUGCAGAUUUUAACAAAGGAAACACAUUCUGAGAUAGGGAUUUGAGUCCAUAUAUAAGAAAAUCCGAUGACUUCAAGUGACCGAAAUUCUCAUCUCUUGGGACAUAAAUCUCACCCGGUUUCUCACUGUUGGGGUCUGUUACAAAAUAACCCAGAGUGAAAGAAUUAUCAACAAACGCAUAAAUUUGUAUACCAAGAUCAACAUAAUAAUAAAGUUUACAUCUUUAUCCACCAAUGAAACCAUAUAUGCCCUUGUGUUUAGUUUCACUAUAAAGAAAAAUCUUACCUUUUUUGGUCUUGUCUCUACCAGAUCUAACCCUGCGAGGGUAUGGAUAGUUGCUAGAGCCUCCAAGGAUUGGGCGAGGCUCACCACCAUCUGGGUUUCCAAUGUCAUUAUACACGUCAUAGUCAUAGAUUCUAUCUUCUUCCUUGCGUUUUCCAGUUCCAUCUCCUCUAAGAGUCUCCAAUUCUUCUUGUCUGUACUUCAGCAAUGGAGCUGGUGUUGCACUUGGAACAUAUGUCUGUCAUAUAUUUCACCAAUUUUGUCAUUCAAAGAAUUACAAACAAAACCCAUUUGUCUUUGUUUGAAAAAUUAGUUGGGUGAACUUUUGUACACAUUAGAAAAGCAGAACUUACAUUGUUGACAAAGAAAAUACGAUCUUUUUUGUAUUUUUUGAAGUUAUAAACCCAGGAGUUACAGACAAAGUGAAUGCUUCCAUGGUUUGGAAUGUCUUCAAGAGUCACACUAACAAGGAAAAACUCAUCAGUCUUGAAGUUUUUUAUGUAAAAUGCUCCUGGAAUUCCAAAGUCGGAAUCCCAUUCAAAAUAAAUACUGAAUGCCUCUUGUCUUGCUCCCAAAGUGGGUAGUGUUGGAAGAUGACUGUUCAGAUAUGUUUCCUCUCCAACUUUCCCUUUCCCACCUACAUAGUUAAACUCCAUAAAUAGUUAAAAAAACAAGGGCACGUCACCCAACAAUAAUUUCAAAUGCUAUAUAUGUAUUUUUUUAAAUAUAAAUAUAUAUUCAAUUUAUAAUAUGUUUAUACAAUAUAAAUACAAAAAAAAAAUAUUAUCUUAUAUCUAUUUACGUGUAAAUGUAAAUAAUUAAAGAAUUUUUUUUGAAUAAUGAUUUAUGAAAUGUACUAUUGUCACAAAUAAAUAAUUUUAUAUGUACAAAGAAUAUUAUUAAAUGUUAAUUAAAUAUUGAAUAAGAUUAAAAUUAAUAAUCUUAUUAUUCUCAAAAUUAUUACAACCAUAAUAUUAUAUAGAUUUUUCUUUCAUAACUUUUUUAUUUUACUUUUCCUCUUUUGUCCUGUUUUUAUGCAGUGAGGUAAUUAUUUGACUUAUAUUUAUUACAUUAGUUAUUUUCUAUAAUUACACCUGUUUGAUGGUAGUUCUGUUUUAUUGUGUUAAUAAUAAUUUGAAGAAAUGAAAAGAGAUUGAACGAACCAUGAGUCUGAGUAGCACUGAUCAACUGCAUGGAAACGUUACGCCCUAAGAAGGCGGUGGCAGCGUCGAUUACUCCGCCGGCUACAUUGGCGACGCCGCCCAAGAUACCGCCGACGGCGCCAACAGCGCCGCCGACAACGCCGCCAAUACUGUUAGGAACGGAGACGGAGGAGAUGGCGUUGAAGUCCAAGACAUUCUUGGGCAUCAACACCACAGUCCCCUUUAUCUUCUGUGUCCUUUUGCCGAUCCCAAACAUUUUUCCUCCUUCUGUUUACACACACUCAACACUAUUGUUCUUAUCCUUUUCAGAAGAAGAAGAAGAAGCUUGUGUGGUGAAACACUGCAUAGAAGGUACUUAUAGUGGCAGAAUUCAUGGCAUACCUACCUGCAUAUCUAACACGUGCUAUAUAACAUUGCAUAAUGAUGUUCCAGUCCAAUCAAACUCCACAAAUUUCAACAUUGAGUAAGAAAAAAUGAUUCAAAAGUUUAUAUAUAUACAAAUACCUCUAAUAAAAAAAAUAUUUUGAAUAACUAUAAAAAACAUAAAUAUCUCCAAUAAAAAAAGGUUAAAUAUCUUUUUUUUCCCAUUGGUUAAGAAUAUUCAAAUUGGUCCUCAUUUUAUUUUUCUGUUCACUAUAGUCCUAAAGAACGUAAUAUUAUGUUCAAUUUAGUCAUUUUUAUGUUCCAUGUAGUCCUAAAGAACGUAAUUUGUGUUCAAUUUAGUCCUUGUUUGUAGUUCACGGAAUUUGUAAAAAGGAUUAAAUUGAACACAAAUUACAUUCUUUAGGACUACAUUGAACAGAAAAAAGACUAAAUUGAACAUAAUUACGUUUUUUAGGACUAUAUUGAACAGAAAAAUAAAAUGGAGACCAUUUUGAAUAUUUGUAACCAAAACUAGGACCAAAAAAUGUAUUUUACCUAAAAAAAAAGUAUCUUGAAUAAGUAUAAAAAACAAAUCAGUAAAAACUUAAUCCAAAAUGGAUAAUAUUUUUUGAUGUAUAGAGAUCUAUGUGUGUCCAACCUACCUACAAUGACGAUAGAACAAUCAUUUACAUUCAUUUUACAUAUUAUAAAAUAAUUUAAAAAAGUAAACUUUUUGUAAUUUUUUUUAAAUAAAAAAUAAAAAGUAAGAAAACAUUAUACUAUCAUUUCUCUUCAUUGUUUUGUCAAUUUCUUAGGAUCAACAUUAUCCACUCAUAUCUCUUCUGUGUUCUGGUUUGUUAUAUUAAUUAGUGGUCGUAAAAAUUAUUUCAAAUAUUUCAUAAUACAGAGAAUUUUUGUAAUACAGGCAGAUUUUUUUCUUAAUAUUUCAUAAUUUAUUUAUAUUAGCCAUAGAAUGGUCCAGUUCUACUUUUCAUGCUUUUGUUUUUAUAUCAUUGGACCACCUGCGUAUGCUUAUUCGUUCGCCUUGUGGAUGAGAUAUGCAUUAAAUCUAUUAAUGAUUGAUUUUAUAUCAUUGCCUUUUCUCUUCUAUCUUUCUAAGAUUUAGGAGUUAAUUUUUAUCAUCUUAUUGAUCAAGGUAUUAGUGAGACUACGACAAAGUGAAAAUGAAUUCUGACUCUUAAAAAAAUUCAAUUAAACUAAGAUUUUAUUUUCCCUCUACUUAAAAAAAAUUGAUAAACUACAUUUGUAUGUGAAAGUAAAAUAAAUUUGUACAUUAAAGUUUAAUGUUUCAAUAGGAAAUUUAACAUUGUGGGGUUUUGAUUGAGAUCGAAGACAUACAUUCCUUUUGAAAUUCUUCUUGGAACUUGAAAUAAUAGAGUGAGAAUCAUCAAAUUGAUUUAUGUUAGUUAUAAUAUAGAGUAUAUGUAAUAUAUUUGUUCUUUUAUACAUUUGAAAUUGGGUUGGACAAUUAUAUUUAUUUUUGUUCCAUCGAUUUAUGUUUAGAUUAUGAUUAGAUAUUGUUGAAUUUAUAUAUUGGGUUUUGAAUGGUAAUUUUGAGCUGAAAUGAUUCAAAUAUAAAAUUGAUGUAAUAAAUAGGUUGGUGUGUUUUGAUUAAGAGUGUCAAAUGGAUUGAUUUACCAAUGCACUAAAAGUAAAUUAGUUUAAGUCAACAAUUUUAUAAUAUGACUUAAUUCUCAUAAAUUGAUUAAUGAAUUUACUCACUUAAAAAUAUUUUAUAUAUUUUUAAUUUAUUUUAUAUAUAUAUAUAUAUGCUAGAAAUAGGAUCGUCCAAUUCUCCUUUUUCGUGGCUUGUUUUCAUAUCAUUGGACUAUAUAUAGGAGAUGCAAUAAAUCACUGAAUAAUUGGUUUGAAAUUUUUUUGAAGGGUUCAGAAUUUAUUUUUAUAUUUAAAAUUGAAAAAAAAAAUAUCAUUCGUAGCUUCUUAAUAUCUCCAUAAAUUAAUAUUAUUAAUUCUCUCAAAAGAUACAGGAAUUUAAUUAGGGGAACGUGGAAUUAUGGACUUACGGGUGUCAAUUCGUUAAUAUAUCGUAAAUCUUAACUCAUUUAAAUAAGUCUCUUUUGAGGAUUUUAAGCAACGGGAUAAAGAAAACUUUCAAGUUUAGAAAGUCUCUCUUUCAAAUAGAUUAUGGUUAGGACUAAAAUAUGUUUGGUGCAAUGAAAAAUUUAAUUAAAUACGCCAGUUGCAAUUUGUUGGAAUUUGAACCAUGUUUCCAAGACUAAUGCCGGGUGGUUUAGAUUGAAAAUUUAGAUGAGUGGAUUUAGUUUUGAGGUUUAUAUGAGUUGAUCGAGUUUGAAGGUUAUGGACUAGUUAAGGUUAAUUCAAAUCAAAAGUUAAAAUAAACUAGUUUGGGUGGUUGAUUGAACCAAGUUAAUAAUCGAGAUGGGUCAAUCAAGUUGAAGGUUGUGAUGAGUCAAUCUAGAUUGAAGGUUGAGACGAACUGACAUGUAUUGGAAGUCAAGACACACUAUGAUCGCUUGACAACAACUAAAAUUUUAUCAAAUUCAACAAAUUUGGUUGAACUUGGCCCAAUCUUCCUUGACCAAAAUUUGACCAUAUUUGACAAAGUCGAGCCAAGCUGAAAUUUGUCUAAAUUUGACUUAUUUAGACCUUGUUGAAAUACACCCAAAUUUAAUAGUAUUGACUUGGUCAAAAUUUGGCCGAAUUCGACCAAGACGAUUAUGACCAAAAUUUAGUUGAAUUCGGUCGAGUUGGUCCAAGCCAAAAUUAGGUCAAAAUUGAUCGAGAUUACCUAGGUUGACAUUUUUUUGAAUUUUAUAUAAUUGACCAUGAUCGUAAUUUGGCUAAAUUCGACUAAGUCGUCCCGAUCGAAAUUUCGUCAUGUUAACCUUAGCAUAAUUUUGUCCGAAUUUGACUCAAUCAGUUUUGUUCGAAUUCUAUGGAAUCAACCACAACUAAAUUUUGGUCGAAUUCAACUGAGUCAACCAUAAUUGGGAUAAGGUCAAGUCGGUAACAAUAAAUAGCGAAUUCCAACCACAUAUGGUCAUUUACAAAAACGAAGCUGAUGACACUAAAGAAAAACUUAAACAAAGACGAUCAGAUUCGUUUAAAGUAUUCAAAAAAAGGGGUGGAAAGCAGAUAGAAGGUGCGAUGCAAGAGUCUGCAAAAUCAAAUAUGAGUAAAAGUGGGUGUAUGGAUGGGUGGAGUUAAUUAUAAGAGAGAAAAAGUUUUUUACCCUUAUCAGAAAGGUACUUUUCUUAAUUUAGAAUUUGGAGGUGUAGAAAGAAAAGUUGAAGGUACAAGGAGAAGCAUCCGUGGAGAGAUAGCAUGUAAUCUGUAACCCAACUUUAGAAAACUAAAUUGAAAAACGGAUAGCCCAAAAGAAAAACGGGCUUAACGAGAGUGUUAUCAUUAUAUAUUAUUAUUAUUUUAAUAUGAAUUUCUUAAACAUAUUUAGUCAAUUUUUUAUUUAGUUAUAAAUUAGCAUUUUAGUUUGUGCAAGGAAGAUAAAUGUUUUAUCAUAUAUAACAAAAAGUACGAUAUAUAUAUAUAUAUAUAUAUAUAUAUAUAUAUAUAUAUAUAUAUAUAUCCAUCAAAUAUCUUACUUAAACAAGUUUUAUAUUUUAUAUUGCUUUAACAUCAUUUCAAGAAAUAAAUUUAUGUUUAACUAUUGAGAGACGAUAAGGACAUUUGUGAAAUGUUGUUGGUCAUUAGUAUACUUUUCAGAACUAGAAGACUUGUUGCAUCGAUUUAUCUGUUUUAUAUACACAAUGAUUGCACCAAAUCUAUCACAUUAUUUUCUGAUUAAUGUUUAAAACAAAAAACACUGUUAUUUUCUUGGUCAAUCAAAGCACACAGUUCCAAACAGAGAAUUACAAGCAUAAUAAAAAACACAACAGCAUGAUCAUUUGUGUUAUGACAAAGUGGAUACAUAAUCAUGGUAUUCAACCACACGUUGUCUAGAUAGAGAUACUGUUAGGGAUUCCUCUGAAAGUCAACCCUUCCUCGCUUGAAGGAAUGAGCAAUGUGUAUGGAAGUUCAACUGGUCCACAUCGGUUUUUCAAGGCUGAAUCGGUGUUCCUUGCUGUGAUUUUUGCUUCAAUCUCUGUCAACUUGCUUCCAAACCUUUUGAACGCUUCCAAUGCCUUAGAAUCAGAUGUCCAAUUUGGAUGAUCUCUCUUGCCAAGGUAGAUCUCAUCAGAAGCAUGCCUUGACAGUAUUUCUAUCACUGUCAGAUCAAUAAUGGCCUCACGCUUAGGUGUAAUUGUUCUCAAAUAUGCAGUGUGAGGACUCUUCAGCAUCUCAUCAUAUUCUUUGGUUCCUGGCUCAGGGAUGAAUCUUCUGCUUAAAGUUGGACGGUUCAGGAUAAAACCUCCAUAAGGAUAUUGUCCAAAAUUAACAGCUGCAUGAAGAGCUGAAGCAGUCCAAAUGAUAGUAGAACUUGAUUGAAUAAGCUCUUGACGAGUCUUCAUUUUAGGCCACCAUUGUUUAUCUUUUAAGUCUGCAUGACCCUUCUCUACAGCUUCCUUCCACCAUGCUUGAAGUUCAGUAUCUUGUUGAACUGCCACAUCUGUAGGGUAAUACAAGGACACAUACUCUUCAACCCAUAUCUUAAUAGCAUCCCAUAUUUCAAGUCCAUCAACAGCAUAAGGGUAGUCCUUUAUCACAAGACGAAGGCCAUGAGGAGCAGAAGGAUCUUCAGUAGCCAAUCCUCUACAUCAAGCAAAAAGAAAAAAAAUGUUACUACCCUCUCAGUUUUUGCCAUAAUUAAAAGGGCACAUUUUGUUUUUUAGUCCCAGUUCAUUUUUCUAUCAUUAACCAUAUUAUUAUAGUUUAGUUUAUGCAGUAAUGUGUAUUUAAGAAGAAUACCUCUUGAUGAGAUCGGCUGGCAAUGAUUGUUCAGUGAAAACCCAAUUCUUGUAAACGGCUGAAGACAUCUCCAUAGAAUACUUUCCAGGCAAAAAUGAUUGUUCUAUAAUGCCAUUUGCAUUAAUCAGGUUUUGUCUAGCAAGUGCAUUGAUAUUAAUGGUAUCACGAUAGUGAGGAUAAAGAAGCUUAUAAAUGGGGUGAAUCACACUGAGAUUCCUGUUUGUUGCUAUUGCAAAUGGCUCCAUCACUGCAUGAGUAUUUAACCUGCAACACCAAAAAGGAAGAAAAAGAAAAAAACUUAUCAAUAAUAAAUUCAUAUACGCAUAAACUAUAUAUGUGCUAAAUAUUGCUGAAGAAGUUCUUACCAAUGACUCAUGAGCUGAUGAUAACCAGAGUCAUUUACAAUUACAUAAGCCUUGGCCAACAGCCAAAUUGUGCUGUCAACACCAUCAAUCGCAGGUAACACAACUUUGCUCACAGGACCCAAAUUAUCUCCACUUGGAUGUGGCUUGCUUAAUUCGAUAGCAAGUGGCUUCAAAGUGCCAUCAUCUUUCAAGAAUAGGAUCGUUCUUGUGGCAUAAGCUUUUGCAGUAGGUAAACUGUUUAUCCUCGUCAAAUAAGGAAUGAAUGCAUCUUGGUAAUCUAAUAUGAACAAUCUCUUAGCAGCAAGUGCCUGUGUUUCACAGAAUUUAAUUUCAAUGAUCACUUAGAAUCACAAGGAAUAGUUGUUUUAUAAUUCCAAAUUAAACUAAGUAAAGAAUAUAAAAACCUAGUUGUUUUAUAUUUCUAACAUAUUAAAUAGAUUCAAAUUGUUCUGUCAGCUGAUGUACCUAUCAGUUUCCACUUGACCAAUAUUAUAUGUUCCUCGAAAAGUAAGUAGUUGUUGGAAAUAAUGCAGUGGUCAUUAUUAUAUAUGGCUAUAGGUAAUAAGUAUUAUCAUAUGGAGCUAUGACACAUGUGUGUGUGUAUAUAUAUAUAUCAUUACCUCUUCCACUGUGACCCCACCCAUGUUAAUCUCCAACUUUUCUUUUGUUACAGUACUAGUUUGAUCGCCAUAGAGAGUGGGAUCUAGCUGGCUUUUUGGAGGGAACUCCUGCAAUUUUUAAAAUGAAGAAAUUGUCUAUUAACAAGAUAGUGGGGCAAUAAAGCACCUAACAUUCACUGAUUAACAUUGGAAAAAUUUACACUUACUUGAAGACAACGAAUGACAUUUGGGUUUACACCAGCAAUCAUUUCCCUUGCAAAUUCCUCGUCAGUCAUCCAUGCAGAUUUAUUCACUGCUCAAAUCAUAGAUUAUAGAAUUCAUUAACCUUUGUUUAGGUAAUUUGGAUUAAUUAUAUAUGUGAUUAAUUAUGUUUUGAUGAAAGUUUGGAAAAUACUAAAUUGUGUUGAUUAGGAUGUUGAAUUAAGGUACCUCUGAUAACAUGAGGUGGUGGAAGCUGAAGGACAUUUUCACCAUCAGAUCGGAAAAGUUCCUUGAAGACUGGUAAGGGACUAAUGUCACUAAGUACACCUGUUGGUAGCUUAAUUCCACCUUCAUACAAAUCACGCACUUCUUGAAAGCUAUCAAACUCGUUCCAUGUGAAAUCUAAGUCUACAACGUUUUCGAGUGAAGGUAAGAGUGAUUGAGACAAGGAUUUUAAACUAUAUGAGAGGAAAUCUGAGGACUUCAGAUGACCGAAUUUUUCAUCUCUUGGUAUGUAGAACUCUGCUGCAAGUUUCUCACUUUUAGGAUCUGUCAGAGAAUCGAACAGCAGAAAUAUCAGAAAACAUUCACAACACUCAAAGAUUGCAUGCCCAAAAGAGCAAACAUUCUUAAUUUAUAAAAAUAUAAUAAUGAUAUCUAUAUUUUCUUUCUUCCUUGUGAUUUUGCUUUUUUACCAUUUCUCCUUAUGAAUCAAAUCAAAUAAGGUAUGCCUCAUUGCUCAUAUUCAUAUAAAGUCAACUUUUCUCUCUUAUCCCUUAUCUCUUCUCUUAUAAACUAAACAAACAAAUCUCUUCCUCAUUCCUGCUCUUUUCCAACUAGAAUAUUGUUUUCUCUUUCUCUCUUCUCACCAAGCACAUUGUUUUCUACUGAAAAGUAUCAUUGUUAUCCUUUUAUUCGUUAAAGAACCACUGUUAUUUUAUCUAUAUAAAAAUUCCCACCAAAUACUUGGUCCCAUGUGAGUUUCCUUAUUAAAAGUGAAAACAUGAUAAAAGAAAAGCCAAAAAAUCUCACCUUUCUUGGUGGGUUUUCUACCAGUUCUAACCCUACGAGGGUAGGGAUGGGUGCUGGAGCCUCCAAGCACAGGACGAGCAAGACUUUUAUCACUAUCUGGGUUGCCCAAAUCAUUGUACACAUCAUAGUCAUAUAUCCUUUCCCAUUCCUUGCGUUCUCCCGUUCCAUCUCCUCUUAAAACCUCCAACUCUUCUUUCCUGUACUUAACUAGUGGAGCUGGUGUUGCACUUGUAACAUAUGUCUGCAACAUUUUUCAUGAAUCGUUUCAAAAAUGACUGCAAAAUAUUGAGCUUAAUCUUGCAAAAGUAUUACUAUCAAAACAUUCAAAACAACUGGGUAGCUUUUUUGGCAAAGAAAAUACGAUCUUUUUUGUAGCUUUUGGAUAUUCAGACUUACAUUGUUGGCAAAGAAAAUACGAUCCUUUUUGUAGCUUUUGAAGUUGUAGAUCCACGAGUUGCAGACAAACUGAAUGCUUCCGUGAUUCGGAAUGUCAUCAAGAGUGACACUGACGAGGAAGAACUCAUCAUACAUAAAGUUUCUGAUGUAAAACGCUCCCGGAAUUCCAAAAUUAGCAUCCCAUUCAAAAUUAACAGCGAAUGCAUCUCGUCUAUCCCCAAACGUUGGUAACGUUGGAAGAUGCUUCUCUAGAUACGUUUCCUUGCCAACUUUACCGUUUCCACUUGCUACAAAUAAAACCAAAAACAUCAGUUUCUUUAUCCAACAGGAAUCUUAAAAAAAUCAUAGUUGCAUAAAUAUUUAUAUAAAGCAUUGAAAGAAGUGAAAAAAAUGAAGAAAGUAUCACGGCAACUUGUUUAUAUAUGGACAAAAAGUCCCAUUUAUUUAAGCAAAAAAUGGAAGAAAAAAAGGUAGAAGAACAAACCAUCAGUGGAGGUAGCACUGAUCAACUUGAAGGAGACAUUACGGGAUAAGAUGGCAGUUGCAGAAUCAACUACUUGUCCUGCUACGUCGCUCACGGCGCCGAAUAUACCAGAGACAAAACCACCAAGACCUCCGUUCUGCACUGCGUUUAAGUCGUUAGCAUCCAACACAUUCUUCGGCAUCAACACCACAGUGCCCUUUAUCUUCUGGCUUUUGUCGAACAGACCAAACAUCUUUGCAAGUUCUUGUCGAUGAUGAGUUUUAUCGUAGGUUGUGAAUUAUAAGGAAGCAAAGUGAGUUAUUUAUAGAUGGAAAGAGAUGAAACCUUGAAAAAUUCUUUUACUGUCAAGUUGCCAACUUUGAUUGAUUAUUAUAUGUAUGGCUGCUAACUCCAUGAGCGAUAUACUUAUCAACUCGUUCUUAAUGUGUUUUUUAUUAUAUCAUAUAUUGAUAUUAUCCAUGUUAUUAAAUUGUCUAAUCUCAUUUAACGUUUCUUAUUGUGUCUUUCUGCACUCAAAUGAUUCAUCUGAGGUCACAAAAAUCUUAAAACUAUAAAUCAAUGUGGCAGUCAAUUAUAUCUUUUAUUUGAUAGAAUGAAAAUAUAAUUUUAAAACAGUUCUAUUUGGAUAAAAAAUAUCCAUACAGCAGAAAGAAAUUAUAAUACUCUGUAUAGAGAUUGCUUUCCAACACAAAAUCUGAAGUGAAAAACCUUGAAAUUAGAGGUACGGGAAGCACUAUACUGUAUAUAUUAAUCACCUACGUACGCUGCUUAAUUGUUUAAUCUGGACAAAGUCACAACAGUAUAAUAUUGUGUUUUGUAUAUACAGCCAUUAAUUAUUUUAUAAAAUGCUUCUAACAGGGUGUUUUAAAUUGUCAAUUACGUUAACAAUUUAUUAAAUUAUAGAGUGUCUUUCUUAAUUGUCACGGAAAUUGUUUGUAAUUGAAUCUAUAUUAAACUUUUGAACUAUUUUUUUAAUAUAUAUUGUUAUAUAUAAUGAGUAAAAAAUUCAGCUUUUAUAGCUAAUUGUGACGAAGUAUUAACUAUAAUCAUAGCAGAAAAUUUCUAGACACUUAUUUUGAUUUUAAAAAAUUACUAGUUCCAUGAUUAAAUUAGAAUAAUUAAUUCUACCGAUUUAAAUAAUAAAUUAGCUAUACCUUUUCAUAUGCAAGACCUAUAAUUCAAAUACAUAUUAACGUGUAUUAGUAUUUGGUGUCCCAUGCAUGAAUAUCUAUUGUUAUUGUAUCUUGUAAGUCGAUUAUAUUGUUUGCUUUUGAACAGUUACAUUCUUAUUUGAACUUUAACUUAGUUAUCAAAGGAGGGAAGUGAACGUAGGUUUAUAAGUAACAAUAACUAACAUUUAUCAAUAAAAAAACAAAACAAUUUCUAAAAUGAUAUUUAAGUAAGGAUAAUGAUAUUUAGACAACAUUUUUUUGACAACAUUUAAACAUUGAUUACGUGUCAAUCGAUCAAAAAUUACUCUACAAUUAAUAAUAAUAAUCAUAAACAUUACUUUGGUGUAAUUUUUAACCAAUCACAUAUUGACACGUAAUCAAUGUUUAAAUGUUGUCAAAAAAAUGUUGUCUAAAUAUCAUUAUCCAGUAAGUAAUUGUAAUUCAAGUGGAUGACACUCUUUUAUUAAAAGAGUUACAAUAACAAGUACUCUAUAAUUAUAUUUAUUAUUUUUUCUGAUAAAAAUAACAUAUUUAUGUGUAUUAGUAACUUAAGAUAAAUAAUAAUAAAAAUUUUAUUUCACUGAUAUCUAAAUUACCAUUUUAUUAAUAAACCAUACUAACUUUUUAAAAAAUAGUUAAAAAAAUGUUAAAGUAUAUUUAAAUAAUUUAGCUGUUUAUAGAGUCGACUUAAUCAUUCUAAACUAUGUUAAUAAAUUUUAAUUUUUAAUAAAUAUAUAUAUAUAUAUAUAUAUAUAUAUAUAUAUUUAUAUUAAUGUCACAUUAAUAGAGUUUGAUUAAAUGUUGAGCACUAAUAAAAUUAGUAUGGUUAACUUUUUUUUUUCAAGAAAGAAUAUAAACACAUGGUUUAUAAUUCAUAAAAUAAAACGCUAUAAAAUUUAUCUAUUUCAAUUUAUAUAUAUAUAUAUAUAUAAUAUUAAUACAAUUAUUUAAAAGAAUAAUUAUAUAAUUAUAAAUAUAUUUAAAAUUACUACAAAUAAUUAUUAAAAGACCAAGAAGAUAAUUCUCUUGUAUCAUUACUAGAGAUGCUUCAACAUUUAUUUUUCAUUAUCUCACACCAAUAAGGUGAUCAUUGCAAAAGAAACAAACACAAACACAUGAAAACAACAAAGAAAUAAGUAAGCUAAUAUAGAAAGAGUUUUUAUAAAUAAUUAAAUCAUAUAGAUACACACAAAGUAUAAGCUAGUUAAGAUAGAAAAAGAAAAUAUAAAUAGCAUAACACACUAAAUAACAUGUUAAACUUCAUCGCAUCGCUUUCACACAUUCAUACAUGAAACCAAAUCAAACGUAUUCAAAUACGUUUCAUUGAGUCAGACUAGUGAAACCAUGCAUUUGUGGUGACAAAAAAAAUAUUGCUCUACCGAACUGACACACACAUGAUUAGUCUUAUUCACAGUCAUAAAAACCCUAAGGCCGCCAUCCUUAUGACAAGACCUCUGGCCACUCUCACCACCUAAUCAUCCUCCUUUACAUGAGUAUGAAUGAUUAGUAGAGUUCAAGAUGACUACAUAAAAAUCAAUCGUCCUUACCUCAAUUCACACCCAAGUAAAACACAUUCAACAAGAUUCCUCCCUAAAAAUUCCCUACAAUUAAUCCAUUCAUACUAAUAUUUCACUUUAAAAAACAAAAUACAACAUUUACCACACAUUAAACAUAUCAUAAGAGACAUGAAAAUUUAGUUAAAACUUUGAUAUUUUCGCUCAACUAGAAUAUCUACUCGAUUAAUAAAUAGUGCUUGAUAGCACACUCGCCCAACAACUAGAUAGCUCUCCCAGCGAGAAUAUAUUAUCAGAGUAGUAUAGGGGGGGUGAAUUGGUUUCUUAUCGCAAAUAGUACCUUUAAUAAUUUUCUCGUCAAAUAUAAAUUCUUUAACAAAAAUUUAAACAAAUUAAAGAGUAAGGAAGAAAGAAAAUUGUAUAGGUGAUUUUUAUACUGGUUCGAAUCACACAUAUCCUACGUCGAGUUGUUAAUCUCAAACGAGAAUUAAUGCUUCGCUAUCACAAACCAACAAACUAUUACAAUCACAAAUAAAAUAGCACAAUUUAAGGUUAGAACACUUCUCUUGUUACCACAAGAGAUGAAACUCACUUUUCCUGAAACUCACUUUUCCUGAAACCCACAAGGGAUGAACACCUCCUUUGAAUGCUUCACGAAGGAUGAACACCUUUUUUGAAUCUUCAUUAAGGAUGAGAAACUUUAACUCUGCAACAACAACAACCCGUGAAAGCUCUUGCUUUAUGCCAACACCAAGUUCUCAAAGCCACAAGCACAUGGGUUACACAAAUCCUAUAACACUUAUCACAUCACACAACAUAUAAGAAUUUCGAAUAAAAGUAUUUCGUAUUUUAGAAUGAGAAUCCCAAUCCAAUUUAUAAAAAUCUCACUCAAGGAUACCUCCAAAAAUCCAUUAUCAGGUAAUUAACGUGUGAUAAUCGAUUAUCCACUUAUAUGAUAAUAGAUUAUGCAUUUAAUGAAUGCACAACGAUAAAAAACUUGGUUAAAAAUUCUCAUAAUUGCUCGUGAUAAUAAAUUAUGGCAAGUCAUAAUUAAUGAUAAUAGAUUAUCUUGAGUAUAAAAUGAGGUUUUCUUAUUCAAAACGAAUUUUAACGCAACCUAAGGAAAACAAUACAUAGAAUUAAAGAUAAACUACAUCCUAUACAUAAAUCUACUAAAUUACAAAAGCUUUAACAUAAGACAAGUCUUCAUGAAGAUCUUCUUGCAACAAGAGUACUUGAGACUUGACUUUGAGGCAUCGCCAAAACUUUUUCUCUUAAGCUUUAUGCUAACAUAUAUCACUGGAACUUAUAGACUUAAAUUCUCGCAAAAGUCGCUCAACGAGUAUAUUCUUGCCCAAAGACUAUCAAGUGAAUGAACUCUCUAACUUUCGUCUUGCUUAGUGACUACUAAGUCAGUAGCUCUCCGACUUUAACUUCGCCUAGCAAGUAUAUUCUCGUCCAACGAGUCUGCAUAAUUUUGAAAAACCUAAUUUAUGAUAAUUUAUGUCAUUCCAACUCUACAAAGCAGUUCAACCACAACCCCAAAUGCAAGAACAUACUAACUAUCAUAUUAAUGAUUUAAUUCAUCUCAACUGCAAUUUUAACCAUAUACCAAUUUCAAAGUACAAUGCAUGUAAACCAAAUCAAUUUUAACUAAACUCAACAUAUCAUAUUUCAUCAAACAACUCAAUUACACAAACCAACGAUCAUAUAAGCAUAUCAUCAGCGAUAAUGGUGAAUGGCUUGAAAGAGAAAAGUGUUUCAUUGUUUUUCAUUGGGAAGAGAAGAAGAAAUAAUAUAGGCAUGAGAGAGAAGACAAAGUUCGAAAAAUGAAAAGGGUUUUCGUGCUUUGUAAUGAAGACAUAUUAGAUCACUUGUUUCUUUAAUCAAUUUAAAAUACUUUCUAGAGUAUUUACACAUUACCACCGCGUUUUGAAUUAAAUCGGUUCUGCUACAAUCGAUUUUAUAUCCUGUUCUAAUAUAACCAUUUUCCAUUAAUGCAUCCUACCACACACAAGGUUAGUUCGUUAUCAUCUUAGGCCAAGGUAAAACCCCUAAACUAGGAUUUUUUGUUAUUCUUACCACGUACCUCAUCCUUCUUUACUUGAGUCUUGAUGGUUAUUACAAUGUCAAGAUAACUUCCAAUACUUAAUCCUUAUAUCAAUGCGUACACUACGAAAAUCCAAAUAUAAUCCUUCUUGGAUCAAUACCAACCAUUCUUAUUCAAAUCACAUGCACAAAUAAUUUUCCUAAUAACUUAUAAGAUUACAUCAAACACACAAAAUCAAUGAACAUAAAGAAUUGAUUAACUUUAUUAAUCCCGCUCAGUGAAAACAUUCAUUGGCUUAGUGAGUAGUACCUGAAGGUUAACUCGUCCAACAACUAUAAGUCUCACCCAACGACAUUGGCAUUAGAACUUACAAGGAUUAAAUCACCCAAAAUUCACCUAGUGAAGUCUUGUCUUGCCUAGCGAAGUCCUAUCGCGCCCAACUAAGUUAGUGAACUCUUUGACUCUGAAGUCACUCAGGAAGAAUAUCCUCACGCAACGACUACCAAGUCAGUGGGCUCUUUAAAUUUGGCGUCACCUAAUGAUGCAACCCCUCGCCUGGUGAGUAUGCUUAAUUACAAAAAAUGAAAUUAUGAUGAAAAUCAAGACAUGGUAAACUCAAUUCAACAACUUCAUACACACCAUAAACAUACCAAAUUUUGAAUUACAACAGUCCAAUUGAGUUCAAAUCAUUGCAAUUGCAAUAUUACUCCUUACUUUACUUCAAAAUUCAUCUUACAAUCAGAUAAUUUAAUUGAAGAACCUAACCCCCAAUUCAAUAGAUCAUAGAUCAUGCUCAUCAAACAACUCAAUACCUGAAGCAAUGAUCGUACAAUCACUCAAUCAUUAAUUUGAAUAUAUUUAUAACUUAGAAAUACUAUAAUUAGCUUCUCUUACUUGUGAGACCACUCAAGAUGCUUAGAGACCCUAAAAUACCUUUAGACGCUUUUACCUACUCUUAGAAACAACACAAAUUUAAUCAGGAUACAUAACUAAAAGCACCGAUCAACAAACAAUCUUGUAGAUGACUCUAAAGACACAUGGUGGCAAGAUAGACCUACAUGCAAUAGAAGAACAAAUUUAACCUCUAAAUGGGCAGAAAAAUAGUUGACUUAGAUGGAGAAACUGAUCGAACAUGAUUGAAGAACUCAUUGUGAGAAUCAUUAUUGCAAUAUUUUUAAUUUAUCACGUAAUUUAUAAAUAAUUUUUAUUAUUUUUUAUUCUUUGUUUAGUUUUAUUUGAAUUUAUUUUUCUAUUUUCUCUCAAAUAUUUAGCUUAUUCAGCUUAUUCGAUUCUCACAAGUUUGUUAAGAUUUUAAAGCAUUCCGAAUUUCAGAUCUUAAAAUUGACAUAAAUUAAAUAAAAGAAAAUAUAUAUAUCUUUUUAAUAUUGAAUAUUUAAUAAUAGUUUUAGCUUUUGAAAGAAAAUAAUUUAAUUAAUAAUCAAGACAUUACACGAAGAGAUAAAAUGACAGAAAAAAAAUAAAUGUGAAUUUUUAUAUUUAAAAACAAAGACACAAAUACACUGAAACCCGCAACUUGAUCCGUUAUUAUAACUCACAUUAGAUCUUUGAUGGGAAAUCUUGUACGAAUAAUCUUUAUUAUAUAUUAGUCUAUUUCACAUUAUUAUAUAUAGUCAAAUAAUAAUAAUAAUAAUAAUAAUAAACUACUUUUUAAAUUGGGAUUGUGAUUAGAGUCCAAAGACAUAUUGACAAACACAGUGGAAAUACUAUUAAAUGAAUGGUUGGAAAAAUUCAAAGAUUGUCAAAGAAAAAUAUUUGUUCUCUUUCUCCUUUUCUUAAAAAAAACAAGUUUUUCAAACUAAAGUUUUCAGACAAAAUCAUCCAAUAUAGUUUAGUAUCUGGGAAAAUGUUUUAAAAAAUCCAAUUAAAUACCCUUUCUAAUGUUUUUCCUUGAGUAUAGAUUAGAUAAAGUAUUUAUUUAUUAAAUUAUACAAUACAUAUCAAUCUUAUUUGUGAUCAUAUUAAUUAAAAAAUUGUCAGGAAAUAUUUCUAAAUAAGGUAACUCAAUUAGAAAACUCUGGCGCACAUAAUGGAAGUCACGUGCAAAGCAGGAUAACUAUUCAUUAAAUAAUCUAGUCGUAAGAAAAUAUUUUUUUAAAUCAAUGGUAUCACGCCUAAUUUUAUAUUUAUUUCAUUCAACUACAAGAUAAAAUGGUUACAAAAAUAUAAAAUAUUAUAUUUUUUUAAAAAGAAUAAAAUAAAAAAUUAAAAAAAAUAAUAUCAAAUAAAUGAAAAAAAAGUUAAGUAUAUGAAAUAAUUGUUUUUAUUUUUUAAUGCUAAUAACUAUGAUAACAACAUUGACAAUGUUAAAGACUAAUUUCUUAGUCGUUCCACCAUACCACAUAUUUUAAAUUUCUUAACAUUUUUUAUUUAAUUCAAUUCCAAUCAAACUAAUAACAUGUUAUUAAUGUUUGUACAAAGAAAGAAAACAAAGGAUAAUAAUAUCUAAAAGAAAUAAGAGAAAAAAUAAAAAUAUAUAGUGAUAUAUAUAUAUAUAUAUAUAUAUAUAUAUAUAUAUAUAUAUAUUCUUCUCUCUUUUAUUUUUUUUUUAAUCUAUCACACGAAACAGAAUAAAAGGUCAGAUGAUGAUAAUUUUUUUUCUGCCAAAACGAUCUACCAACCCAUGUACUAUUGGCAAGGACACUAAUAAAGGUAGAGCAAUAUUUUAUCACCUCGUGGGUUUAUCUUCUUAAAUAUAUUCACAUCUUUGAAGGAAAGAGACUUCAAGUUUAUAAUACGCAAUGCCACCAUGAUUGUGAAUAUAUAUUAUUUUAUAAUUUAAUCAUAUCAGCGUAAACCUUUUUAUAAUCUUAUUUAACUAUGCAUUAUUAUAAAGAGACAAACAUUAAUUUUUUAAUUAAUUUACUUUAUAAAUUUUAUCCAAGUAAGGUGUGUUAAAAUAGAACUAUACUAUUUAGCUUUUUGGAAAGUUGCAUCCAAUAAAAAAACACGUGUACAACGUGGAAAUGACAAUGAUGAUAUCAAUGGCGUGAGAAGAAUUAUGACGAGUUUUUUUAAUGUUAUCAAUAUGAACCUUAGUGUCUGACAUUCCAGAAAACCUCAUGGGAGAGAUUAAGAAGUCUUUAAAAUGUAAUGGCUUUUUUUAAUAAAAUAAUCAAAGAGAAAGAAGAAAGGAAUAGGAAUGAGUUAUAUAAAAAGUAAAAGAGAAAUCAUACUUUCACAAACAACACUAUUAUUUCUUAUUUUUUGCUUAUUUUUUAAUAAAAAAAUAAUUUGAUAUAUAUAAUUUUUUCACAUUCGUAUGAUACACAUAAGUUUUUUACUUUGGUUUGACACUAUUUUUUUUUUAUCAUUUUCUUUCUAUAAAAAAUAUAAAAAUUUAUUUUUUUAUGAUUAUUUUAUAUUUAGAUUAUCUCUAAAAUGAAGGUAAAAGUAUAUCACCCUAUGAUUAUUCAAAUUAAAAUAUGAUAUUCAUGAUAAUAACACUAGAAUGAUACAACUCAGGCCAAAUAACUAGAUUUCCAUUGAUAAAAGGAAAUCUGCUAAUAAGUCUGCUUAUUAGGGUACAAAAGCUGCAAGAAAGGUAAAAGCACACACGCAGAGAGGCAUGCAUGUAACAUGCAUCUGUUAUUGAAAGGUAAACACAACACAACACCAUGCUUUAGAUAGAGACACUGUUAGGGAUUCCUCUGAAAGUCAUCCCCGGUUCACUGUUAGGAAGAAGCACAGUAUAAGGCAAUUUGAUUGGUCCGGUUCGGUUUCUGAGUUCUUCGUUGUCGUUCCUGUCCGAGAUUUCUUUCUCAAUUUUUGCUAGGUUUCCUGUAAAUUCUUCAAAUAUUUCUUUUGCAUUUUCAUCACCAGUCCAAUUCAGACUGUUCCUUUGUCCAAGAUAUACCUCGUCCGUAGCAUGCGUUGAUAGUAGCUCCAUCACAGUAAGAGCCAUAACAGUCUGGUACUUUGGAGUAAUUGUUUUCAGAAAAGCUUCUUGAGGAUUCUUGGUCAUCUCAUCAUACUCUUCAGUUCCUGCUUCUGGGAUCCAUCUUCGGCUUUGUGUAGGACGGUUCAUGAUAUAACCACCAUAAGGAUACUGUCCAAAAUUAACAGCGGCAUGAAGAGCUGAAGCAAUCCAUAUAAUGGUAGUGCAAAUCUCCACCAGAUCAUUAGAAGUAUCCAUUUUAGGCCAUAGAUCUGCUUUUAAGUCAGCAUGACCCUUCUCCACAGCUUCCUUCCACCAUGCUUGCAAUUCAGUAUCUCCUUGAACUGCUCCCUCUUCUGAAUAGUACAGAUACACAUACUCCUGUACCCACUUCUUAGUAGCAUUCCAUAUUUCUAGUCCAUCAACAGCAUAAGGAUAAUCGUCUAUCGCAAGUCUAAGGCCAUGAGGGGCAGUGAUAUCCUCAACCGCCAACCCUCUAAAUCAAUCAAAAGAAAAAAUAAAGGAGUUAUUUUGAUAACAAGGCCAUAGUUGGACACAUUGAUCUUUCUAAUUUAAUAUGGUUAAUUUACCUUUUGAUGAGAUCCUUUGGUAAAGCUUGCUCAGAGAAAACCCAAUUCUUGUAUACAGCAGAAGACAUCUCCAUAGAAUACGGUCCAGGCAAAAAAGAUUGCUCUAUAAUGCUACCCGCAUUAAUUAGGGAUUUCCUGGCAAGUGAAUUGAUAUUUAAUGUGUCACGGAAGUGAGGAUGAAGGAGUUUAUAAAUGGGGUGAAGUACACUGAGAUUCCUGUGUGUUGCUAUGGCAAAUGGCUCCAUCACUGCAUGAGUAUGUAACCUGUGACAGGCAACAGAAAAGUUACGAGAUAAAAUUUCAUACUACAUGUUUGCAUAUGUAUAUAUGUGUAGGAUGUAAAAGAGUUCGAGCACCAAGCACUCCUUUAAUUAAAUAGAUUAUUUAUUGUUGAUCUUGCAGAUGUAUGUUGGUAUAUACCAGUGGCUAAUGACUUGAUGAUAGUUGGUGUCAUUUACAGUAACAUGAGCUUUGGCCAGUUGCCAAAUUGUACUUUCAACACCUUUAUCUGCAGGCAGCACCACUCUAGUCUCGACAUUCGGAUGAUCAUGUGGCUUGCUUAAUUCAAUAGCAAGUGGUUUCAAUGUCCCAUCAUCUUUCAAGAACAAGAAUGUCCUGGUGGCAUAAGCCUUUGCAGAAGGAAGCUCAUUUAUCUUCGUCAAAUACGCCAUGAAUGCGUCAUAGUAAUCCAAUAUGAAUAAUCUCCUAUCAGCAAAUGCCUGUUCCACAAAUUUAAGUUUAGUGAUCACUUUGUUAAUAUCAUAUACCUUUGAAUCACAAACAGUAUCACUUCAUAUCCCUUUAUAUAGGAAAGAAUAAUUCCAUAUCCAAGUAUUUAGAGGAAGUGUUGAACUUUGUAUUUCUAUGAUAUCAAAUUGUUUCUGCUUACUUCAUGUAUAUUAUUACCUCGUCUACUUUGACCCCAUUCAUGUUAAUCUCCAAAGUUUCUUUUGUUACUGUACUUCGUGAUUUGUUCCCUGGCAAUGCGAGCUCCUCCUUCUGCCAUUAAUAAAGAUGUCCGAUAAUCAGAAAGAAAGGCCAUGACAAUAGAAUAAUUCAGCAUAUAAAAGAUCUCUGUAUAUGAAAAAUAAAAGUAAUAUCUGCACUUACUUUAAGAAGGCGAAUUACAGCAGGGUUUACACCGGCAAUCAUCUCUCUUGCGAACUCUUCAUCAGUAUUCCAUGCAAACUUGCUUUCUAUAGAAAAUUAUAACAAAGAAAAUACAAUUUACAAAGGUGUAAUGUUUGGAAGUAGUUACGCCGGAGUGUGAAAUAGUUACCUUUAAUUACACCGGGUGUUGGGAAAUCAAUGACACUCGGGGUACCGUUGGCAGUGAUAGAGAGAGGCAGACCAACUCCACCUUCAUACAUUUUAUCCACUUCUUCGAAGCCAUUAAAUUCAUUUGAUGUGAUCUUUAAAUAUAAAGAAAGGAGCAAAGGUUCGACUCUUGCAGCUAAAUUUGUCCUUCCUAAUGAAAGGAAUUCUACAGUCUUCUCCUGACUGAAAUAUUCAUCUCUUGGCACAUAAUUAACCUCGUCUGGUACCUCGUAUUCUUCUCCUGUCAAGACAUAAAUUAAGCAUAUUUAGAGACUUUUAUCAUCCACAAUUCAUUAGACCAUGUGAUUAAAACAUGAUAAAAUGUAACUCACCAUUUCUUUCGAUGAGGGGUCUCCCCGUCCUAAGCCUACGAGGGUAGGGAUAUUUGAGACCUCCAAGAACUGGGUGAUCUUGUGGUCCAUCGCUUUCAAGAAAGCCCAGAUCAUUAUAGACAUCAUAAUCAUAAAUCCUAUCCCAUUUCUCACGCUUUCCUUUUCCAUCUCCCCUUAAAUUCUUCAACUCUUCUUCUCUGUAAGCUUUUAAUUGCUCCGGUGUCUUAGCAGGAAGAUAUGGCUGCAAUGCAUAUUUUUUCAUAAAUAUAUAGUUUUCUCAUGUAAAUUUUAAAAAUGGAAAUAACAAAGACUUACAAUGUUAGCAAAGAAAAUGCGAUCCGUCUUGUAAAACUUAUGGUUGUAAACCCAGGAGUUACAGUCAAAGUGAAUAUAGUUCUGGUCGUGGUUAUGGUCGUGCUCAUUUCUUUGAGUUGGAUAUUCAAGAGUCACACUAACAAGUAAAAACUCCUGAUCCAUUAGGCUUUUUACGUAAAAUGCUCCUGGAAUUCCCAUUUCUUNAUCAUCCCAUUCAAAAUAAAUAUCAAAUUCCUCCNCUCUCUCUCCCNANGUUCGUNACACAGAAAUAUUNUUUUCCANAUANGUUUNCUUUCCAACUUUCCCAGCNGAANCUAAAACUGCAAAUGAAAACAAAUCAAAAUCCAACAAUAACGAGAAAAAGUACAAGUUCAAGGAAUGCAUAGAUUCUUUUUGCAGUAUCAUUGCAGAAAGAAACACACAAGAAAGAAGAAACACUGACGAUUGUUUGAGUUGGUACGACUGAUCAACUUGAAAGACACAGAUUUAGUGAAAUCAAGUUGGGAUGAUGAGUCAAUGAUGGUUUUGCCAGUGGCAAAGAUACCCUGGACAGUGCUCAUGGUUUGAACAACAUUUUUCCGGAUCAAUACCACCCUCCCCUUCACCAACUUCUUCCUUUCCACUAUUAUUAGACUCAUUGCUAUAGCAAGGAUAUAUAAUUUCUGUGCUUGAUAUCUGAGAUUUGUGAGGUGUGAGGAAGCAAUGUAAUCUCGGGUAUUUAUACACGAAACUAUGAAAAGAUUUAAUGAAUAAACCAACCCAGUUGGAAAAAUGUCAAAGAAUAAAUACAAGCUUAAUUAAUUCUCUACUGUGAACAAAAACAUGAAACUCAUGGAAAGCACCAAAAAUGUUUACCCGUUAAAAAAUUUGUGUGAAUAUGAGGUGUUUCCACGUUAAACUUAUGUGAUAACUAUUCUAUUGAAAUGAAGUUAAAAAUAGAGUCCUAUAUAUCCCAUUAAAGCUGUCUUGUUCUUCUGCCAUUCAUUUCCUGCAGUCCCAUUUUUCAUGAACUAGUUUUUUCAGCAGUAAUAGGUUGACACAAUAACACGGGAUUUUUUAAAUUUUUAUUUAAAAAUGAUCUUUUGCUUUUAAUUUUUGUUUAAAAAAGUGGGUUCCAUGCGUGUUAUAUGAAUGUAAAUCAAGUUGAACUAUUUUUAAUCUUUUCAGAAAUAGCCCUUGAGAGUGUGAAGUUGCAUGUGUGCACUGACAUACAGUGAAUUCAAACAUCGUGUGCACCGGGACAAACAGAAACCAAUUUGGAUACGUUACUGUGGAUAAUCCUUUUUUACUUUUUACUCUUUUUUUUUUCUUUUAAAAAAUAUAAAAGUUUAACCUUAUAUAACUAUUUUACUCUAAUAUAUAAAUAUAUCAGGUUACCAUUACUCUAAAUUAAAACAUACCUUUUAUUUUAUUAAAACAUGAUUUUAUAUAAUUUUUUAAAUUUAAUAUAUUGCAAGAGAUUUCACCUUAAAUCAUAUACUUACUCGAAAUUAUCACAUCCCUCUUUCAAAUUUAUUUAAUCUCUUGUACUGAAAUCACCACAUUAUAUAUAUAUAUAUAUAUAUAUAUAUAUAUAUAUAUAUAUAUAUAUAUAUAUAUAUAUAUAUAUAUAUAUAUAUAUAUAUAUAUAUAUAUAUAUAUAUAAACGUAUAUAUUUACAAUUAUUAUUUUUAAUUUCUUUUUAUGUAAUUAUAUUCUAAAAAAAUCAAUUAUAUAAUAAGUAACUAGGAAAAUCGCUUACGUUUAUUACUUAAUAAUUUUAUUGGAUUAAAAUUAUUAGAUCAAGUAAUAUUUUGUUAUAGAUUUUAAAAUGUGAUUUACUUGCAUGGUUCAUUCUAAAAUCUAAAAUUUUUAGAAAGUUAUAUUUAAUUUGCAAUUAUCUAAGAUUUUGGAAGAAAGGUUGGGAAGUGUCAUAUUAUUUUCCUUAAUUACCAGAAUUCGUGUUUUGGUAGACAAUUUUGAGUUGGAACCUAACAUGCUAAUAAAAUUUAUAAUUGAUUUUGGUAAUUUUCUGGUUCGGAUGACAUUUAUAAUUGUCGUGACGAGUGCAACCUUCUUCUUCUUGUAAUUGUAACUUUUAUAUAUUUAUUGAAAAUUUAAAUGUAAGUCUAAGUUUUACAUUGAGUAAAAAAUGAAAAAGUUAAGCACAGUAUAAUAAUAAAGAUCAUAAAUGUAUCUUUUUAAGAUUUUGAAUUAUAGGUGAUAUUAUGUGGAUUAAACUUAUGUAUGGUAUUGUAUUAAACUUCUACAUGAACUAUAUUUUAAGUCCAAAAUUGCUUUCAUAACUCUUCACAUUCCAUUCUUGCCCUCAAUUUCCAUUUUCCAAAUAAUGCAAUAUUAAAUAACCUUAGGUUUUUAACUCCUAAUCCUCCAAACUCUUUUGGUUUGCAAAUAUUAUCCCACUUAAUCCAUGCAAUCUAUAGUUUCACUAGCCACCAAAACACUAUCCAAUAGCCUUUGUCCUCCAAAAAAUGCAGAUUAGGUAUGAUCAAUUAUGUUAUGUAAAACCAAUUUCAACCUUAGAGAAAAGCUUUUAGAUAUGAUUUUGUAAAGGCAUCCUACUAGAGAAAUGGGUUAUUAACAUGAUAUCAGAGUUAUAGUUAGAGUCUAUCCUAACGAUAUUUGUUAUUUGUUGGACAUAUUGUUUCACCCGCUAUUUAGCCGCUAUCAGACCAUCCAUUAAUGUCUAAUCUUACACUCGACAUGUAUAUACUUCGCCAUAAUGGGUGUGUGUUGGAAGUCUCAACCAGAUAAGGCCAAUUUAGAAUAUAUAAGUGGGUAGAUGACAUACUUCGCCAUAAUGGGUGUGUGUUGGAGGUCUCAACCAGAUAAGGACAAUUUAGAAAUAUAAAUGAGUAGAUGACGAUUUUGUGAAAUUGAGUUAGGGUUAAAGUUUAAUUCUUAACAGAUAUUAAUGCAAUAAAUGAUGCAUUAGAGCUUUUGGAAACUUACCUUGGAAAUUAUGAACGGCCUUUAAAAUCCCCUUUGAUUAUUUUCCAUAAAUAAUGCAAUAUUAAAUUUAAAAUUUAAAUCUUGUUUCAAGGUUGUAAAUGGUCUAAGGCCCCAAUCUACAUGUGUGAUGUGAAGUAAUUAAAUCCUUUGGAAGUUUCAUAUUAUCUCCUUUAAGUAAUAUUGGAGUGUGAUGUGAAUUGGUGUAAGUUGAAUCCUAACAUACUAUUCAAACUUAAGACGAUUUUGGUAUAUAUUUUGGCGUUGUUAGGAAUGUUGCAAAAUCUCAGUGUCUUAGAGUGUAUUGUUCGACAAUUCAAUUCAUGUUAAUUGGUUUUCCGAUAACAAAGCCACAAAGUCUUCUAAAACUUGUUGGAUGGAUUAUGAACACGUGAACUCCGAAUCAAUUUUUGUUGGUUAUUGAAAUCAUUUAUAUUCAUAGAAAUAAUACAAUUGUACGAAAUAAUUAUUUUUAAAUGAAAAAUUCAUAUACUUUUUUCUAGUAAAGAAUAUGCUAUUAUAUCUUAUUAAAUAAGAAAAAAAAGUUACAAAUUAAAAAAUGAAAUUCUUUAAAUAAAAAGUAACACUAAAAGUAAAUAAAAAUGUAUUCCUCAUAAUUUUAAUUUUAUUUUUAGUUUUAAAGUCAAAAUAUAUUUUUAGUCUUUAAAUUUUUACUCGAAAUUAAUUUUUUUAUAUUGUUUAAUAUAUUUCAGUUUAAAUGUUGACCUGAAACUACAUAAUAAACUUAAAAAAAUUAACCUUGUUAAAAAAGUUAUAUACCUCUUUUAAAGUUUGAAAAUUAAAAUAUAUCAAAUUUGUGAUAUAUGAUAAGUAUGAAUUUUAAUUUUACGUCAAAAUUUAAAAAUUAAAAUCAUAUUUAGCCUUUAAUUAAAAAAAAUUAACCUAGAUUAAAAAAUUAUAUUUAUUCCUUAUAAAAUUUGAGAAUAAAAAUAUAUUAAAUUUAUAAUUUGUGAUAGAUAUAAAUUUUAAUUUUAUUUCAAAACUUAGAAAUUAAAAUUAUAUUUAAUCCUUAAUUUUAUAAGAAAUAAAUUAAAAAAAUUAACCUAGAUAAAAAGAUUAUAUUUAUUCCUUAUAAAAUCUGACAAUAAAAAUAUAUCAAAUUUAUAAUUUGUGAUAGAUAUAAAUUUUAAUGUUACUUCAAAACUUAGAAACUAAAAUUAUAUUUAAUCUUUAAUUUUAUAUUUAUAAAUUAUGAACAUUUUUAAUUUGACUUUUAACAAUAGAAAAAAUCUUAUGUAUUUCUUUAAUAUAAAAAAAGUGAACUAAUUUUUAAUAUACUUGACUUUAUUUUUUUUUAAUUACUAGUAAAAUUAUUCUUAAAAAAUAUAUUUUAGUAUGGAAGUAAAUUUAUAAUUACAUGGAAAGAUAGAACUUUUUUUCUUUACGUAAUUAAAUAUUAGAGUAUAUAUCUUAUGUAUCAGCGUGAUCAUAGGCUGUUUUGCAACUUAAAAACCAAAGUAAAACUUCUUAAAUAAAUUGAUAAUUUAUUAGAUUAUGAUAUCUUAAUAACUUUUGUGUAAUAAUUUUUUAAUAAUAAAUUAUAAUAUACUAUUUUAUUGAUUUAUAUAUUUAAAACACAUCACGAGCUCCCAUUAGAUAUUAUAAAAAAGUUUUAAGAAAAAAGAAGUUGUUAAGAAAACAUUUUUCUUUCUUAAAUCAUAUUGAAAACAUGUAUAUUGAUUAUUUGUUACGUAUCAGUGUGAUCACUGGCUGUUUUCUUUUACCACGUUUAAAACCCGCUGUUUUCUUUUACCACGUUUAAAACCCUUGUCCUUAGUAAUUUAAAAGGUAUUUUCUUAUUGGGAGUAUCAAUGAUAUGUGCCACGUCACCAAUUCACUUCAUUUUAUAUAUUGAUUUAGAAAGAAAAUUACAUAUUUUAUUAACUUGUUUUAACAUGUUUAUAAUUUCUUAAAUAUAUUGUUUUCAAAUAUUAUUUAAUUGGUAUCUCAAAUCAAAAUAAACAGUUAACAUUUAUAAAUUUAAUCUAUGUUAUUAUAUGUUGUGAGUGAAAGUUAGUCUCAAAAUAGAAAAAUUGUAACAUUCUAAUAUAGAAACUAUAUAAUAUAAAAAUCAUUAAAUAUAACAUUAUAAAACAGUUAAAGACUUGUAAUAAAGUAUUAAGCUUACAGUCAUUCAAAAUGACUAUAAAUUUAAAACUUUAUGUAUAAAAGAGUAUUUCAAAACUAUACAUAACAACUAAGAAAUCCUACUAAACUAGGCAGCAGCGUCAUCACCUCCAAGGCCUGCUCUAGAGACACAUCAUCUACCUCUAUUUGUACAUCCAAAUGGAUGUUCAUUGCAAAAGGAAAACACAACACUAAGAACAUACAAUCACAAGCAGAAGGUGAGCUAGGUAUACAAAAUCAUACAAGUAUAAUAGUACACAACAUACAUGUUUCAUUCAAGUAAAGUAAAAUAAAUUGCACAUCCUAGCAUGUUAUAUUCUAGACUUGACUCGUUUGGACGUAGAAUGAUAAUCGAGCUAUGGCGAGUCAUGCACUCGUGGUGGUCUCUACUGCUUUGCAAAACUGUUACCAAUGGAUUUCACUCUACCACACUCACGAGGUUAGCUGUUCCGGACGUUGAGGCAUACUAGAAGCCUCAAAACAUGUUUCCAAAAGAGUUUGGUAGAUCCAAAGGUUCAGUGGAAAGCCAUCAGCCCAGUGGCAUGUCUCAGAAAUAGAUCCACUAGGUGAUCUGCAAGCAAGACACAAUACAAUAGUCCGAAAGGUUUGUAUUGAUUCACACACUCCACUCACUUCUUCCUCAUAAUAAAACAAAAAUUCCAUGACUAUUAAUAGCUUCUUAAAUUUUAGAGCAAAAAUAUUGUCAUUCUAUUACAAGUAAUCCUAUGACAAAAACCACUUUAAAGCUCAUCCAAACAUGAAUUCAGAUUGAUUGAUAAUCUAAAGAUUAUAGAAAAUUAAACUCAAAACUAAGUUCAAAACUUGGCCUACAACAAUUUUGAGAAGUGCUAUUCUAAUUCCGGUAUCACUCUGCUCAGAAAUCUUCAUCUGCACUCUCACCAACUCCCCCAUCGUCCCCACGCGCUUGCUCCCCUUCGACGACGAUGUUUUGAGCCCCAGAGCCCUCUUCACCUUGCUCGUCGUCGUCGAAGUCAGCGACCGAUGCAACGACGGCGCCGGCAUCCCCUAUCGUGAUCCCCCCUCUCCGACUGUGAUAUGAACGUCAACGGCUUCGGCCCCGAACUCCGGCAGGCCGCGACUUGGAUCUCAUACGUCGUCCUCGCGCGCUUGCUCCCCUUUGACGACGACGUUUUGAGCCCCAGAGCCCUUUUCACCUUGCUCGCCGUCGUCGAAGUUAGCAAUCGAUGCAACGAUGGCGGCGGCGGCGCCCUAUAACGAUUCCCCCUCUCCGACUGCGAUGUGAACGCCAGCAGCAUUGGCCCCAAACUCCGGCACGCCGCAACCAGGAUCUUGUACGCCGUCUCGCGAAGCUUCGAUUAUGAAAAAUACGGAGCAGGGUCGCCAAACAGAGCUCCAGCAAGUUCCUGAAUUGGGUGUGCCGGUAUGGCCCUCUAAUGGUGUCUCUUUCUGGACAUUUGGAUCUGGAUAUGUUUCUCGGGAAUAACCUAUGGUUUUGAUCGGCCAAAACGGAUCUCCCAUGUCUAUGUCUGUUUGUCCUUGAAACGGAUUGUGCAACAUUUAAGAGAAGAAAACCGAAUGGAGAACGGAUCUCAAAAGCUUAUUAGAACUGAGGGUAUAUACUGCUCUGAUAGAAAAUAAGAGAGGGUAAAUCUUUAUUUGAUAAUGAAAGAUAGCUUAUAUAAGCUUUACAAUGAAACUGAAAAAGUUAAAGUGCGCAUACUGCACAGCAGAUAAAUAGGAGAAGUGACUAGACACUCCUAAUAUCUAGUUAUUAAAAGACUGAGUCACCCUAUAAAGUAGNGAUCUUUUACUGACAUGAAAUUUAAACAACAAAAUUAAACUUAAUAUUAACAUACCCUCCCUUAAGCUAUAAUAGUUAUAUUUAGCUUAUAUCAGUAACUUCUAUGACCCCAAGCAUACGUCGGAUCCUUUCAAAUUGAUCAAGCUUUAAUGCCUUCGUCAUUAUGUCUGCUGCUUGCUUAUCAGAGGAGCAAUAGAUCAAGCGAAUUAUGUGAUCAUGUACUAAUUCUCUAAGAAAGUGAAAUCUCACUACAAUAUGUUUACUUCUUCCAUGAAAGACAGGAUUCUUGGAUAAUUGAAUGGUGGAACUAUUGUCACAUAGAAUUUUUGUUGCUUCCUUUUCUUUUGACCCAAGAUGCUCUAAGAUUCGUCGAGUCCAAAUGCAUUGACAAGCGCAAAAUGCUGCAGUAAUGUAUUCAGCCUCAGUAGUAGAUAAACUUACCACGAGCUGUUUUUUUGAUGCCCAUGAGACAACUCCAUUUCCGAUUAAAAAUACCGAACCGAAAGUACUUCUUCUGUCAUCUAAAUCUCCAGCAUAGUUGUUGUCACUAUAAGCUGUUAGACCACUAUAUGUUCCUUUUUGAUAAAAUAUGCCAUAUUCAAUAGUACCUUUGAUAUAUCGUAGGAGCCUUUUGAUUGCAGCCCAAUGUGACUCCUUUGGGUUUGCCAUGUAACGACUGAUUAAGCUUACUCCAAACAUUCAGUCUGGUCGGGUAACUGUUAAAUACAUGAGGCUUCCAACUGCUUGUUGGAACUUUGUGGCAUCCACAGCAGCACCUUGAUCAUCUUUGGACAAUAUUGUACCUGGUACGAUGGGGUUUCGUACAGGGUUACUUUUGGUCAUGUUGAAUCGUUCUAGCACUUCACGAGCAUAUUGUCUUUGACAGAUAAAAAUUCCUGUGUUACUUUGUAUAACUUCAAUGCCAAGGAAAUGUCUCAUUUUACCCAAAUCAGUCAUUUCAAACUCUCUCUUCAUUGAGUUUUUGAACUCAUUACACAAACAGUUACUAUUUCCAGUGAAGAUCAGAUCAUCAACAUAGAGACUAAUAAUGAGAAUAGUACCUUUAGUUCUUUUCGUGAAGAGCGUGUGUUCACUGGAGCAUCUUUCAAAUUUCUCUUUUACGAAAUAAGCUUCAAUCUUGCUAUACCAAGCUCUUGGAGCCUGUUUGAGGCCAUACAAUGCUUUUUUGAGUCUCUAGAUUUGAUUUUCACUACCUUUUUGGAUGAAGCCUACUGGUUGUUGGAAAAAAACUUCUUCGUGAAGUUCUCCAUGUAAGAAUGCACUUUUUACAUCAAGCUGAACCACAUCCCAUAUAUUUUGAGCAGCCAAUGCUAGUAAUAUUCUUACCGUGUCAAGUUUAGCAACAGGAGCAAAUACUUCUGUAUAAUCAACUCCAUACCUUUGAGCAUAACCUUUGGCCACUAGUCUAGCUUUGUACUUCCCUAUGUGACCAUUUUCAUUGAAUUUGGUCUUGAAGAUCCAUUUAACACCAAUAGGUGUGACCCCUUUUGGAGGAUCUACCAACUCCCACGUAUGAUUCUUUUCAAUUGCUUUCAUUUCUACCUUCAUAGCUUCCCUCCAUUGUGGACUUUUACAGGCUUCUUCAUAGGAUUGAGGAUCUUUAGAGUCUGUAAUCAUCAUUGCUUGUAAAUUUGCUUCAUCUACCGAGAGAUGAGUUUCGUAAUCAGCCAUCCAUAUAGGUUGCCUUCGCGUUCUUGUGGUUCUACCUUCAAUUGGGGAAUCAUCUUGUUCAGAAUUUGAGGUUGAUUCGGGUUCGGGUUCCAACAUUUCUAGGUUAUCAACAUUACUGGAUGUUACUUCGUUUGAUGGAGACUCUAUAUUCCCAUUGUCGGUGGCUGCUUCAUUUUCCCAGUCAAGAAUUGUGCUUUGCUCUACAUUUUCAUUCCAAUUCCAACUUUUGUCCUCUUCGAACACCACAUCCCUACUCACAAUUACUUUUUUUGUAACAAGAUCAAAACAUUUGUAGGCUUUAGAUUUGUCACUUACUCCCAAUAAGAUGCAUGGUUGGCUUUUGUUAUCAAGUUUGCUACAUUUUUGAUCUGGAACAUGAACGUGAGCAAUGCACCCAAACGUUCGAAAAUAAUCAACUCGAGGUUUGACACCGCUCCACAUCUCUUCGGGAGUUUGUUGAUUAAUGGCAGAAGUGGGACUUCUGUUCUGAACAUGUACACACCAUCGCACCGCUUCAGGCCAGAAAGGUUUGGGCACCUGUUUGUCAUGUAAAAUAGUACGGACAACAUUCAUGAUAGUGCGAUUUUUGCGUUCUGCAACUCCGUUCUGUUGAGGGGUGUAGGCUGCCGUCAAUUGCCUUGUAAUUCCUUGUUGAGUACAAAAUUCUGCAAAUUCUUUGGACGUGAAUUCACCACCUCGGUCUGUUCUGAGACAGGUGAUGUAAACUCCUGCUUCCUUCUCAACACUGGCUUUGAAGCUUUUGAAAAUAGCGAAGGUCUCAGACUUUUCAUGUAAAAAAUAAAUCCAAGCUUUACGCGAGUAAUCAUCGAUAAAACUAAGAAUGUACCGUUUGUUGCUAUGUGAGGCUGGUGAAAUAGGACCGCAAAUGUCGGCGUGAAUCAAUUGAAGCUUUGUCNAAGCUCUCCAUGAACUUUGCUUUGGUAUAGGAUCUCUAUGUUGUUUACCACUAAGACAGGCAGUGCAAAUUGUUCGAGGAUGUUUUAUUAGUGGUAACCCAAUCACCAUUUUCUUCUUUGCAAGAAUGCUUAAUCCGUGAAAAUGAAGAUGCCCAAAGCGUUUAUGCCACAGAUGCAUUUCCUUCUCUGAUUCGUCCUCAGCGUGGAGACAACUGGAAUGUUGAGUAGGCAUUGAAGCUGAGAGAUGGAACAUUUUAUUACCCUUCAUGUUGGUGUGAAGAAUUAGGCCUCGCUCGGGAUGAAAAAUUUUGCACGUAUCAUUUUGAAUUAGGAUAGCUAACCCUUUCUCCUGGAGUUGCCCUAGACUUAAGAGAUUUGUCUUAAGCUCAGGAACAUAAUAAACAUCUGAAAUAGUGUGAAAGGUGCCAUCAAUUUGAACACGAAUGGUUCCUUUUGUAGCGACAACCAUUGUAGUGUUGUUCCCAAGUUUGACAGUUCUACUGAAGUCUUCUUCCUGUACUUCUGUGAACCAGAGUUUAUUUCCGGUCAUAUGGUUGCUACAGCCUGAGUCUAGAAACCAAUCUUCUACAUGAGCAGAUUGGGUUACCUCCUCGUAUGCCACUAGUAGGAGUUCUUCUUCAGCUUCUGUUUCUUCUUCACAUGUUGCAUAAUGAGCUUUUUUUGCCAUCUCAGGACACUCGUAUUGAAAAUGACCUAGCCUAUGACAUUGAAAGCAUUCAAUAAGCGCUCUGUUUAACGAUUGUCUCCCGCGACCUCUCCCACGGCCGCGUCCACUUCUGCCUUGUGCUCGGCCAGCUCCAAAUUUGACAUCAUGAGUGACUUUUAAUACUUGUUCUUCUGGUUGAAGAUUUUUCAUUCUUUGUUCAUGGACGAGUAGACUUCCAUGAAGUUCAUCAAUACUCAAAGUGCUCAAAUCGUUAGACUCCUCGAUCGAACACACCACGUAAUUAAAUUUCGAGGUUAGUGAACGCAAUACUUUGCUAACCACUGUGUUGGAGUCUAUCUUCUCACCAUUGGAUUUCAUCUUGUUAACGAUACUGAGCGUGCGUCCCAGGUAGCUAUCUACCGUCUCACCAUCUUUCAUGCCCAAUAACUCGAACUCGCGCCGCAAUGCUUGGAGUUGGGCGCGUUUUACUCUCGUCGAUCCUUGAUACUUUUGUUGCAUGGACUGCCGUAUGGCCUUUGAUGUGCUUUUGUCCAAGAUAGUUUUGAGAAUCUCUCGAUCAAUGGCCUGGAACAGGUAGUUCUUCACUUUUAGGUCGUUCAGAGUUGCCUCGGUCACAUUUUUCUGUUGGGCUUCAGUGGGCAUGGCUCCAAACACAGGUACGCCCUCUUCUACAAGCUGCCAUAAUUCCUUGCUUCGUAGGAAGUUUUCCAUUGUCAUGGACCAGAAAUCAUAAUGGCCAUCAAACCUAGGUAUGGCUGGUUGCACAAAUUUCUCUGAGAUAGACAUCCUUUACACUCUCACUCUUGGAUUGUUUAUGAUGCUCACACUUAAUUUCUCACUCUCUGUAUCAGGCGAACUUUCUCACUCACACUUAAUUUCUUACUCUUUGUAUCAGGCGCACUUUCUCACUCUCUGUAUCAGGCCCCUUUAGAGCUCUGAUGCCAAAUAUUAGAACUGAGGGUAUAUACUNNNNNNNNNNNNNNNNNNNNNNNNNNNNNNNNNNNNNNNNNNNNNNNNNNNNNNNNNNNNNNNNNNNNNNNNNNNNNNNNNNNNNNNNNNNNNNNNNNNNNNNNNNNNNNNNNNNNNNNNNNNNNNNNNNNNNNNNNNNNNNNNNNNNNNNNNNNNNNNNNNNNNNNNNNNNNNNNNNNNNNNNNNNNNNNNNNNNNNNNNNNNNNNNNNNNNNNNNNNNNNNNNNNNNNNNNNNNNNNNNNNNNNNNNNNNNNNNNNNNNNNNNNNNNNNNNNNNNNNNNNNNNNNNNNNNNNNNNNNNNNNNNNNNNNNNNNNNNNNNNNNNNNNNNNNNNNNNNNNNNNNNNNNNNNNNNNNNNNNNNNNNNNNNNNNNNNNNNNNNNNNNNNNNNNNNNNNNNNNNNNNNNNNNNNNNNNNNNNNNNNNNNNNNNNNNNNNNNNNNNNNNNNNNNNNNNNNNNNNNNNNNNNNNNNNNNNNNNNNNNNNNNNNNNNAUAUAUAUAUAUAUAUAUAUAUAUAUAUAUAUAUAUAUAUAUAUAUAUAUAUAUAUAUAUAUAUAUAUAUAUAUAUAUAUAUUUCUAACAAUUUAUUAAAUUAUAGUGUGUCUUUCUUAAUUGUCACGGAAAUUGUUUGUAAUUGAAUCUAUAUUAAACUUUUGAACUAUUUUUUUAAUAUAUAUUGUUAUAUAAUGAGUCAAAAAUUCAUCUUUUAUAGCUAAUAUUGUGACGAAGUAUUAACUAUAAUCAUAGCAGAAAAUUUCUAGACACUUAUUUUGAUUUUAAAAAAUUACUAGUUCCAUAAUUAAAUUAGAAUAAUUAAUUCUAUCGAUCUAAAUAAUAAAUUAGUAUUACCCUUUUCAUAUGCAAGACCUAUAAUUCAAAUAUUAAUAUUUGGUGUCCCUUGCAUGGAUAUCUAUUGUUAUCGAGUCUAUGUAAGAUAUUCAAUUUUGAUCCUGUUUUUAUAUUGUUUGUUUAUAGAACAGUUAUAUUCUCAUUUGAACUUUAACUUAGUUAUUAAAGGAAGUGAUACUAGUAAAAAAUCGAUCUUUUACCACACACAUUAUGUCGUGAUUCAAUAGAAACCGAAACAUAAUAUAGAAAUCGAUCUAUUGUCAUUGUAUUUUGUAAGUCGAUUAUAUUGUUUGAUUUUGAAUGGUUACAUUCUCAUUUGAACUUUAACUUAGUUAUCAAACGAGGGAAGUGAACGUAGGUUUAUUUCUCUCCAUUAAAAAAAAUAAUAACAAACAUUUAUCAAUAAAAAAACAAAAGAAAUAUUUUAUAUUGAUAUUUAAGUAAUUGUAAUUCAAGUGGAUGACACUCUUUUUUUUAAAGAGUUACAAUACCAAGUACUCUAUUAUUAUAUUUAUUAUUUUUUUCUGAUAAAAAUAACAUAUUGUGUAUUAUUCAAUUAAGAUAAGUAAUAAAGUAAAUUUUAUUUAAUUGAUAUCUAAAUUACAAUUUUAUUAAUAAAUCAUACUAACUUUUUAAAAAAUAGUUAAAAAGUGUAAAAGUAUAUUUAAAUAAUUUAGCUGUUUAUAGAGUCGACUUAAUUAUUCUAAACUAUGUUAAUAAAUUUAAAUUUUUAAUAAAUAUAUAUUUAUAUUAAUAUCACAUUAAUAGAGUUUGAUUAAAUGUUGAACACUGACAAAAUUAGUAUGGUUAAUUGUUUUUUGUUAAGUAAGAAUAUGAAACAUUUCAAUUUAACUUUUUAUAACUCAAUAAUAUGUUAUAAGAUUCAUAAAACAAAACAUAUUUAUUUUAAUUUAUAUAUAUAAUAUUAAUGCAAUUAUUUAAAAGAAUAAUCUUAUAAUAAUAAAUAUAUUUAAAACUACUACGAAGAACUAUUAAUAGAUGAAUAAGAAGAUGACUUCGUUACAUCAUCGUCUUCCAUCAUAGAUGCUUUAACAUAUAUUCCUCAUCUACUCACACUAAUAAGGUGAGUAUCACAAAAGAAACAAACAUAAACACAUGAAACAACAAAGUAAGUUGAUAUAGAAAGAGUUUUCAUAAACAAUUAAAUCAUAUAGAUACACACAAGGUAAGCUAGUUAAAAAAGAAGAAGAAAAUAUAAAUAACCCAACACACUAAAUAGCAUGUUAAACUUCAUCGCAUCACUUUCACAUAUUCAUACAUGAAAUCAGAUCCAACCAUGCAUUUCUGGUGACAAAUAUAUAUAUAUAUAUAUAUAUAUAUUGCUCUACCGAGCUGACACACAUGGUUAGUCUCUGUCACAGUCAUAAGAACCCUGAAGUCUUCCCUAUGGCAGGACCUCUUGCCACUCUCACCACCCAACCAUCCUCCUUUACAUGAGUAUGAAUGAUUAGUAGAGUUUAGGAUGACCAAACAAAAAUGAACCGUCCUUAUCUCAAUUCACACCCAAGUGAAACACAUUCAACGGGAUUCCCUUCUUGGAAAUUCGCUAUAAUCCAUCCAUUCAUACCAGUAUUUCACUUUAAAAAACCAAAUACAACAUUUACCACACAUUAAACACAUCAUAAGAGACAUAUGAAAAUUUAGUUAAAACUUUGAUAUUUUCGCUUAGCUAGAAUAUCUACCCGAUUAGUAAAUAGUGCUUGACAACAACCAGAUAGCUCGCUUAGCGAGAAUAACACUAAAACUUAUAGACUUAAUUUCUCACAAAAGUCGUUCAGUGGGUAUAUUCUUGCCCAAUGACUGUCAAGUGAGUGAACUCUCUAACUUUGGUCUCGCUUAGUGACUACUAAGUCAGUAGCUCUCUGACUUCAACUUCGCCCAACAAGUAUAUCCUCGUCCAACAAGUCUGCAUAAUUUUGCAAAACCUAAUUUAUGAUAAUUUAUGUCAUUCCAACUCUACAAAGCAGUUCAACCACAACCGCAAAUGCAAGAACAUACUAACUACCAUAUUGUACACAACUCAAUGAUUUAAUUCAUCUCAAUUGCAAUUUUAACCAUAUACCAAUUUCAAAGUACAAUGCAUGUAAGCCAAAUCAAUUUUAACUAAACUCAACAUAUCAUAUUUCACCAAAUAACUCAAUUACACAAACCAACGAUCAUAUAAGCAUAUCAUCAACGAUAAUGGUGAAUGGCUUGGAAGAGACAAGUGUUUCAUUGUUUUUCGUUGGGAAGAGAAGAAGAAACAAUAUAGGCGUGAGAGAAAAGACAGUUCGAAAAAUGAAAAGGGUUUUCGUGCUUUGUAGUGAAGAAGACAUAUUAGAUCACUUGUUUCUUUAAUCAAUUUAAAAUACUUUCUAAAGUAUUUACAAAUUACCACCACGUUUUGAAUUAAAUCGGUUAUGCUACAACCGAUUUUAUAUCCUGUUCUAAUAUAAACAUCUUCCACUAAUGCACCCUACCAUCCACAAGGUUAGUUCGUUAUCAUCUUAGGCUAAGGUAAAACUCCUAAACUAGAACUUUUUGCUAUUCUUACCACAUACCUCAUCCUUCUUUACUUGAGUCUUGAUGGUUAUUACAAUGUCAAGAUAACUUCCAAUACUUAAUCUUUAUAUCAAUGCAUACAUUAAGAAAGUCCAAAUCUAAUCCUUCUUGGAUCAAUACCAACCAUUCUUAUUCAAACAUACACAAAUAAUUUUCCUAGUAACUUAUAAGAUUACAUCAAACACACAAAAUCAAUGAACAUAAAGAAAUGAAUAACUUUAUUAAUCCUACUCAGUGAAAGCAUUCAUUGGCUUAGUGAGUAGUACCCGAAGGUUAACUCGUCCAACAACUAUAAGUCUCACCCAACGACAUUGGAAUUGGAACUCACAAGGAUUAAAUCACCCAAAAUUCACCUAGUGAAGUCCUGUCUUGCCUAGCGAAGUCCUAUCGUGCCCAAUGACAACCAAGUCAGUGAACUCUUUGACUCUAAAGUCACUUAGGAAGAAAUCCUCACGCAACAGCUACCAAGUCAGUGGGCUCUUUAAAUUUGGCAUCACCCAAUGAUGCAACCCCUCGCCCAGUGAGUAUGCUUAAUUACAAAAAAUGAAAUUAUGCAAUUAUGAAAAUCAAGACAUGGUAAACUCAAUACAACAACUUCAUACACACCACAAACAUACCGAAAUUUGAAUUACAACAGUCCAAUUGAGUCCAAAUCAUUAUAAUUGCAAUAUUACUCCUUACUUUACUUUAAAAUCCAUCUUACAAUCAGAUAAUGUAAUUGAAGAACCUAACCCCUAAUUCAAUAGAUCAUAGAUCAUGCUCAUCAAACAACUCAAUAGCUCAAGCAAUGAUCAUACAAUCACUCAAUCACUAAUUUGAAUAUAUUUAUAACUUAGAAAUACUACAAUUAGCUACUCUUACCUGUGAGACCACUCAAGAUGCUUAGAGACCCUAAAAUACCUUAAGACGCUUUUACCUACUCUUAGAAACAACACAAAUUCAAUUGAAGAACCUAACCCCUAAUUCAAGAUACAUAACUAAAAGCACUGAUCAACAAACAAUAUUGUAGAUGCUCUAAAGACACAUGGAGGCAAGAUAGACCUAUAUGUAAUAGAAGAACAAAUUUAACCUCUAAAGGAGCAAAAAAAUAGUUACUCAGAUGGAGAAACUAAUCGAACAUGAUUGAAGAGCUCGUUGUGAGAAUCAUUAUCGUUGUCUCCAAUCUUCAACCAGAGAAGUAGAGAGUGAGAAAACCUAGAGAAAAGUUAUAGAAUUCUAGAAAAAUAGUUUAUAAAAACAUGAUUUGCUUUUAAAUAAUGAAACUCAUUUAUCAAAAUUUUAUCGCACUUUAGCGAUCUUUAAUCUCUAAACACAAGAGAAGUUAGUUCUAAAAAUGUAAUUUCUAAAACGAUAAUAAACUUUUAAAUAAUAAAACUCAUUUAUAAAAUUUUUAUUUAUAUUUUAAUUUUUUAAUAUUAAAAUAAUCAAGUAUGUUUUGAUCACAUUUAAUUCUAAAAUAUUAUUUAUAUUUAUUUUAUUUCUCUUUUAAAUUAUUGCAAUAUUUUUAGUUUAUCACGUAAUUUAUAAAUAAUUUUUAUUAUUUUUUAUUCUAUGUUCAGUUUUAUUUGAAUUUUUUUCUCUAUUUUCUCUCAAAUAUUUAGUUUAUUCGAUUUUCACAAGUUGAGAUUUUAAAGUACUCAGGAUUUCAGAGCUUAAAAUUGACAUAAAUUAAAUAAAAGAAAAAAUAUAUAUCCUUUUAAUAUUGAAUAAUUAACAAUAGUUUUAACUUUUUGAAAGAAAAUAAUUUAAUUAAUAAUUAAGAAAUUACCCGAAGAGAUGAAAAUGACACAGAAACACAAAGAUGAAGAAAAAAAAUAAAUGUGAAUUUUUAUAUUUAGAAACAAAGACACAAAUACACUGAAAUCCACAACUUGAUUCGUUAUUAUAACUCAUAUUAGAUCUUUGAUGGGAAAUCUUGUACGAAUAAUCUUUAUUAUAUAUUAGUCUAUUGCGCAUUAUUAUAUAUAGUCAAAUAAUAAUAAUAAUAAUAAUAAUAAUAAACUACUUUUAAAAUUGGGAUUGUGAUUAGAGUCCAAAGACAUAUCGACAAACACAGUGGAAAUACUAUUAAAUGAAUGGUUGAAAAAAUUCAAAGAUUGGAGAAGGAAUAUUUAUAAUAUAUUAUAUGAACUUGUAAAAGAAAAAUAUUUGUUCUCUUUCUCCUUUUCUUAAAAAAAAAAGUUUUUCAAACUGAAGUUUUCAGACAAAACCAUCCAAUAUAGUUUAGUAUCUGGGAAAAUGUUUUAAAAAAUCCAAUUAAAUACCCUUUCUAAUGUUUUUCCUUAACUUUAUAUUAGAUAAAGUAUUUAUUUAUUAAAUUAUACAAGAUAUAUCAACCUUAUUUGUGAUCAUAUUAAUUAAAAAAAACUUACUGUCAGGGAUCAAUCGACCAUUGUCUAAAAUACCCUCUUCAUUUUAAAUAUUUCUCUCUGUUUGUCCUCACCCACUUGCACCAGCUUUGCACCAGUUUUCACUGUGUAUAUGGGUUGUUGCUGUAAUAUUUGCAUACUGUAGAUGAGGAAGCUUUGGUGGAAGAUGAAGAAAAGAGGUGGUCGGCUGCAAGCUCCGUCGCUGGUGACGAAGAAGACGAAAGAAGAAAUUCGUAUCCGGUUACACAGGAAGGUGUAUCCGGUUACGGAGAAGCCAUGAAAAUGCCCAACAACUUGUAUCUGGUUACCCAUAUACUUGUAUUCGGAUACAGUUGUUCUUGUUCAAAAAAAGCACGUAUCCGGAUACGCGUUGUUCUUCACCCAUGUUGUAUCCGGUUAUGGUCAUCAUCAUUUCUUACCUCCUUUGCUGCCAGCGUGGGGCGUAGCGCAUGAUCGGGAAGUGCUGGAAGCUUCUUACCUCCUUUGGUGCCGGCAUGGGGCGUAGCGCAUGACCGGGAAGUGCUUGCUGGAAGUUGCUCCGUAACGCAUGAGUUGCAGGUGGUGGACAUUGUUGUUUGCACGCGGGUCGUAGCAUGAGCUGCAGGUGGUGGACGCUGUUGUUUCUAACUCAGCAAUUUGCAGAAACGAAACACUAUAUUCACUGGUGGACAACGACACGUCUUCCAGCUACAGUCACCUCAAAGGAUGUACAAUGGUUCAGCUUCCUACAAGCUCCGACGUGCUAUUUGUGGAUCUUGAUCCCCACGACCCUUUCAAGUACGUAACUUAUGAAAUCGAAAUUGGAAUAGAAUUAUCUGAGAACUGUUCUAGGUGUUUGUAUGCUAAUGGAGGCCAAUGUCGAGUUGACAACACCAGAAUGUUUUACUGUGACCAAGGUUCAUUCCCUCUGUCACAUGUCUACCACCGUCGCUGUGCUGGAGUCUCGUCGACAUAUAAUAAUGAUGUUUAAUAUUAAAACUUGCAAUAAUAUUAAGGUAUUUUAGAAUGAGUUGUUUUUGAGAUUUGAUUUAUUUUAAGAAGAUUUACAAAUGUUUUGAUAUGUAAAUAUAUUAACUAAUUCUUUAAAUAACUAUUUUAAUGUCACAAAAUUUAUAUAUAGUUUUGUUUGUUUUAGACACACUACAUAAGAUCGUGUUUAUCAGGUCAUUUGAGCUAGUUUUUUUUUUUAUCCUUUCUUAUCUCAAAAGCUCGUUUGACUUGGUACGUAGUCUUUGAAUAAGAUUUUUUUAGUGAUUCUAAACUUUUUUUUAAAAUACAUACUUCAAGUGACUUUUUUGUAACCCAACUUUCUAUUUUUUUUAUAUUUAAUCUUAUUUUUAUCAUUUAAAUGUUAAUUAAUUCCCCAUUUAUUCUAUGGAAUAAUUUGUUUCUUUUAUCUGAUUAUGUUUGUACUUUAUUUCAUGUGAUGGAUAAUUAUAACUUGGGAUAAUUAUCGGUUGUGUACAAAAUUAAUAAAUCUCACUUCCAUAACAAAUAAAUUCCUACUACUUAAAAUUAAAUUAUAUCACAAACAAGUACUACAUUUAUUUUUUUAUGACACUAUUUUUUUAUCAUUUUCUUUCUAUAAAAAAUAUAAAAAUUUAUUUUUUUAUGAUUAUUUUACAUUGUAUUAAACGAAGGUAAAAAUGUGAUACCGUAACAAUACUUUUUGUAAAAAUAUAAAAUUUUAUUCUUUUAAAAUCAUUUUAUCUUUACAUUAUCAUUCAAACGAAGGUAAAAGUAUAUCAUCAUACGAUUAUUCAAAUUAAAAUAUGAUAUUCAUGAUAAUAACACUUGAAUGAUACAACUCAAAGGCCAAAUAACUAGAUUUCCAGUGUAAAAGGAAAUCUGCUAAUCAGCCUGUUUAUUAGGGUACAAAAGCUGCAAGAAAACAAACAAGCACACAAACAAGAGGCAUGCAUGGCAUGCAUCUGUUAUUGAAAAGUAAAAGCAUAACACAGAAGGAAACCAACAUGCGUUUAGAUAGAGACACUGUUAGGGAUUCCUCUGAAAGUCAUCCCUGGUUCACUGUUAGGAAGAAACACAGUGUAAGGCAAUUUGAUUGGUCCGGUUCGGUUUUUGAGUUCUUUGUUGUUGUUCCUGACCGAGAUUUCUUUCUCAAUUUUUGCUAGGUUUUCUGUAAAUUCUUGAAAUAUUUCUUUUGCAUGUUGAUCAGCAGUCCAAUUCAGACUGUUCCUUUGUCCAAGAUAUACCUCGUCCGAAGCAUGCGUUGAUAGUAGCUCCAUCACUGUAAGAUCCAUAACAGUCUGAUACUUUGGAGUAAUUGUUUUCAGAAAAGCUUCUUGAGGAUUCUUGCUCAUCUCAUCAUACUCUUCAGUUCCUGCUUCUGGGAUCCAUCUUCGGCUUUGUGUAGGACGGUUCAUGAUAUAACCUCCAUAAGGAUACUGUCCAAAAUUAACAGAGGCAUGAAGAGCUGAAGCAAUCCAUAUAAUGGUAGUGCAAAUCUCCACCAGAUCAUUAGAAGUAUGCAUUUUUGGCCAUAGAUCUGCUUUUAAGUCACCAUGACCCUUCUCCACAGCUUCCUUCCACCAUGCUUGCAAUUCAGUAUCUCCUUGAACUGCCCCCUCUUCUGAAUAGUACAGAUACAAAUACUCUUGUACCCACUUCUUAGUAGCAUUCCAUAUUUCUAGUCCAUCAACAGCAUAAGGAUAGUCCUCUAUCGCAAGUCUAAGGCCAUGAGGGGCAGUGAUAUCCUCAACCGCCAACCCUCUAAAUCAAUCAAAAGAAAAAAAAAAGGAGUUAUUUUGAUAACAAGGCCAUAUUGACACAUUGAUCUUUCUAAUUUAAUAUGGUUAAUUUACCUUUUGAUGAGAUCCUUUGGUAAAGCUUGGUCAGUGAAAACCCAACUCUUGUAUACAGCAGAAGUCAUCUCCAUUGAAUACGGUCCAGGCAAAAAAGAUUGCUCUAUAAUGCUACCCGCAUUAAUUAGGGAUUUCCUGGCAAGUGAAUUGAUAUUUAAUGUGUCACGGAAGUGAGGAUGAAGGAGUUUAUAAAUGGGGUGAAGUACACUGAGAUUCCUGUGUGUUGCUAUGGCAAAUGGCUCCAUCACUGCAUGAGUAUGUAACCUGUGACAGGCAACAGAAAAGUUACGAGAUAAAAUUUCAUACUACAUGUUUGCAUAUGUAUAUAUGUGUAGGAUGUAAAAGAGUUCGAGCACCAAGCACUCCUUUAAUUAAAUAGAUUAUUUAUUGUUGAUCUUGCAGAUGUAUGUUGGUAUAUACCAGUGGCUAAUGACUUGAUGAUAGUUGGUGUCAUUUACAGUAACAUGAGCUUUGGCCAGUUGCCAAAUUGUACUUUCAACACCUUUAUCUGCAGGCAGCACCACUCUAGUCUCGACAUUCGGAUGAUCAUGUGGCUUGCUUAAUUCAAUAGCAAGUGGUUUCAAUGUCCCAUCAUCUUUCAAGAACAAGAAUGUCCUGGUGGCAUAAGCCUUUGCAGAAGGAAGCUCAUUUAUCUUCGUCAAAUACGCCAUGAAUGCGUCAUAGUAAUCCAAUAUGAACAAUCUCCUAUCAGCAAAUGCCUGUUCCACAAUUUUAAGUUCAGUGCCAUACCUUUGAAUCACAAACAGUAUCACUUCAUAUCCCUUUAUAUAGGAAAGAAUAAUUCCAUAUCCAAGUAUUUAGAGGAAGUGUUGAACUUUGUAUUUCUAUGAUAUCAAAUUGUUUCUGCUUACUUCAUGUAUAUUAUUACCUCGUCUACUUUGACCCCAUUCAUGUUAAUCUCCAAAGUUUCUUUUGUUACUGUACUUCGUGAUUUGUUCCCUGGCAAUGCGAGCUCCUCCUUCUGCCAUUAAUAAAGAUGUCCGAUAAUCAGAAAGAAAGGCCAUGACAAUAGAAUAAUUCAGCAUAUAAAAGAUCUCUGUAUAUGAAAAAUAAAACUAAUAUCUGCACUUACUUUAAGAAGGCGAAUUACAGCAGGGUUUACACCGGCAAUCAUCUCUCUUGCAAACUCUUCAUCAGUCAUCCAUGCAAACUUGCUUUCUAUAGAAAAUUAUAACAAAGAAAAAACAAUUUACAAAGGGUGUAAUGUUUGGAAGUAGUUACGCCGGAGUGCCAAGUGAACUAGUUACCUUUAAUUACAGCGGGUAUUGGGAAGUCAAUGACAGUCGGAGUACCUUUGCCAGUGAUAACACUCGGCGUACCGUUGGCAGUGAUAGACAGAGGCAGAUCAACUCCACCUUCAUACAUUUUAUCCACUUCUUCGAAGCCAUUAAAUUCAUUUGAUGUGAUCUUUAAAUAUAAAGAAAGGAGCAAAGGUUCGACUCUUGCAGCUAAAUUUGUCCUUCCUAAUGAAAGGAAUUCUAAAGUCUUCUCCUGACUGAAAUCUUCAUCUCUUGGCACAUAAUUAACCUCGCCUGGUACCUCGUAUUCUUCACCUGUCAAAGACAUAAAUAGAGACACUUUUAUCAUCCACAAUUCAUUUGUGAUUAAAACAUGAUAAAAUGUAACUCACCAUUUCUUUCGAUGACGGGUCUCCCCGUCCUAAGCCUACGAGGGUAGGGAUAUUUGAGACCUCCAAGAACUGGGUGAUCUUUUGGUCCAUCGCUUUCAAGAAAGCCCAGAUCAUUAUACACAUCAUAAUCAUAAAUCCUAUCCCAUUUCUCACGCUUUCCUUUUCUAUCUCCCCUUAAAUUCUUCAACUCUUCUUCUCUGUACGCUUUUAAUUGCUCCGGUGUCUUACCAGGAAGAUAUGGCUGCAAUGCAUAUUUUUUCAUAAAUAUAUGCUUUUCUCAUGUAAAUUUUAAAAAUGGAAAUAAUAAAGACUAACAAUGUUGGCAAAGAAAAUGCGAUCCGUUUUGUAAAACUUAUGGUUGUAAACCCAGGAGUUACAGUCAAAGUGAAUAUAGUUCUGGUCGUGGUUAUGGUCGUGCUCAUUUCUUUGAGUUGGAUAUUCAAGAGUCACACUAACAAGUAAAAACUCNUNAUCCAUUAGGCUUUUUACGUAAAAUGCUCCUGGAAUUCCCAUUUCUUNAUCAUCCCAUUCAAAAUAAAUAUCAAAUUCCUCCNCUCUCUCUCCCNANGUUCGUNACACAGAAAUAUUNUUUUCCANAUANGUUUNCUUUCCAACUUUCCCAGCNGAANCUAAAACUGCAAAUGAAAACAAAUCAAAAUCCAACAAUAACGAGAAAAAGUACAAGUUCAAGGAAUGCANAGAUUCUUUUUGCAGUAUCAUUGCAGAAAGAAACACACAAGAAAGAAGAAACACUGACUGUUGUUUGAGUUGGUACGACUGAUCAACUUGAAAGACACAGAUUUAGUGAAAUCAAGUUGGGAUGAUGAGUCAAUGAUGGUUUUGCCAGUGGCAAAGAGACCCUGGACAGCGCUCAUGGUUUGAACAACAUUUUUCCGGAUCAAUACCACCCUCCCUUUCACCAACUUCUUCCUUUCCACUAUUGGUCCCUUCUUUUCCACUAUUAUUAGACUCAUUGCUAUAGCAAGGAUAUAUAAUUUCUGUGCUUGAUAUCUGAGAGUUGUGAGGUGUGAGGAAGCAAUGUAAUCUCGGGUAUUUAUACACGAAACUAUGUGAAGAAUUAAAGAAUAAACCAACCCAGCUGGAAAAAUCUCAAGAAUAAAUACAAGCUUCAUUAAUCCUCUAAUGUGAACAAAAACAUGAAAGUCAUGGAAAAAGCACCAAAAAUCUUUACCCAUUGAAAAAAUUGUGUGAAUAUGAGGUGUUUCCACCUUCAACUUAUGUGAUAACUAUUCUAUUGAAAUGAGUCCUACAUAUCCCAUUAAAGUUGUCUUCUUCUUCUUCUGCCAUUCAUUUCCUGCAAUCUCAUUUUUCAUGAACUAGUUUUUUCAGAAAUAACCCUUUGGCGUGUUAUUAGGAAUGUUGCAAAAUCUCAGUGUCUUAGGUUUAUUGUUCGAUAAUUUCAAUUAAUGUUGAUUGGUUGUACGAUAAGGCCACAAAGUCUUCUUUAACUCUUGUUUUGGAUGGUGUUGUGAACACGUGAUCAAUUCUUGUUGGUUGUUGAAAUCAUUUAUAUCCAUACAAAUAAUACAAUUGUAUUGUAUGUAAUAAUUAUUUUUAAAUGAAAAAUUCAUAUACUUUUUUUUUUCUAGUAAAGAAUAUGCUAUUAUAUCUUAUUAAUAAGAAAAAAAGUUAGCAAUUAAAAAAUGAAAUUCUUUAAAUAAAAAGUAACACUAAAAAUAAAUAAAAAUAUAUUCCUAACAGGAAUUUUACUUUUUAUUUUAAAGUUAAACUUUUAUUCGAAAUUAAAAUUUGUCUCAUAAUUUUAACUCAGUUGUAUUGUUUUUUUUUGCGAGACAAACACUUUCAUGGUAAUAUUUAAAUUUUUUAUAUUAUUUGAUAUAUUUUAGUUCGAAUGUUAACAUGAAAAACUACUUAAUAAACUUAAAAAAUUAACCUUAUUACAAAAGUUAAAUACUUUUUUAAAAUUUUAUAAUUUUGUAAUUUUAUAAUUUAUAAUUUUAUAAUUUAUAAUUUUAUAACUUUAUAAAUUUAUAACUUUAAAGUUUUAUAAUAAUUUUAUGAUGUUAUAAUUUUUUAAUUUUAUAAUAUAAUUUUAUAAUUUUAUAAUUUAUAAAAUUCUAAAAUUAUAAAUUUAUAAAUUCAUAAAGUUAUAAAAUUAAUUUAAAUGUAUAUGACAAUCAAGCCUUUAAAUAGUUAAACUUGUUUUAAAUGUAUAUGAUAAGUUUUAUAAAAAUAAAAUUCAUUCUUCUUUAUUCAUGAAAUCUUCAAUCUAAAUACAUAUUAUAUAAUUAUGGUAUUGAAAUUAAGACAAAAUUACAUCCAUUCAAAAUGUCUAUAAAAUAAUAUCCACUAAUUCAUAAAUAUAACCAUGAUUAUAUUUAUAAAUAGAUUAAAAAUAUAUAUCUUAAUAAUGAAGUAAAAUAAAUAAUGAUAAUGAUAAAUGUUACUUUAUGUUACAAAUUUAACUCUAAAUAUCAAAUUGUCUAACAUAAACAAUUAUCAAAUUUAUUAUAGUAAACAGUGUCGAAAAAUAUUUAUUUUCGAAAUUUAUAUUUGAAACGGGUUUACUAAGAGAAAACGUAAAAAAUUGUGAAAUACAGAAAAAAUAAUUAUUAUUAACUACAAUAGUUUGCAAUUUAUUAGUUUCUACAUAGAUUUUAUUAUAAAAUUUAAUUGUUUUAAAACAUAUAAUAAGUAUAAUAAAAAACAAAAUUAUUUUACUAUAUAUUGGAAACACAUUUGUCAUUUUGUCUCAGUAUUGACGUUUGUUUAUUUUAUUAAAAUACUAUUGGAAACAUAUUUAAGUACAAUAUUUUGUAUAUAUAUUUUUUAUAUUUAAUGGGUGUAAAUUUAAUAUAUAUAUAUAUAUAUAUAUAUGAUUGAUUAAUGUGAAAGGAGUUCCUUUGUCAUUAUAUGAUGAAACUUCUCCGCAAAAUUACAAUAUUACAAUAUUUAAUUGUGUUACACGUGACCGACCGAGAGUGACAAUAUGGUCAGUGUCCUAUUCUGAAAAGGAAUAUUUAACGGAUUAGGCAUUUAAAAUAAAUAAUAUUUGAGAAGUACUAUAAAUUAAAAAGUAUUAAUUAUUGAAAUGUAUAUAAUUAUUUUUUGAUGAAUGUAUAUUUAUAUUUAUAUAUUUUCUUUUUAGUAUUAUUUUACUAUAAUACAUUUAUUUCAUUUAAAAUAUUGUAAUUUUAAAUAUAAUAAAAAAAUAAAUAUAAAAUAAGUAUAUAAGAUAAAGAUAUCUUUUAUACAUUAUUGUGUAUCAUAAUAAAAUUUUAAAAGAAAUAAUAAUAUAUUAUCUUGUGUUGGAAAUCCAAAGAUAAUUUUACCACUCAUAAAGAGAUAAAAAGAAUUAAAAACUAAAUCUCAUAUUUUAAAAUUUUGAAUAAGAAGAAUUAUAAUCUUUUAUAUAAAUUAAACUCAUAUAUUAAUCUUCUCUUUUUCCGUAUUUUUUAAAAUAUUUAUCAUUGUUACAUCUUUUAUUCGAUUAAAUAGACAUAUUAAAGAAUUUGGUUUAAUAAGUUUUUUUAAUAGAAUAAUAUAAAGUUGUAUAUAUCUAGGUUAUAUUUAUACGUCAUAAUUAACUCUCAAUAGUUUGUGUUAUUCUUUCAUUUAGUCAUACAAAUAAUUUUUAUUUUUAGUGACUUUUUUCACUUUUUUAAAUUGGAUUUUUACUUUUAAAAAAUUAAAACAAUUAUGUCCUUGUAGUUAGAUAUGUAUAGAUGGUGUUAGUUCCAGUUUUUCUUUUUCAAAUUUUAAUAUAUUUUUAAUUUUUUAAACUAACAUUGUGACACGUGUCAAAUUGAUAUGGUGUUAUUGACAAUGACAUUUUAAUCCAAAUCGAACGGAAUAGAGUCGAAUCGAAUUGUGUCAAACCAAACCGAAAUGAGUCGAAUUGAACCGAGCCGAGCCGAGCGAAACCGAACCAAAUCGAAUUGAAUCGAGUGGAGCAGAGACAAACCGAACCAAAUCGAACCGAAUCGAACAGAACCUAACUGAACCAAACUGAACUGAACCAACCAAAUCGAGCUGAAUCAAACCCAAUACAACCAAACCAAACCAAAACGAGUCGAGUCAAGUUGAAUUGAACUGAAUCAAGACGAGCCAAAUCGAACCGAAUCAAAUCGAGUCCAACCAUCGGAACUGAACCAGGCCCGACUGAGCUGAAUUGAACCGAACCUAACAAAACCGAGCCGAAUGAGCCAAACGAUUCGAGCUUAGCUGAGCUAAACAAGCUUAUUUAAGUGGAGUCAUGCCGAACCAAAUUGAACCAAACUGAAUUGAACUUUGCCGAAUCGAACUAAAAUGGAUGGACCGAGGUGAGCCGAACCGAGGCGAGCUGAACUGAUUCGGACAAGCCGAGCCGAGUAGAACCAAACUAAUCUGAAGUAAAAUGAGGCAAGCUGAUUCGAGCUGAACCGAACUAAACCAAACCAAAUUGAGCCGAACCAAACGGAACUAAGUUGAACCUAAAGGAACGAGUCGAGCCAAGCUUAACGAGCCAAGCCGAGCGAAGAUGAGUCGAAUAGAACCGAACAUAGCUGAGCCGAACAAAAUUGAAUCGAUCGAAUCAAAUUGAGUCGAGCCGAACCGAACCGAGUCGACUUGAGCUGAACCAUGCCAAUCUGAAUUGAACUAAACUGAAUUGAACUGUAUCGAACCAAACCGAACUGAACAGAGCCGAGCUUAGCCGAGUCGAGCCAAACGAGCCGAACGAGACAAGCUGAACGUGACGAGCCAAAUCGAUCCGAAGUGAACCAAAGCAAACUGAACCGAACCAAUAGAACCAAAUUGCACCGAACCGAGCCAAAUCGAACUGAUUUACUCGAAACUAUAUUAAGUGCACUAACUCAUAUUAAAAGGAAAAAUAAAAUUAUUUGCUAGAACUUGUAAAACAAAAAUUCUUAAAAGAACUAUGGUAACUAAAACAAUGAUAUUAUAAACUAGACUAUACUAGGAUUAAGAGGGAAAUAAGGAUGAGCUGGGUAUAAUCUAACGUUUCAUAAAGGCAGAGCUGAAAAUGGUAAUCUUAGUUUUAACAUACUUCACAUUUCAUCAAUCUGGUUUUUCUUUUUCUCACUAACUUAGUGUUGCAAGAUGAUUUUGGUGUUGGGACAUUGAUAAAAGAUAAGAUGCAAGAACUUGAUGGCAGUCAGAACUCUAAAAUCAUGUUAAAAUACUUUGCAUAAGUUGAAAGAGAUACAAGCUCAAGAUCCCAAAGAAGCUAAAGAGAAGUAUCAAAGGGUUAAGAAAGCCCAUGAGAUGUUUGAGACCUUAAGAGACCCAUCAUGUUCUGCCGCCAAUACUGCUAUCAAGCUCCAGUUGUGGGGAAAUGUUUUUGCAGAAGAAAAUAUACAUUUGGGGGAUGAUCCGGUCCUAGUGGAAUUGAAUUCACUCCACCAAGUCAGUAGCUCUUUGACUUUGACUUUGCUCGGUGAAUAUAUGCUCGUCCAACAAGUUUCCAUAAUUUUGCAGAACAAAAUUCUGCAGAUUUAUGUCAUUUCAACCCUACAAAAGAGUCUAACACUAAUUCUAGAUGCCCAAAACAACCAACCAUAAGAUUAAACACGAAUCAAUGACGUAAUUCACCUUAGGUGCAAUGUCAAUCACACAGUAUACCAACAUUUCAACAUUCAAUCACUAAAAGCUAUCCCAAGCCCCUAACUCAACUCAACAUUUCAUAUUUCAUUAGCACAAAUACCAAUACCAGCACUUCAACCAAUUUCAAGCAACUCAAACAUGCAAUUCAGAUUCUCAACACAUCAUACACUUAAAUUAGGGAAAUUUAACUUUCCUUACUUGAUAGAUGACUAAACCGCUCUAGAAAAUCUAAAAUAGUUCCAAAUGCACAAGAAGUUUUAUCUGUUCCUACGAACCACAAAAAUAUGAUUAAGGUACACAAUUAGGAAAACUGAUCAAUAGAUAGUCUUAUAAAAGACUCAAACUUCAAUGUAGAAAAAGGGGCUAGCAUGCAAGGAAGAAGCCCAAAGAGAAGCAAAAAACCAACUUACUUUAUUUAAGAAACUGAUCGGUUAGACUUGAAGAUCUCACGACAAGGAUCACUCUGGCGGUAUUUGAUCUUCAAACACAUGAACAGAGAGCGACAAUUCUUAGAGCGGAGUUAGAUAAUUCUAGAAAAGUGGUUUUUUAGAGAGAUGAUAUGUUUUAAAAUAAUGAAACUCGUUCAUAACGAAACUAUCUAUAUUAAAAAAAAUUAAUAUUAAAAAUAAUUGAGUCUCACUAUUUUUAAACCACUGCCACCUCUAAAAUUUUGUUCGAAAAAACUCACUCAUCAAGUAGAAAGAAAAAUAUGCUCUUUUCAUUCUUUCUUAUCACAAACGACCAACUUGAUCGAGAUAUUAUCCCCAACACUCAACUGAUUGAAAAACAUUGCUUUUGCAUUAAAUUCUCUAGUAUUCAAUAGUAUAGAUUAGUCUAGCCACUACUCUUAAAACAAGCUCCAAACCUAAUCUUUUAAGGAUCCUUUUUGCGCCUGAUCAAAGAAUUUGUAUCGGCCAAACUAAACUCACCUCCCAAUUAAUGUCUUCCACUAACUCUUAUUAUUUUCAAAACUUUAGCUAGUCUUGACUUCAAACUAAAGCCUUCCCGAUAUCGUUUCACAUAAUCUUAUAUCCUCUCUAAAGUACUAUACAACUAACUUGAUCACACACAACUCUGAUCUAUCGUCAAACGCUGACACUCUUAAUUCACCCUUAUUCACAAUUACUCUGAUAACAUAAUUAACAUUUAUAUAAUUAACUAAAUAUAAAUAUAAAUAAACUUAAUCUUAUUAUAAAUAUUUAAUAAAAUAUCAAUUGUAAUAAAAAUAUUUAUAAAGAUUUAUAUAAAAAUUAAAUUUUGUUUGAAUUUGGAGAGGGACAAAAUUGUUUAAUUUUUAAAAAAAUUAGGAUUAAAUUGAGACCAUAAAAAUACGGGACUAAAUUGAAAUUAAUUCAAUGACACGUGGCCUGACAAUGACAUAUGACACUAUCGUUGCCAUGUCACAUUGUCAUCGUCAUGUGACAUAAUGUCAGUUUGACACGUGGUAAUUUUUUUUCUAAAAAAAAAAGUAAAAAAAUAAAAAUAAAAGUAUUUAAAAAAAUAUUUCGAAAUUCAAAAAAAAUAACGAACUGACAUGUGACACGUUCUUUAAGUUUGUUAAUACAAAAUUAAAGGCAACACCUAAUUGCUUCAAAUUUUCAAAAAUAUGAACCCAUUUGAGAUAAAAAAAAAAGUGAGAGACUUAUUUAAGAAAAGUCACCAAAAAUAGGGACCAUACGUAUGAUUAAACCUUAUUAUUUAUCAUUUUGUUAUUAUUUAUUAUAUUGUUAUUAUGCUCUUAGGUAAAAAUUAUUUCAAUAGGAAUAUAGGUCUAGGGUCCACAUUGAUCCUAUACAUAUAAUUAAUAUGUUCUAAGAAAGACUCACUUUCACACUAUUAUACAAAGAAUUUAACUAUUUUAUUAACUUGAACUUAAGAGAGUAUUUUAUAGGUAGAUUUUCCCUCUCAACAACAAAGAUCCUUUUCAGACAAAAGGAACAAGCAAACCACCAUUAGGAUAUUGUCUUUCAGUUAUUGGAGCCUAUAAUAGAACAUUUUGUCCCUUAAGCCCUCCAUUGGAGACAUUUAGUCAUUCUCCUUAGACCUUAAUUAGGGAGCUUAUGUUCUUACCACACUCAAUAGUCUCAUAUCGUUUAAGAGUCGAGAUUAACUGUAGUUAAAAUCACUAUAAGAAAAAUUGCUAUUUCUGACAAUCAAAAUUCGUCGAUAAUGCAUAAAAUUUGACAAUAAAUUAAAGUUAUCGUUGAUAAAAAAUUCAUUAAUAAAAGUGUUGUCGAAAAAUAUUACUGAAGAACUUUUGUUUCGUCGAUAAUUAUUGUUGAAAAUAUCCAUCGGUAAUUACUGAAAGAUUUUUCUGUCGAUAAUUAUCGACAAAUUUUUCCUUCGGUAACGUCCAUCAAUAUUUAUCGACGAAAUAAUUUGUUGGUAAAUAUUAUGAUGUGGUUCAUUUUUUUUCCUACUUUCCUUCUUUUUCUUUCUUUUAUUUUUACCAAAUCAGAAUAAAAGUGGAGCUUGCAUUGAAUAUGGAGAGUUUGGAUUGGAAGGUGAGAUGGAGAGGUUGAGGAGAGACAUGAGAUUUUGUAUGGAUGAAAUUGAGGUUGAGGAACCGGCAACACAAUUCAAGGGAGCAAUUGUUGUCUAUGGAGAACAUAUUGCAAGUCAGAGAGAAGAAAUAUCAGCACAUGAUGUCUUUUCUUUCUAAGGCACUCAACAAUCAAACUUUUAUUCAGCAAUACCUUUACAGAAACACUCAACAGAUAGAGUUGCAAGGUGCUAGAAGAAAGAGAAGACUAACUACUUUUCCAAACGUAGAGAAUUUGCAACAAAAUCCUGUGAUUAGUUGAUGCGGCUUUGCCAACAGAAGAGGAAUCCAUUAAUAUUGAGUGGCUGGUGGAGUCUCUUUUUUCGCGCAAAGAAAAUGGAGACUUGAGAAAGAAAGAAAAAUAAAUAAUAUAUCUCAAAGACUGAGAGAAAAAAUGAGCUGAAAAAUUCUCGCUUUUAUAGCUCUCUUUUAUUCCAUAUUUCAAGUUUUAACUUAAUUAUCUCUUUUAUAUAAUAGUUAAAUUAAAAAUGAGUUCAUUUUACAUUUGUGAAGGGAUGUCACAAAAACCAACAAGGUGAUGGUAUACCAGGCUCUAAAGACUUGUUUUAAGACAUAUAUAUGGGCCUAGGGAGUUUCCAAACAAGAGUUGAAUGUGUAGACUCAAAAUCAAAUGGUUGAGUGAUGUAAACGUCUUCUAGAAUGCCAUUUAUGAAAGAAUUAUUGUUUGUAAAAGCUAAAGUGAGAAUAAGUCUAAUAGUAAGAACCUUCACAGCUGGAUAAGUCCCAUCCAAAUUUACAACAUGCUUUCGUAGGAUGAGUGUGUCUAUAAUAUAACGAAACAACAAGGUCAAUAGGAUUAGCUUCUAUAUAAGAAUUUAGACGCAAUGUAAAUAAAAGACAAACAACAAUAAGUGAUUCAUGGGUAGCAUGUCGAAUUCAGAGUCAACAAUAGAUGAAAUGAUACCAUGAAGAAAUAAUAAAACAAGACAUCGAUCGAAAUAUAUUGUGUUUGAGUAACAAAAAGGAAACUAUUCUGGGAAAUAAAAAUAUUGCCAUUUGAAUCAAGACACUAACAACUUUUGUGAUAUGUGAAAUAACUUAAGAUUGUACAAGCAGGAAAACAAUGUCGUAAAUAUUAGUAUUAUAGAUACUCAAUUAUCACUACUACAAGAAAAUAUUCAGUUAUCUUCGAAAUUCAAUUACUAAAUCACAUGGUUUUUUUUUUUUUUAAUAAAAUAAUUAAACAGAAAGAAGAAAGGAAUAAAAAUGUAAAACCAUAAUAUUGAUGAUAAUAAUUCUUGAAUAAUACAACUCAAAGCCCAAAUAACAAAGGUUUACAGUGAUAAAAGGAAAUAAAUAUGCUAUAAUGAGCUUAUUUAUCAGAGUACAAAAGCAGCAUCAAAGACAAUGUGACCUAAACAACAACACACACAAUGAGGCAUGCACGUAACAUGCAACUGUUAUUGAAAGGUAAAAGCACAACACAGAAGGAAGCCAACAAGCUUUUAGAUAGAGAUACUGUUAGGGAUUCCUCUAAAAGUCAUCCCUGGUUUACUGGUGGGAAGAAGCAGAGUGUAGGGCAAUUUGACUGGUCCAGUACGAUUUUUAAGUCCUUCAGUGUUGUUCCUGUCUGAGAUUUUUUUCUCAAUUUUUUCCAAGUCAUCUGUAAAUCUUUUAAACAAAACUUUUGCUUCUUGAUGAGCAGUCCAAUCUAGACUGUUCCUUUGUCCAAGAUACACCUCGUCUGAAGCAUGGGUUGAUAGUAGCUCCAUUACUGAAAGAUCAACAACGGUCUGGUACUUUGGAGUAAUUGUUUUCAGAAAAGCUUCUUGAGGAUUCUUGGUCAUCUCAUCAUACUCUUCAGUUCCUGGUUUUGGGAUCCAUUUUCGGCUUUGUGUAGGACGGUUCAUUAUAUAACCAUAAGGAUACUGUCCAAAAUUAACAGCGGCGUGAAGAGCUGAAGCAAUCCAUAUAAUGGUAGUGCAAGUCUCAACCAGAUCUUGAGAAGUAAGCAUUUCACACCAUUGUGCUUUUAAGUCACCAUGACCCUUUUGUGCUUUUAAGUCACCAUGACCCUUCUCCACAACUUCCUUCCACCAUUCUUGCAAUUCAGUAUCUCCUUUAAUUGCCUGAUCGUCCGAAUAAUACAGAGCGACAUAGUCUUGUACCCAGAGCUUAGUAGCAUUCCAUAUUUCUAGUCCAUCAACAGCGUAAGGAUAGUCCUCUAUCACUAGCUUAAGGUCGUUAGCGUCAUCCUCAAACGCCAAACCUCUAAAUCAAUCAUAAGAAGAAGAAGAAAAAAGUUACUUUGAUAACAAGGCUAUCUCAAUUUUCACCAUCGACAUGAUAUUUUCCCAUAAUUGGACACAUUGUUUUUUUCUAAUUUAAUACGGUUAAAUUACCUAUUGAUGAGAUCCUUUGGUAAUGCUUGGUCAGCGAAAACCCAUUUCUCGUAUAUAGCAGAAGACAUCUCCAUAGAAUAUGGUCCAGGCAAAAAAGUUUGCUCUAUAACGCUACCUGCACUAAUUAGGGACUUCCUGGCAAGUGAGUUUAUAUUUAUGGUGUCACGGAAGUGAGGAUGAAGGAGUUUGUAAAUGGGGUGAAGUACACUGAGAUUCCUGUUUGUUGAUAUGGCAAAUGGCUCAAUCACUGCGUGAGUAUGUAACCUGUGACAUUUGACAGACACCAAGAAAGUUAAAAGAUUAAAUUUAGUAUUACAUUAACAUGUUUGCAUAUGUAGGCUUUUAGCAGAUUGAGUUCUUGUAUAAAUAUACCAGUGGCUUAUGAGCUGAUGAUAGUUGGUGUCAUUUACAACAACAUGAGCUUUGGCCAAUAACCAAAUUAUACCGUCGACACCUUUGUCUGCAGGCAGCUCCAAUCUGGUCUCGACAUUCCAUUGACCACAACAUGGACAUUGAUGUGGCUUGCUUAAUUCAAUAACAAGUGGUUUCAAUGUGCCGUCAUCUUGUAAGAACAAGAAUGUCCUGGUGGCAUAAGCCUUUGCAGAAGGAAGUUCAUUUAUCUUCGUCAAAUACGCCAUGAAUGCGUCAUAGUAAUCCAAUAUGAACAAUCUCUUCUUAUCAAAUGCCUGUUCCAAAAAAUUUAAGUUCAGUGAUAACUUUGUUAAUUCAUAUACCUUUCAAUCACAAACAAUAUCACUUUAGGUGCCUCCAUACCCCAAAGAAUAAUUUAAAGAAUAUUGAACUACUUUGUAUUUCUAUGAUAUCAUAUUGUUUUCUAUUUACUUCCUGUAUAUUAUCACCUCAUCUAGUGUCAUCUCGUUCAUGUUUUUCUCCAAUAUUUCUUUUGUUUCUACUGUACUGUGUUGAAUACAGUUGCAAAGUUGUUGCUCCAAUGAUAUAAGGUCAUCAUUCUGCCAUUCAUAAAGAUGUCCAAUAAUCAGAAAGAAAGGCCAUGAAAAUAGAAUAAUUUAGCAUAUAAAAGAUCUCUGUAUAUUAAAAAUAAAUUUAAUAUUUGCACUCACUCUAAGAAGCCGAAUUACAAGAGGGUUUACACCGGCAAUCAUCUCUCUUGCAAAUUCUUCAUCAGUCAUCCAUGCAAACUUGCUCUCUAUACAAAACCAUAACAAAGAAAAUAAAAUUGGCAAAGAGUGUAGUGUUUAGAAGUAGUUAUACCGGAGUUCCAAGUAAGCAAUAGUUACCUUUGAUUACAUCAGGAGUUGGGAAGUCAAGGACACUUGGAUUACCGUUUCCAGUGAUAGAUAGAGGCAGAUUAACUCCACCUUCAUACAUUUUCAGCACUUCUUCGAAGCCAUUAAAUUCAUUUGAGGUGGUCUUUAAAUACAAAGAUAGGAGCAAAGGUUCGACGCUUCCACCUAAAGCUUUCUUUGAUAAUUGAAAGAAUUCUGCAGUCUUCUCGUCACUGAAAUUUUCAUCUCUUGGCACAUAAUAAACCUCAGCUUGCUCCUCGUAGUUACCACCUAGUCAAGACAUAAAUUAAGCAUAGAGACAUUUUUGUCAUCAAAGAAUUCAAAUUUUUAUUUGUCACAUGUUUAGUCUAGGCUGGACCUUUCUUUAGAACAUGUAAUUAAAGCAUGAUAAAAUGCAACUCACCAUUUUUGUUGUUGUGGAUAACGUUUCUCCCAGUCCUAACCCUACGAGGGUAGGGAUAUUUGAGGCCUCCAAGAACUGGGUGAUCUUGUUGUCCAUCGCUGUCAAGAAAUCCCAGAUCAUUAUAUACAUCAUAAUCAUAAAUCCUAUCCCAUUUCUCACGCUUUCCAGUUCCAUCCCCCCUUAAAUUCUUCAACUCUUCUUCUCUGUACGCUUGUAAUUGCACCGGUGUCUUAUCAGGAAGAUAUGGCUGCAAUGCAUAUUUUUUCAUAAAUAUAUAGUUUUCUCAUUUAAAUUUUAAGAAUGGAAAUAACAAAGAUCGUCAUUUGACUUACAAUGUUGGCGAAGAAUAUGCGACCUNUUUCGCUACGCUUAUCGUUGUGAACCCAGGAAUUACAGUCNAAGUGAAUAAUAUUGUUCUUGUCGUGUUCACUUGGAUAUUCAAUAGUGACACUAACUAGGAAGAACUCUUCAUUCAUUUUGUUUGUUACAUAAAAUGCACCUGGAGUUCCCAUAUCUUNAUCAUCCCAUUCAAAAUAAAUAUCAAAUUCUUCCCGCGUCUCUUUCAAAGUUCGUAACACAGAAACAUUAUUCUCCAAAUAGGCAACCUUUCCAACUUUCCCAGCCAAACUACAAGCUGCAAAAUGCAAACAAAUCAAAAUCUAAAAAUAACAAGAUAGUAGUACAUGUUUAUAGAAUGCAGAAAGACUUUUUUACAGUAUAAUCUGAUUUCAAAUCAUGAUACAUGAUAUAAACUAUUGGUUUUGAUAAUAAAGGUAACUAUUUUUGAAAGAUUGAUAAUAGAAAAACUUGUAUACUGAUAAUGCAUAGUGUACACUGAAAAGAAAAACAUGAGAAAGAGAGAAGACUAACCAUUCUCUGACUUGGUACGACUAAUCAAUUUGAAAGACACAGACUUAGUGAUAUCAAGUUCGGGUGAGUCGUUAAUUAUCUUGACGCCAGUGGCAACAAGACCCUGAACACUGCUUAUGGUUUGAACCACACUCUUCCGUAUCAACACCACUCUCCCCUUCACCAACUCUUUCUUUUCCACUAUUGAACUCAUUGUUGUAGCAAGGACAAUUUCUUAUGAAUCUAAUUAUGCUGUGAGUUGUGAGGAAUUCAAGUUCUAUUCUCAGCUAUUUAUACACAAAAGUAUGUAUAUGAUGAUAAAUCUCUUUGUAUUGAUACAUGUGUGUGAACACAGCCUUUUACUAAAUUGAGGAUUAUUUUUUAUAAGAAAAAUAAUAUUUUAACACUAUUUUUUGACAUCAUUUUGACACUGCACACAUGUUAAAAUGUGAUUAGACGAUUUCAAAUUAAAAAAGUUGAGGCAGAGGUAUAUUUGGAAGAAAAAAACCAAAGUUUAUUUUUUUAAUUUGAAAUCGUCCAACCACAUUUUGACACGUGUGCAGUGUCAAAAUGAUGUAAAAAAAAUGUGUUAAAAUAUCAUUUCCCUUUUUAUAACAAGUUGCUUCUAUAUAUAGUUAUUCAUUUAUUUCAUCAUUAUUCAAAAUAAAAAAAUCAUAAUUAAUAUUUAAUGCUAUGUCUAAGUAAUAAAAAAUAUAAUUUGACACAUAUAAAAUUUUUUACAUUUUUAUUUUAUAUUAUUCUUUUUUAUUUUUUACUUUCUUAAAAAAAAUACAAAAUUUAUUUUUUUAUUACCAUUUUACCAUUAUAUUAUAUAUCAAAUAAAUAUAAAAUUACGUUACCGAAUCAUUACUCGUUGUUAAUAAUAUAUAGAGAUGAGAACUACUAUCAAGCAUGUAAAGUUUAAUUAUACUUUUUUCCUUAUUUCUUUAAGGUUUUAUACCUUUAUCUUAUUAUUAGGUCACGGUUGUACCAUCCUCGUCUAAAUAUCUUUUCUUAAAAAAAUUAAGAGUUAAGACAAAAAUUAUUAUCAUUGUUUUAAUGUUAAAAUGAUAUAUUAUAUACCUUCUUUUAUAUGUUAAGAUAGCACGUCUAAUAACUAUAUCAUUGAAAAUAGUUAUAUUUUCAUAAAUUUUCAAGCCUUAUUAGGUUAGAUGUAGGAGGAGAAAGAAAAAUUUGUAAUUUUUUAUUCAGUUGUUUGUGUCUAUUAUUAGGACAUAUUUAACCAAAUACUUAUUUAUAAUAAGCUUAAAUGAUGAAUUUGUGGUAAGAGUGAGAUGUUUUGCUAUUAAGAUAAGAAAGUUCUAUUAGAUGAGUUCUGGAUGUUGUUAUUGGGAUAGUUUUGGAUAGAAAAAUAGAAAAAAUGAAUAUACUUAUUAACUUUUUUUUCUUCUUUUUUUCUUUGUGCAUAAAUUUUAUUUUAUAAGUGAAUUUCAAUACUUCAAAUACACUAAGAAAAUUCCAGUAAAUUUAAAAUGGAAAAGAAAGCGAUUGCAGAAAUAUCUAUAAACUCAUUUAUGCUUAAAACGUCAGAUAUUACCUAUGUGAUUAAUUCAAAUAUUCUUUAUUCAUAUCAAAAUAAAUUCAAACAAUACUGAUUGAAUUUUUUUCAUUUGUCAUCUAGAGUAACCAAUUGUAUAAUGUAAUAAAUUAAAUUAAUUAAGGGUGGUUACACCUAAUUUCAAUAAAUAUAUAAAAAAAGUUAAUUUAUCUCUUAUGAUAAAAUAUUUAGACGAUAUAAACCUUCCACGAUCUAUAAUAUUUUUUUCCUUAAGUUGAAUUCUUCACAUUCUAAAAAAUAUUCUUAUCUUUAACUUACUUUUAUAAUAUAUGUUCUAUCAUUUAAUUUUCUCCAUUAUGUUUUAGACAUUACAAUAUUUCCAAUUUGCUUAUUUUAUUUUAUAGUCGACAGGAAAUCAAUAAUAUUAUCACAUUCCUUUAGCACAUGAUUCUUAGAAGGUACUGGUUUGACAUUUGAAGAACAAUAUAAAAGAAAAAUUAUCGAAAAAGAAUCAUAGACAACCGCGAUCUGAGAUGGAGGGAAGAGAACAGGUCGAAACAUGUUUUCUUAAACAUAAAGAGUUUCUAGUGGAAACAUAAAUACUAUUUUUUUCAAUAUAGAUAUACUAAAAAAUAUUAUAUAACCUAAGACUUUAUUCAUGUACAAAAGUCAAGUCAUAUUAAAAAACGUAACAAACUAAGGUUUUAAUAUAAUAGAUAGAGUUGUAAAAAUAAGUUAUAACCCGCAAGUCAAUUUGAUCUACCACAAAUUUGAGUCGAGUUAGAUUUGAAAAAAAUAUAUUUUUUUAUGCAGAUCAAUUUUCAAUCCAACUCAUUUAAUCUUAACUCAUCUAGAUUAAAUUCGUGGUGAGCCGGGUUAGCUCACCAACAUACCUAAUUUACCUUAAAAAAAUACUCUCUUCACUCAUCAUGAUUGUAUACUAAAAAAUAUUAUUUUGUACUUUUUUUUAUUAUUUUGAAUUGUCUUGAGUUUAACACUUUGAUAGUGAAAUUUAUUUAAAUUUGAAAUACAAUUUUUUUUUUUAAUCCAUAAAUUGAUUCACUAAAUGACUAACUCGUAGUAGGUCGAACCAGGUUCAGGUUGGGUUGAAUGACCCGUUUUGAGAAUAUGAUAGAAUUUCAAAUCUUAAACCACCAUAUUUAGAUAGUUUACUCUGUCGUUAGAAACACUGUAACUUUAUAUGGCUUUUUUUUUUUUUUUGUAAUAAUAGAAAAAAAAAAUAUCUUAUCACAAUAAUAAAUAUAGUGUUAAUAAUAAAAUUAUAAAAAAGAUAUGUAAAAAAUAUAAUUAUCGUGAUAUAAUAUGAAUAGAUUGUUGCAGGAAAUCUGCAACUUGUCACAAAUAUGAACUAGUUUUUCAUCAGUUUCGUUGAUUUUUUAUAUAUUUCUCAUGAAGCAGCAUGUAAGUUUUGAAAACUCUGUAUUCAAUUUUGGCAUGCAUCAAAACAAAAUAUUCUAUUUGGGCAUGUAAUAAAAACACACACACACAUAUAUAUAUAUAUAUAUAUAUAUAUAUAUAUAUAUAUAUAUAUAUAUAUUAUUACCACUUGGCAUAGGAGCUUCAUCACGCACGGGUUCUUUUAGAUAUGUUUAUUAGGAUGAGAAAAAAAUUAAGUCAUUUUUAAAUUAAUAAAUUAAUUAAAAUUAAGGAACUGUUUCAAUAAAAUGUAACUCAUACAUUUAUUAUUUUGAAAAGAAGAGAGUAAUUUUGGAAAAUGAGAUUUUUUUUUAUAGUUUUGACUCUCUUUUUUUUUUUUUUUCUUCAUAUUUCAGUAUAUUUCUUUUUACUUUCCUUACUACCAAGGAGGGAUGCACACUUCCAUUUUACUUGCAUUAAUAAUUUUUCACUUUACAAAUAAUAUUGUCAUUAUUUCUUAUUCUAUAUUGAGAACUUAUAUAUAUGUCUGAUAAUGAUUCGAAACAUCAGUACUAAAAUAAUGAAUCUUAACUUUGUAUUAAAAAAAUAUACAGACACAUAUUCUAUUCAUAUAUAUGCACUAAGAUUCGUCCUAAAAUAACAUAUUGCCUUAACAACCCUAAAACAUUAUUAUUAUUAUUAUUAUUAUUAUUAUUAUUAUUAUUAUUAUUAUUAUUAUUAUUAUUAUUAUUAUAAUAAAAGUAUGACUUAUGAGUAAUUUAAUUACGUGUAGUGGUAUAUUUAAAGAAAAUAGAAACAAAUAUAUAAAUAUUUCAGCGUUUUUUUAAAGAUAUAAGAUAUUUAUUUAUACAAGUCUAUGAAAUCCUUUAUAUUUUGAAGUUUGUAUUGAAAGAUGAUUUGUAGGAAGUUUGAUUAAAGAAUAAUUUUAUUUUAAUUUGUUAUGAUUUUUUAUAUAAACGAAUUAAAGUUAAAGUAAUGUUUACAUUUUUGUCAAAAAUUAAUGUUUACAUUUUUUAUAUAAUUUGUUCAGUAUUAUCAUUGAUUUAUCAUUGCUUAUAUAUCUUUUUAGCUAGGAUGAAUCUUUGUGCUGGAAGGAGAUAAAGGUAAUAGCGGAAUAUGACAAAAUAGCUGAGUAAUACAUUUAUGGGAAAGAAAGUAUUGCUAGAAGCUGAAAUUGCCUAUAGUGUGAGAAGAAAAAGUAAUGGUAGGUUACUGGGUAGUGUUGUUGAUGAAAAAGAGAUAAUAUAAUUUUUUUCUAACAUUUUUUAUUAUUUUUUAAACAACUUCUCUUCAUUUUUUUCACAGUUAUAUAUAUUAGUUUAAAAUUUAAAUUUUAAGAAAUCAUUAAAAUCUUAUUUUUGAUAAAUUUUGAUAUAUCAUAUAUUAAAUUAAAUAAUUAUUAAAGAAAAUUAAUCAAAACAAAUCAUUUAAUGUAUAAUAGGUUAUUUUAUUAAUUUAAUGACAUUAUAUUAAUAAAAAUUAUUAUUUUUUAUUUUCUUUAAAAAAUACGGAUGAAUAGUAACAAAAAUAAUUAAAAAAUAAAAUAAAUAUUUUAUCUCCAAGUUAUUAUUUAUCUUUAUAGACUAUUAAAAUAGAUUUCUACAACAUAUUUAUUUAUUUUUAAUAAAAAUUAUUAAAAUUAUUUUCAAUAAAAUAUAAUUUUUUAAUAUAUAAGUAUGAAUAGAUGAUUUUACCCAUAGAAUUUAAAUAUACAAUAUAAAAAUUUGGUUAAUACAUCCUAUGAUGUUUUAUAUGUUAUUUCAAAUUUCUAACUCAACUUUUAUAGACUUCAUUCAUGUAUAUCACACUAUAUUGAUCAUGCAAUUUUAUUUAUAUACAUUCAUGUUUAUCAUCUUCCUUUUCAUCAUGUAAAGUUUACAUAAUGCAUAAAUUACUAAUUUAUUUUCAUUUGAUUUUAAUUUCUUUGAUAAAAUACUAAUGAAUAAUAAAUUAUAUGUAGCAAACAUAACAGAAAUAAUACAAAAGACCAAAUAUAUAUAUAUAUAUAUAUAUAUAUAUAUAUAUAUAUAUAUAUAUAUAUUAAAAGUUAUUCUUUAAUAUUAAUAUUAUUAUGUAUCUUUAAAUAUAGGCUAUUGAAAUAAAUUCGUACUGUAUAUGUAUUUUUUUAAUAAAAUAAUUACUAAAAUUAUUUUCAAUCAGAAAUAAUUCUUUAAAUAAGAAUCUACAUAUAAAAUUUUGAAUUUGAUUGGUUUUUAAAAUCCAAUAUAAAAUUCAAUCCAAUCUAGUAAAAUAUUUUGAUUUUGAAUUGAAUUAUAACAAUUUACCUUUUCCACUAUACGUAUUUUAAUUUUUAUUUUUAGUUUCACUCUCAUAUUAUUUUGAAUUGGUUUAAUGCAUAAAAAUGUCUUCAAAUAAAACUUCUUAUUACUUUUUCUUUUUCAGAAAAAACAUGUUAUUACGUGAAAUUAAGAUGUUUCCAUACGAAUUUUUUUUCAAAAUUUUAUAUAGUCCGAAAUGUUUUUUUUUUUUUUUUAUGAAUUGAGAUUAGAGUGUUGGUAAAUAUUCUGAUCAAGUCAAUAAAUAAUAUGAUAUGUUAUGUUUAUAUUAUCAAAUAAAUCUUAUCUUAAUAAAUAACAUUUCUUAUAUAUCUAUUUUUUUUUCAUGGGUUUUACUUAAAUGAACUUGACUCAGAUAUACUAAUUCUAUUUUAGGAAUUUUUAGGACAUGGACAUUGAUUAACAACAUAGAGUUACUUUUCUUUAGGUUGAAGGAUAAAUAAACAUCAUGUUCUUCUAGGGAUAAAAUCACAAUUAUACUCGAACUCUUCUUCCUAUUUUGAAUCAAUCACAUUUAUAAUAUGAAAUGCCACGAUGGAUUAUGGAUGUAUUUGUUUUUAUAAUUUAAUUAUGUCAGUGUAAACCAUUUUACAGUAUUAUUUAACUACGAAUUGUUAUAGAGAGACAAAUAUUAAUUUUUAAUUAUUUUACUUUAUAAAUUAGUUGAGCACGUGUGUCAAAAUAGAACUAUUAUUUAGGGAAAAUGAUAUUUUAACACCAAUUUUUUACACUUUUGACAUUGCACAUGUGUCAAAAUGUGAUUGGACGAUUUUAAAUUAAAAAAAAGCUGAGACAAGGACAUAUUUGGAAGAGAAAAACUAAAGUUCUUUUUUAAUUUGAAAUCGUCCAACUACAUUUUGACAUGUGUGUAAUGUCAAAAUAGUAUCAAAAAAUUAGUGUUAAAAUAUCAUUUUUCUUAUAUAUAACGAUUUCUUUUAAGAGAAUGGGACCUUCCUUAAAACUUCAUGAUUUAGAGAUAAAGAACAAUAAUAAUUUUUAAACAAUCUUCAAAACUAAAUUACUAAAUCACAUGGCUUUGUUUGAAUAAAAUAAUUGAAGAGAAAGAAGAAAGAAAUAAAAAUGUAAAACCAUAACAUUCAUGAUAAUAACUCUUGAAUAAUACAACUCAAAGCUCAAAUAACAAAGGUUUACAGUGAUAAAAGGAAAUAUGCUAAUGGGUACAAAAGCAGCGUCAAAGACAAUGUGACAUAAACAACAACAUACAAAAUGAGACAUAUGCACGUAACAUGGAACUGUUAUUGAAAGGAAAAUGAAGCCACCAAGCCCUUAGAUAGAGACACUGUUAGGGAUUCCUCUAAAAGUCAUCCCUGGUUUACUGGUAGGAAGAAGCAGAGUGUAGGGCAUUUUGACUGGUCCAGUACGAUUUUUAAGUCCUUCAGUCUUGUUCCUUUCUGAGAUUUUUUUCUCAAUUUUUUCUAAGUCAUCUGCAAAUCUUUUAAACAAAUCUUUUGCUUUUUCAUUAGAAGUCCAAUUCAGACUGUUCCUUUGUCCAAGAUACACCUCGUCUGAAGCAUGGGUUGAUAGUAGCUCCAAUAUUGAAAGAUCAACAACGGCCUGGUACUUUGGAGUAAUUGUUUUCAAAUAAGCUUCUUGAGGAUUCUUGCUCAUCUCAUCAUAUUCUGGAGUUUUUUCUUCUGGGAUCCAUCUUCGGCUUUGUGUAGGACGGUUCACGAUAUAACCUCCAUAAGGAUACUGUCCAAAAUUAACAGCGGCAUGAAGAGCUGAAGCAAUCCAUAUAAUGGUAGUGCAAAUCUCCACCAGAUCAUUAGAAGUAUGCAUUUUUGGCCAUAGAUCUGCUUUUAAGUCACCAUGACCCUUCUCCACAGCUUCCUUCCACCAUGCUUGCAAUUCAGUAUCUCUUUGAACUGCUCCCUCCUCUGAAUAGUACAGAGACACAUACUCUUGUACCCACUUCUCAGUAGCAUUCCAUAUUUCUAGUCCAUCAACAGCAUAAGGAUAGUCCUCUAUCGCAAGUUUAAGGCCAUGAGGGGCAGUUGUAUCCUCAACCGCCAAUCCUCUAAAUCGUUCAAAAGAAAAACAAAAAAAAAAAGAGUUAUUUUGAUAUUUUCCCAUAAUUUAACACAUUGUUUUAUCUACUUUAAUACGGUUAAUUUACCUUUUGAUGAGAUCCUUUGGUAAUGCUUGGUCAGCGAAAACCCAAUUCUUGUAUAUAGCAGAAGACAUCACCAUAGAAUAUGGUCCAGGCAAAAAAGUUUGCUCUAUGAUGCUACCUGCACUAAUUAGGGUCUUCCUGGCAAGUGAAUUUAUAUUUAAGGUGUCACGGAAGUGAGGAUGAAGGAGUUUGUAAAUGGGGUGAAGUACACUGAGAUUCCUGUGUGUUGAUAUGACAAAUGGCUCAAUCACUGCGUGAGUAUGUAACCUGUGACAUUUAACAGACACCAAGAAAGUUAAAAGACUAAAUUUCGUAUUACAUUAUAAAGUUUGCAUAUGUAUGCUUCUAGCAGAUAGAGUUGUUAUAAAUAUACCAGUGGCUUAUGAGCUGAUGAUAGUUGGUGUCAUUUACAACAACAUGAGCUUUGGCCAAUAACCAAAUUAUACCGUCCACACCAUUGUCUGCAGGCAGCACCACUUUGGUCUCGUCAUUCGGAUGUGGCUUGCUUAAUUCAAUAGCAAGUGGUUUCAAUGUAUCAUCUUUUAAGAACAAGAAUGUCCUGGUGGCAUAAGCCUUUGCAGAAGGAAGUUCAUUUAUCUUCUCCAAAUACGGCAUGAAUGCGUCAUAGUAAUCCAAUAUGAACAAUUUAUUAUUAGCAAAUGCCUGUUCCACAAAUUUAAGUUCAGUGAUCAUUUUGUUAAUAUCAUAUAUACCUUUGAAUCACAAUAGGAAAGAAUAAUUCCAAAAUCCAAGUAUUUAGAGGAAGUGUUGAACUUUGUAUUUCUAUCAUAUUAAAUCGUUUCUCUUUAGUUCAUUACCUCAUCUACUUUGACUCCAUUCAUGUUAAUCUCCAAAGUUUCUUUUGUUACUGUACUUCGUGAUGUGUUCCCUGGAAAUGCGAGGUCCUCCUUCUGCCAUUAAUAAAGAUGUCCAAUAAUCAGAAAGAAAGGCCAUAUAAAAGAUCUCUGUAUAUUAAAAGUAAAUUUAAUAUAUUUGCACUCACUUUAAGAAGCCGAAUUACAUGAGGGUUUACACCAGCAAUCAUCUCUCUUGCAAAUUCUUCAUCAGUCAUCCAUGCAGACUUGCUCUCUAUACAAAAUGAUAACAAAGAAAAUAAGAUUGGCAAAGAGUGUAAUGUUUGGAAGUGGUUAUGCCGGAGUUAUAAGUAAGCAAUAGUUACCUUUGAUUACAUCAGGAGUUGGGAAGUCAAUGACACUUGGAUUUCCACCUUCAUACAUUUUCAGCAUUUCUUCGAAGCUGUUAAAUUCAUUUGAUGUUGUCUUUAAAUACAAAGAUAGGAGCAAAGGUUUCACUUUUCCACCUAAAGCUUUCCUUGAUAAUUCAAGGAAUUCUAAAGUCUUCUGCUGACUGAAAUCUUCAUCUCUUGGCACAUAAUAAACCUCGUCUGGUACCUCGUAUUUUUCACCUGUCAAGACAUACAUAGAGACUCAUUUAUCAUCCACAAUUCAAACUUUUAUUUGUCACAUGUUUCGUUUACUGGGCCUUUCAUAUUAGACCAUGUGAUUAAAACAUGAUAAAAUGUAACUCACCAUUUCUUUCGAUGAGGGGUCUCCCCGUCCUAACCCUACGAGGGUAGGGAUAUUUGAGACCUCCAAGAACUGGGUGAUGUUCUUGUCUAUCGCUUUCAAGAAAGCCCAGAUCAUUAUAGACAUCAUAAUCAUAAAUCCUAUCCCCUUUCUCACGCUUUCCAGUUCCAUUUCCCCUUAAAUUCUCCAACUCCUUUUGUCUGUACGCUUGUAAUUGCACCGGUGUCUCACCAGGAAGAUAUGACUGCAAUGCAUAUUUUUUCAUAAAUAUAUAGUUUUCUCAUUUAAAUUUUAAGAAUGGAAAUAACAAAGAUCGUUAUUUGACUUACAAUGUUGGCGAAGAAUAUGCGACCUGUUUCGCUACGCUUAUCGUUGUGAACCCAGGAAUUACAGUCNAAGUGAAUAAUAUUGUUCUUGUCGUGUUCACUUGGAUAUUCAAUAGUGACACUAACUAGGAAGAACUCUUCAUUCAUUUUGUUUGUUACAUAAAAUGCACCUGGAGUUCCCAUAUCUUCAUCAUCCCAUUCAAAAUAAAUAUCGUAUUCCUCCCGUGUCUCUUUCAAAGUUCGUAACACAGAAACAUUAUUCUCCAAAUAGGCAUCCUUUCCAACUUUCCCAGCUGAAUUACUUUCUGCAAGAUGCAAACAAAUCAAAACCUACAUGUUUAUGGAAUGCAGAAAGACUUUUUUACAGUAUCAUCUGAUUUCAAAUCAUCAUACAUGAUAUAAACUAUUGGUUUUGGUAAGAAACGUAACUAUAUUUGAAAGAUUGAUGAUAGAAAAACUUGUAUACUGAUAAUGCACAGUGUGAACUGAAAAGAAAAACAUGAGAAAGAGAGAAGACUAACCAUUCUCUGACUUGGAACUACUAAUCAACUUGAAAGACACAGACUUAGUGAUAUCAAGUUGGGGUGAGUCGUUAAUUAUCUUGAUGCCAGUGGCAAGAAUACCCUUAGGAGUGCUUAGGGUUUGAACCACACUCUUCCUUAUCAACACCACUCUCCCCUUCACCAACUUUUUCUUUUCCACUAUUGAACUCAUUGCUAUAGCAAGAACAAUUUCUUAUGAAUCUAAUUAUGCUGUGAGUUGUGAGGAAUUCAUGCUCUAAUCUCAGCUAUUUAUACACAAAAGUAUGUGAUACUGAUCGUAUUUGUAUACUCGUAAAGAAAGGAACAUAAACAAAAGAGGAUAGAUCAGAUAAGAUGAUAAAUCUCUUUAUAUAAUAUAUGCCAGUGGUGUGAACACUGCGUGAGCAUUAUUUUUUAUAACAUGUUGCUUCUAUUAUAGUUAUUAAUUUAUUUUAUAAUAUAUGUCCCAUAUUUAUUUUUCUACAUUAUGUUUUAGAUAUUACAACAUUUCCAAUUUACUUAUUUUAUUUUAUCUUCGACAGGAAAUUAAUAGCAAUAUUUCACAUUCUUUAGCACAUGAUUCUUAGAUUCCCCUCAAAAAAAAAAUCACUGGUUUGACAUUUGAAAAACAAUUUAAAAGGAAAAUUAUCACCGCGAUCUGAGAUCGAGGGAAGAGGACAGAUCGAAACAUGUUUCUUAAACAUAAAGUGUUUCAUGUGGAAACAUAAAUACUAUUAUUUUUCAAUAUAGAUUAUAAAAAAGAGGAUAAUAAUAUUUUGACAAUUCUUUUUUAACAACUUUUUAACAAGGAGGACACGUGUUAUCACUCCAUUUUAUUGGUCUGUUUGAAUUUAUGUUUAAAAAGAUAUUUGAAACGGACCAAUCAUAGACGGUCACGUAUGCGUUGUCAGAAAAAAUUGUUAAAAAGACUUUUUCCUAUAAAAUAUUAUAUAACCUAAGACUUUAACUAAUGUACAAAAGUCAAGUCAUAUUAAAAAACACAACAAACUAAGGUUUUAAUAUAAUAGAAUUUCAAAUCUUAAACCACCAUUCAGAUAGUUUACUCUGUCGGUUACAAACACUCUGACUGUAUGGCAUUUUUUUUUCAAUAAUAGCAAAAAAAAUAUCUUAUCACAAUAAUAAAACUGUUAUUAUAUAUAUAGUGUUAAUAAUAAAAUUAUAAAAAAGAUAUGUGAAAUAAAUAUAAUCUUUAUUAUUGUUGCAUUAUCGUGAUUUAAUAUGAACUAGUUUUUCAUCAGUUUCGUUGAUAUUUCAUUUCUCAUGCCACGUUCAAGCAGACAUGUAAGUUCUGAAAACUCUGUAUUUGUGCAUGCAUCAAAACAAAAUAUUUUUUUUAAAUUAAUAAAUUAAUUAAAAUUAAGGACUUGUAUCGAUAAAAUGUAACUUAUACAUUUAUUAUUUUGGAAAGAGAAGAGUAAUUUUGAAAAAUGAGUUAUUUAUUUAUUUAUUUAUUAUUAUUAUUAUUAUAGUUAUCACUUUUUUCUCUUCAUAUUUCACUGGAAAGUAAACAUGAGGAACAAAGUGAUAUAUUUCUUUUUAGGUUAAAACCACUUAGGCGUCCCUGUUUUCGUAAAGUUUUUCCAUUUUGAUCUCGUUCUUAUAAAAGUUCCCAAUUGGUCCUUAAAAGUAUCAAUUUCGUUGAAAUUAACCCGUGCCGUUAAAAUUGAGUAACGAUGUUAAAUCUGGGUAAAGUUGGAUGGAGGACGUGUCAACCAUUAAAAAUCAGAGGAAACGUGGCAGAAAACUGAGUGGUACGUGGCUACUAAUCCAUUCAUUAAAAACGUUAAUUAGAUUUGUAAUUGGUAAAGCAUUUGAAGAAUGAAAUUGUGAGUUUAAGUUCUGAAGUAGGAGACCCAGCUCGACAUAUUUAGGGUUCAUCGGUGUUGAAGAGGGAAGUUCUACAGUACAAGACGUAACCAUGUCCUUGGGUCAUUCCUAUUGCUCUUCAACUUGCAAUGCAUGCAGAAGAAAGCAUUUCCGUUCUGCUUCGAGCUCUCAAGGAGAUGGAGGUUGGAACAAGAAAGAUGCAUCGAUGAUCUGCCAUUGUGGAGAGAAGAGUGUGUUGAGGACUGCAAAAACGACGAAGAAUCGAGGGAAACUGUUCUGGGGUUGCCCUAGGUAUAAGAUGGGGAGUGAAAAUGGAGGAUGCAACUUCUUCAAGUGGUUUACUGAUUGGGGAGUUGAAGAAAGUGUUAGCUGUGAGGUGUUGGAAGCAAAUGAUGAGAGGUUGGUGAAGACUUUUGAAAACCAAGGUGUUAAGCAGAGCUUUGAUGUGUAGAAAGCUAUUAUGGGUCUUCAAAAUUGGAUGAAAUAUUUGGUUUUGGUUGUUAGUGUUGUCUUUAUAAUGAACAUGAUUAUAAUUGCAAUGCUCAUGGGAAGGGUUUGAUAAUGUAUGUAGAUGUAGGUUUUGGUCAGUACAAUGUACUUAGUUGGUUUGUUUUGGUAUUAAUUACAGGAUUUGGUCAUGUUAUUGUACUUAGUUGGUCUGAAGAUGUACUGCUUCAGAUGUAGGUUUUGGGUAAUGUUAAUGUUUUGUGCACUGAAGAUGUAUUGUUUCAGAUGUUUAAGAUGUUUAAUGUAGUGCUUGAUAUGUUUAAUGAAAAUGAUAUUUUGGAAAGCAUGACUUCAGACUAUUGGCAGUUGAUAAAACAUCAUUUAUCAAAGUUGUUUACUGGCACCUGAUUAAAGAAGUAACAUCAACUUAUAUAUAUAUAUAUAUAUAUAUAUAUAUAUAUAUAUAUAUAUAUAUAUAUAUAUAUAUAUAUAUAUAUAUAUCAAUCUGAAUACAGAAGUAAAAUAGACAAGGGAGUUUAACAACUGAAACAAAGAUUUUAAUAUAAAUAACAAAAGGUAAUCUUUCAUUGUUCAUCAGCCAACACUGUAAACAUCAAAGUUACAUAUGGUACCACUAAAACAUCAGAGUUUUUUAAACAUAAAAAUCUAGUAAACAUCAAAAUCUGGCCUAUUACAUAUUCUACCAUCAUAAUCUGGCCUAUUACAAAAUAUGUUAAACAUCAAGUUGUCUGUGUAUCUACUCCAUCUGGUUGACCUUAAGGUAAUGUGCUGGGUUCUCCCUGUUGCUGCCCUUGGCUUUGUUUUGGGCAAUUUCUUUUGUUGUGUCCCACUUCCCUACAGAUGGUGCAUCUCUUGAGUAAGCCCCCUUUAGACAUCUUGGUAGAACUUUUCUUCAACUCCUAUUGCUCUAAUCUCCUUUUCUUCUUAUGACGACCAGGCAGCUGUCUUUUUGGUGGAGGCAAGACAUCUGGACAUUGAGUGACCUCCCAUAGAUGUUUUCCAUUAAUGGGGUAUAUAAUGGAGGAAUACAUCUCUUCAUAGGUUGACUUUUUAAACCAUACAGGUAGAUAGUCCUCCGCAGUUAGGUUCAGAAACUUCAUUGUUGUCAAUGCAUGCACACAUGGAAUUCCACUGAUGCUCCACUUCCUGCAAGAACAUGUAUAUUUAUCUAUAUCCACCACAAAGUUGUCCCCACUUUGGGACACAUGUCUGAUCUCAAAAAGUUUGUGUGCAGACCAGCUGUCAACAUAAACAACCAUUAUUUAUAUGAUAUAUGGGUAAACAUAAACAAGUAUAUACUAAUGUAAUAGUUUUGGAUACCUGGGAACCCAGUUCUUUGUUUGUAGUGCCUCCUUCCGUAAUCUACUUUGAGUUGUGGUUGUGAACCUUGAUUUUGACCAAAACCUUCAAGGAAAACAAAAUUUAACUUAGAUAAUAUGAAAACAAGAGUUGUGUUAGAUAAUUUGAUAAGUAGUAUUAAGUAAGAAUGACAAACCUUGGAGGAAUGGACAUCAGAUGUUUAAAAGCAUCUUCAUUAACCUCUUUCAUAUGUCUCAUCUCAGUCUCCCAUUGUUGUGGAUGGGUUGUUGUAGCUGCCCUCCACAUGAGCCUCUUCAAGUUUUUCCCAGGGAAUUUUUUCUUGAAGUUGGCAUAUAAGUGCCUUACACAAAAUCUUUGUGCAACUCCAGGUAUAACAUCUUCUACAGCAUAUCUUAAACCCUAUCAUUCAUAUGCUUCAUUAGAUGGAGAAGUUAUUUGUGUAAGAGGAAAGACAAGAACUAAAAAGGAAACAACCUUUUGUUGAUCUGACAUGAUAGUUAGUCCAGAACACACAUCUGGACCACCUAAGUCUGCAAUCAAUAGCUCCAGAAACCAUGUCCACGUGUCCUUGUUUUCAACUUCAACAAUUGCAUACGUCAGUGGCAACAUUUGGUCAUUUGCAUCUCGUGCCACAACAGUUAAUAGCUCACCAUGAUGGUUGCCUUUCAAGAAGGCUCCAUCAAGACCAAUGAUUGGCCUGCAUGAAAGAAAGCUAUUUUUGCAUGCUUUAAGGCAUGCGUAAAACCUCUGGAAUAUUACUUUCCCAUUAUUCCCAUCAUAAGGCUCAACUUUUACUUUGAUUGUAGACCCAGGGAUUCUUGCUAAUAACUCAUUUGCAUAAUCAAAUAUUCUUGUAUAUUGCUUAGUGAAGGAACCUUCCACUUCGUCUGAUGCAUAUGUUUUGGCCCUAUAAGCCAUAUUCUUAGAUAUGGUUAUAUUCCAUUUCCUUGAAAUUUUGUCUCUAAUGUCAACUCCCUUGACAUUAGGAUUCUCUCUCACUGUUUUUUCCAGUUUUUUACUCAGCCAUUUGGCAUUGAAAAGUCGAACCUUGUGUUCCUUACUACAUGUAUGACUGUCAACCACAGUCCUCAGUUGCCAUGAAUUAACUGCACCCAUGAAACCAAAAUAUGCCACCCAUGGGCAUUCUCCUUUUGAACCCAAGCAUGUAACCCUUAUUCGUUUUUUAUCAUUCUUGACAAGUUUCAAAUUUUUCCCAUUCUCCAUUGCAUAACUUUUGAUGGCAUCAAGGAUGUCUUCUUUAUUCAUAAAGUAAGUUCCCACUUCCCAGUUAAAAUCAACCAUAUUUUUUGGUUGAGUAAAUGUGGCAAAAUUCUCAUACCCUUCGUGUUCACUGUCUUCAUCACUAUUGUGAGGAGAAAUUAAUUCCUCAGAUUGCCAAUCAUCAUUGAACCAUCUGGAAUCGUCCAUAUCGUGUUCAUCCAAAUCAGAAUCAGAACCAGGUAGAAAAGGUUCAACCUCAACCUCCAAAUCACCACAACUUUCACUUACAUCACAUUGAACAUCUAUGUCUACUAAUCCAUCCUCAUUAUCCAUCUCACCAUCACUUUCUUGUGUUGAACUCCAAUCACCAACUUCUACAUCAUCCAUCUCACCAUCCUUUUCAGCCUCAACUUCAACUUCACCUGCUUCUGCCCUAUCAACCUCAGAAGUAUUAGCCUAAACUUCAAUACCAUCUAGUUCUGCCUUAUCAACUUCAAUACCAUAUGCUUCUGCCCUAUCAACUUCAAUACUAGGAGUUUGAAGUUCAACUUCAGCUGCCUCUGUCCUCUGAACAUCAUUUUCAUUUUCCUCACCAUGAACUUCCUCAGCCUCACCAACAACUAUAACAUCUAUACCCUCACCAACAACUACAGCAUCCUCACCAACAACUUCCUCAGCCUGGCCGACAACAACUUCUAUCCUCUCACCAUCAGCAGGUACCCCCUCAUCCAACUCUUCACCCUCACCACCCUCUUCUAAACCCUCAACAAAUGGUGCAACUUCCUCACCUCCUACAUCAACGUUAUACUCAAUCAUGUGAAUGACUUCAGCCUCAGACACAUUGUGCACUACAUACAAAUGAACUCGUCCAUUUAAGUGAGCUAAGGUGACCAUUUGCAUGGCACCAACGUCAUCAGUCAAUGCUUGUAGCCUAUCAUCUAAGACAGGACCACAACCAACAGAAUACCAUAACUCUUUAAAACCAUCAUACCCUAGACUUUUCACUACACUCACUACCACCAAAUAACUCCAUACGUUAGGAUCAAAACAAAGUGUCUCAAUUUCCCCUUCAUACUUCAAGCAGCCCUCAUUCACGAACUUUCCCCCAUGGUGAAUAACUACUUGUAUGUGGUCCAUCACUCACAACACCGUAAACAAAGUUCUACACCUACCAAAAGAAAAUAAAAGGACAAAACACACCGCUCAUUAAAGUGAUACUGACAAAAGAAACUUAAGUAUAACUAUGGGGGGACAUGGGGGACCACAACCGCAGAAAGAAUACACCACAUUUUCAGACAACACACACCCCACAUUAAAAAAGGCAUCCCCAGAUAACAACGUCAACAAUCACAAUCCAAUAUAAAAUUCAUAGCUAAAUAAGAUAUUGUUUCAUCAGAUUCAAGACAAACCUUCCAGCAAAUUCGAGACAAACCAGUUGACGGACACGUAUAACCAAGUCGCAAUUGAAGUCAAAAUAGGGAAUGGCCAAGCUUCAAAGACCGAAUCAAGUAUGGAUCGUCUCCACUGACGAUUGAUAAUGAACUUUCGAUGAUACCUCUCAGAUUCCUCUCACAGUUUUAAUGAAAUUUAAUCCCAAUUGCUUUUCGAUUUACUAUAACCCUAAUUCCCCUUUUUUAUUUCACUCAACCCUAAUUCCCUUUUUUAAUUAACUAACUCUAAUCCCCUUUUUAAUUUCAAUUUAUCAAUUAAUCACGCCACGUAUCACUCAGAUUUCUGCCACGUUUUUAAUGGUUGACAUGUCUUCCAUCCAACUCUGCCCAGAUUUAACACCAUUUCUCAAUUUUCACGGCAGGGGUUAAUUUCAACGAAAUUGGCACUUUUAAGGACCCAAUUGGGAACUUUUAUAAAAACGGGAUCAAAAUGGGAAGAUCUUACGAAAACAGGGACGCCUAAGUGGUUUUAACCUUCUUUUACUUUCCUUUCUAUCAAAGGAGGGAUGCACUUUCUUUUUAGUUAUUUUUCUACAUUAAUAAUUUUUCACUUUACAAACAAUAUGUCAUCUUUUAUUCUAUAUUGAGAACGUAUAUUACUGAUAUAAUGAUUCGAAACAAACCAUGUUCAGUGCUAAAGAUAAUGAAACUUAACUUUGAAAAAGUCUACAGCCAUAUUGUCGCAACCAGAAUCGCGACGGGACGACGACGAUCCAAAAAAAGAGAAAUAAUUUGAAAAAUAUGUUUUGGAGUCGCCAUCAUAGUUUAUUCUGGAAAACUACGGAAAAACCAUAAAAUGACAAGGCAAGGUCUGCGAAAACCGAAUUUCGGGUUCGGAAAUCGGUUACGUGUAGGGAAGGUAUUAGCACCCUACAACGCCUGCCCUAAGGCAGUACCUUUAAUUAAAUGCGCGAAUAAAGAUAUGUUUGCAAAAUGUUUAACUAUCCCAAGAACAACAAAAUAAAGAAACAAAAAUAUUUUUUAGGUUUUUGGGCCCGACAAGGAUAGACCUUGCUCCUACGUAUUCUCAUUCAAAAUGAGAAAUCAGGGUUACGUAGUUCUUUCUGAAAAUUUGUUGUUUGAAGAUAUUUUUACUUUUUGAAGAUUUUAUAUUUUUUGUAUUUUUUAUAUAAAAGAGAAGAGGUUUUUAGCACAAGGCCUACGCGAGCGGUCGCACGUGUGCUUAAACCUUUUCAAAAUAUUUUUAUUGAUUUUGAUUUAUUAUGAAAGAGAAGGAAAAUAUUUUCAGCACAAGGCCUACGCGAGCAGUCGCACGUGUGCUUAAACCUUUCAAAAUAUUUUUGUUUAAUUUUUAAUUUUGGUAAAAGAAAAGGAAAAGGUUUUCAGCACAAGGCCUAAGCGAGCGGUCGCACGUGUGCUUAAACCUUUUCAAAAUAUUUUUAUUUAAUUUUUAAUUUUUGUAAAAGAAAAGGAAAAGAUUUUCAGCACAAGGCCUACGCGAGCGGUCGCACAUGUGCUUAAAUCUUUUCAAAAUAUUUUUANCUUUUCAAAAUAUUUUUAAUUGAUUUUUAAUUUUUGUAAAAGAAAAGGAAAAGAUUUUCAGCACAAGGCCUACGCGAGCGGUCGCACGUGUGCUUCAAUUUCUCCUCUGCACCUCAAGGUACCAUGACAAAAGCAUUCCCAUGCAACCGUUGAGUAGCUCUCUUCCUCCUAUUUAUUGAACACCUAAAUUUAUUUUAUAAUAACAAAACACCACUGUCCCUUACUCAUAUUACUCAUGUAACUCUACGUUUUUUUCCAAGGUCCCUCCACAAGUCACUCUCCCCCUUCUUUCCUUUUUCUUCCACAAACCGAGACCCAUAAAACACUACCCCAAAAUUGAUUCUCUUUUUAAUGUCACAAACUUUUUCACUUCCAAACAACUUAUAAUAGUUCAAUCUAUAACCAUCAUAAAUUAAACAUACUCAUUUUUCACCAGUUUCAUAACUCAUCACAUAUCCUCCAAUAUUCAUAAAACUUAACAUACAAUUCCAAAAUAACACACCAAAAUAAAAUUCACCAUAUAUGUAGAGCAUAUAAACAAUUCAAAGAAACAUAACUAGCUCCCCUUACUUUUUGGUUCUCACAACACAGUUCCUAGAAAACGCCCUAACAGUAUCUCCGCACAGAGGUAAUUUCGACAAUACCUACAAGCCACCAAUUUGGUGUAGAGCAUAGACUUUAAGGCUUGAUAGGAUAAGGAAAAUAAAAAUAACUCUACUUGCAAGGUAGAACCUUUGCAUGAGUAAAACACUAGGGUACGGAGAAUGGGAAAUUUACCUUAUCAGUGGAGAGACGCGAAACUAAUCGGAUGGAUUGGAAGCUCUCAACUCCGGGAACGUAGGGACACCACCUAUUUGGAAAAGCAAUGAUAGAAAUUUGAGAAAGGGUAGAGAGAAGAUGGAGCAAGGUUUAGAGAGAAGGCAGAGCUUCUAAAGAACCCAACUUUUAGAAAGAGAGGGAAGUUAACAAAUGAGUUCUAAUUUCUGAAAAAUUUCUCUCUAAGGUCAGAUUGUCCCUAGCCUUAUGGGCUUGACUGUCUCACAUAAGGCCCAAUGACUUUAAAAAACUUUUUAGGCCCUUACAUCUUUAAAUAUAGGCUAUUAAAAUAAAUUUGUACUGUAUAUGUAUUUGUUUUAAUAAAAUAAUUACUAAAAAUUAUUUUCAAUCACAUAUAAUUCUUUAAAUAAUAAUCUACAUAUAAAAUUUUGAAUUUGAUUGACUUUUAAAAUUCAAUUUAAAAUUCAAUCCAAUAAAAUAUUUUGAUAUGGAAUUGAAUUAAAACAAUUUAUCUUUUUCACUGUACACAUUUUAAUUUUAAUUUUUUGUUUCACUAUUUUAUUAUUUUGAAUUGGUUUAAUGCAUAAAAUUGUCUUCAAAUAAAACUUACAAGAAAAGAUGUUUUAUUACUUUUUCUUUUUCAAAAAAUAUGUUAUUACUUGAAAUUAAGAUAUUUCACAAUACUCUUUUUUUCUUGAAAUUUUAAUAUUCUCUUUCUGUUUAUCCCAAAUGUUCCUUUCACUAAAUUAAAAUGGAUAAUGAUAUUUAGACAACAUUUUUUUUAUAACAUUUGAAUAUUAAUUGAUACGUAAUCAAUGUUCGAAUGUUGUAAAAGAAAUAUUGUCUAAAUAUCAUCAUCCAAUUGAAAUACAAGUGCUUGUGAAGACUCUCAUGUUUAAUCAUGUUUAAGUAAUAUGAUAUGUUAUGUUUAUAUUUAUCAAAGAAAUGUUACCUUAAUAAAUAACAUUUCUUAUAUAUCUUUUCUCUUUUUUUUUCAUGGGUUUUGCUUGAAUGAACUUGACUCAAAUAUAUUAAUUUUAUUUUAGGAAUGUUUAGGACAUGUACAUUGAUUAACAACAGAGAGUUACUUUUCUUCAGGUUGAAGGAUAGAUAAACAUCAUGUUUUUCUAGGGCUAAAAUUACAGUUAUACUCGUACUCUUCAUUGGUACUUCGCUUUCUUCUUCAGAGCUUCUUCCUACUGCAUGAUUUCUAAUAAGGUAACGACGACCAAAGUGAUCAAUAUCUCUUUCUCUGAUGAGCUUUCGGUUAGGGAAGCCAAGGAGUGAGUACACAGACGACACUUCUUCGAACACAUAUAUUGACUUUUGGAUUUUUUGUCAUAAUUAGAUCAAUUUUAAUAAAAAAAAAAUUAUUUCAAAACUUAUAAAUACAUAAUUAAGGUGGAUGUUUGCAUUCAUUGUGAAUUUAAGAAUUUAUUAUGAUAAUGAUCAAAACAUAUAAUUGACUUUGUAAUGGAAUUGAGAAGAAGGAUAACUUUGUAAUGAAAUCCUAAGACAACACUAAAAAUUAAAAAAAAAAUGUGAAAGAGUGUUAAGUGUGAGAAUGUUAACUCUGAUUCUCGACCCCACACUCGAAACAAUAUAUUAACUAAAUUUAUCUUUAUCAUAAAUAAAGCUAAAUUUAUAAUAUAUAAAUAAAUACAAAUAAUUAAGAUUUAUUAUAAAUAAAUAUUAUUUUAGUAAUUCUUUUUAUAUAUAUUAUUAUAUUCAUAUGUAAUUUUUUCUUUUUAUUCUAGAACAAUUUAAUAAAAAAAAUCAGCUAUUAGACUAUAGUCAAAUAGCAAUACUCAGGUUUUUCAUGAAAAAAUUAAAUAGAUUGAAAUUGAUCUUAUUUUGUUCGUAAUGAAAUAAUAGCUAGCACUAUUUGUCCUUCAUAUCUUCUUAUAACUAGUAUACAUUGGACAAAAAUAAAAACACAAUCUGACUAUUUUUUUGUGCAUGUCAGACAUUCAAGAUCUUCCUAUUUUAUUAUCUUCAUAUAUUUCAGUAUCAUUAUGAUGGUUUAUUUUAUUAUUGAUAGGGAGAUAUAUAUUUUAUUUUUUCAUAAACAUAAUUAUCAUCAUAUUUAUAAUUAUGUUUAAGAACAUUAUUUGAAAGCUGUUUGUAAUAUAUAUUUAUAUUAGUGGCUUAAUAAAUAAAGGAGAAUGAGUUUUUUUUUUUUUCUGUAGAACUUAUCACAACUCUGCUAAAAUAAUACAAAAGAAACAAUUCCCUGUCAAAUAUAACGAGUUUUCUUAAUAAGGAAAUGCUUUUGUUACUAACAUAAGAGCUUAACUUCAGCAUAAGCCAUGCCAAAGAUCAGUACAGAAGGUCAUAUACAUAUAUGACAGCAAACAAUAGUAAAAAAAACCCUAAUAGUAAAACCACAACCAGAAAAAUUGACCAACAACCUUAGAUAUAUAUGAAGACCUUAUUUCUUAAAACUCUUAACAAAUGAUACCGAAAUGCAAUAUAAUCAAACAGAUACGUAAUAUUAAAGUCACGCUUAAAUACCAUGCACAAGUUUAGAUAGAGAUACUGUUUGGAAUUCCUCUAAAAGUUAAACCCGUAUCACUGUUGGGAAGAAGAACAGUAUAAGGCAAUUGAACUGGUCCAGUUCGAUUUUUAAGAUUCGGAUCAUGGUUUCUUUCUGAAAUUCUUUUCUCAAUCUCUGCUAACUUUUCUCCGAACCUUUUAAAGGCUUCUAUUGCCUUUGGAUUAGAUGUCCAAUAUGGAUUGUCCCUCUGUCCAAGGUACACCUCAUCAGAAGCAUGUCUUGACAAUAUUUCUAUCACUGAAAGGUCAACAAGAGUUUGAUACUUAGGCGUAAUUGUUCUCAAAUAAGCCUUUUCAGGAUUCUUCUCCAUCUCAUCAUAUUCUGCUGUUCCUUUUUCCGGUAUCAAUCUUCUGCUAAGAGUUGGACGAUUGAGGAUAAAUCCACCGUAAGGAUAUUGUCCGAAAUUAACCGCUGCAUGAAGAGCUGAAGCAACCCAUAUAAUGAUAGUACAAGAUUGAAUAAGCUCUUCACGAGUGUGUACUUUAGGCCACCACGACUUUUCUUUUAAAUCGCCAUGACCCUUCUCAACAACUUCUCUCCACCAAGCUUGGAGUUCACGGUCUUUUUUAACCAUAUCAUCUGUCACAUAGUACAAGGACACAUAUUCUUUGACCCAUGUCUUGAUAGCAUUCCAUAUCUCCAAUCCAUCCACAGCAUAAGGGUAGUCCUUUAUCACAAGACGGAGGCCGUUCGGAGAAGACGAAUCCUCAAUAGCCAUUCCCCUUAAACAUGCAAAACAAAUCGUUAUCAAUGAUAUAGCUUUCCAUUAUGAAAGAGAAACAAUGUGUUAUAACACAGAAAAAUGUUCCUUCAUGUCAAUCAGUUUUAAGAAAGUUAGUUUGCACAUAUUGAGUGGCUCUCAUUUGACAAAAGUCAAAAUUUGAAUUUUUAAAAAUCAGUUUGAUAUUACUGUACUACAGGCAAGACCAAUCAUAUAUAUAUAUAUAUAUAUAUAUAUAUAUAUAUAUAUAUAUAUGGGUUUGUUAAUACGCGUUCGCCUGUUUUUCAGUUGGUACGUUUUAACAUUGUGUACCAGAUUAUAGUAGACAAAAAUACCCUUAUUUAUCAUGGAUUCUAAGUUUUAAGGUCAAGGAUAUUUAAAUAAUUUUCAUUCUCAAAACAUAAAAAAAAAGAAACCCCCAAACACUUUCUCACCUUCCUCAUUCCUCUCAACCCUUUCUCUUUCAUCUCUCACUCCAACAUUUUAUCUGUCAUCUUUAUUGUCCCAAUUGAAAAAAAAAAUCAGAAACCCUUACCUAAACCUAAUUCACCUUCCUCACUUAUCCAAUUUGUUUCUCUCUCGUUUCCAUACUCUCCCUCAGCCACACACAACAACCCGUGACAUCAUAAUUUGUUGCUCUUGCUCUGUUCGUUCAUUUGGAGGAUGUGUUAUAUAUUUUCCCUUCUUAUUAUUAUUAAAUUUCAUUUUUAAAUUAAAUCAUGUAAAUAAAUGUCUGUUCGUUCAUUUGGAGGAUGUGUUAUAUAUUUUCCCUUCUUAUUAUUAUUAAAUUUCAUUUUUAAAUUAAAUCAUGUAAAUAAAACCUUCAUAAAUCAAUUAAAUUUUCAUAUAUUAUUUACACAUCUACACCACAUUUCAUUAUAUUUUUAAAGAACAAGAUAUUUUCCUCUAUUGUCCUUUUCCCUUUACACAAAGUGUUUCUUUUUCCUUUCUCUAUUGAUAUGGGAUACAUGAUGUAAGAUUACAACCUAGAAUUGAAAGAAUUGUACUCCUAAGGAGCUCUUCUAAACCUAUUUCUUUAAUUUCCUUAUGUCCCGUUUUUAUCAGUGAAUCAACUUCUACAGGCGUUUAGAAUAAACUUUAACCACUGUGCAAGAUAAAAAACAGUAAACUCAUUUUUUACCUUUGAGAUUUGGAAAGAGUAACNUANAGUGACAAAGUUUAUAUUCAUUUUACACANAUUAAUAAAUAUAAAAUGAUUAUAAAAGAGUAAACUUUUUCAAUUUUUAAAAAAUAUCUCUGAUUCAAAUUACCGCCACCAUCUUCAAUUGGGUUGAGAUGAGAGAAAAAAUGGUGGAGUGAUGACAGAGAAAAUGUUGAGAUGAGAGAGAAGAUAUCUCUGAUGACAAAGGGUUUCUGAUUUUUUUUCCAAUUGGGGCAACAAUAGGAAUGACAGAGAAAAUGUUGUUGGAGGUUGGAGGGAGAAAGAUGAAAGAGAAAAGGUUGAGAGGAAUGCGGGAGGUGAGGAAGGGUUUUGGGGUUUCUUUUUUUUCUUUUAGUUUUGAGAAUGAAAAUUAUUUAAAUAUCCUUAACCUUACAACUUAGAAUUCAUAAUGAGAGUAUUUUUGUCUACUAUGAUCCGAUACAUAUUGUUAAAACGUACCAACUGAAAAACAGGCGUACGCGUGUUAACAAACUCAUUGAUAUAUAUAUAUAUAUAUAUAUAUAUAAGUGAAAGGAAUAUUCAUUUUACAAGUUGAUGUUUUAAGGAUGAUUUAAUCUUGAAGUCACUUCUUAAUAAUGUAAUAUUAUAAUCUACUUUAAUAACGUUUAUUAUAUUAUUUCCUAUUGGAUCACCCACAAAUAUUUACUCUUGCCUAAAAGUUAUAUAUAUCUUAAUAAAGAGUGAAUGUUGAAUUAUAACGUGGAGAUCAAUAUAAUUGCAUUAUAUAAUUAUAUAUAUAGGUUUAGAUUUUAUCCAUAAAAGCAUCAAAAAUUAAGAUUCAAAAGAAAAAUAAAAUGGGUUUCUUUUGUAAGUUAAAUUUAAUUUAUCUUUGUGAGUUAAAUUCUUAGACGUGAGUUGAUAUAAGGUUACAGAAAAGAUGAAAUAGAUAUACAAUAGUUAUAUAAUCUAAUUUUAGUUUAUGAAAAAACUGAUUUAAUUUCAUUACAUAAUUCUCACUUUAUGUAAAAUUUCUCCCACGAUCAUAUAGAUUACCUCUUGAUAAGAUCAGCUGUCAAUGCUUGUUCAGGGAAUUUCCAAUGUUUGUAAACUGCCGAAGACAUCUCCAUAGCAUACUUUCCACCCAAAAAGCAGUUCUCUAUGGUGCCAUCAGCAUUAAUAAGUGAUUCUCGAGCAAGUGCAUUGAUAUUCAUUGUGUCACGAUAGUGAGGAAAUAGAAGUUUAUGAACAGGGUGAAGAACACUCAGAUUUCUGUUUGUUGCUAUGACAAAGGGUUCAAUCACGGCAUGAGUAUUCAACCUGUGACCCCAUAUAAUAAAAAAAGGUUAGGAAUAAUUUUGUAUGCAUAUAUUAAAGCUUUGUGCAAUGAUUUCAGUGACAGAGUUCAUACCAGUGGCUUAUGAGCUGAUGAUAACAGGAAUCGUUCACAAUAACGUGAGCCUUGGCUCAUAGCCAUAUUGUACUUUCAACUCCAUCGUUUGCAGGCAAUACCACUUUACUACAGGCACCCAGUUGUUGAUUUGGAUGUGGCAAACUUAACUCAAUGGCCAAUGGCUUUAAGGUACCAUCGUCUUUCAAGAAAAGGAUUGUCCUCGUUGCAUAAGCCUUUGAUGAUGUAUAUUCAUUUAUACUUCUCAAAAACGGCAUGAAUACGUCAUGGUGAUCCAGUAUGAAUAAUCUAUCACGCUUAAUUGCCUGUUCCACAGAUACAAAAUGUUAACAACUCCAGUUUCAUGAUGCAGUAAUGGAUAACAACACUCCAAAAACAAAAAACAUUCUAACAAUGAUGUUUUUUUAAGCGGAAUCAUUGCCUUAUCUAGUGUGACCCCUUCGAGGUUGAUCUUCAAAUGUUGUUCACUGAUUUUACUGGUUUGAUCACCAUAGACUGAGCGAUCCAACUUGCUUUGUGGUGGAAACUCCUGUCAUUUCAUCAAACAUUAUGUAUCAAAGAUUAUUUAUCAAGAAAUAUGAAAGAGAACAAGCUUGGUACAACUUCUAUUUCAACUUACUUGUAGACGGCGAAUCGAACAAGGAUUUACACCAGCCAGCAUCUCUCUCGCAAAUUCAUCAUCAGUCAUCCAUGCAGAUUUACUAACUGUUCCAAACAGUAAACAAAAACAAUUGUCAGAUUUAUUAAUUUUGACGUUACAUGUAGCUAGCAUAUAUAAAUAUUAUGUGUAUAAUAUGAUAUAUGUACCUCUAUUUACAUGAGGUACUGAAAACUUGAGGACAUUUUCACCGUCAGUGCGGAAGAUCUCCUGCAGCAGAGGUAAAGGGCUAAUUUUGCUGAGAGUAUCAAGAGGCAGCUUAAUGCCACCUUCAGAGAGGUGAUGUACUUCAUCAAAGCUCUCAAACUCAUCCUUUGAGAUAUCUGAAUCAAGUCGAGGUUUGAGGUAAGGCCACACGUUUUUUGAUAUAGAUUUUAUCCCAAAAGAAAGGAAGUCAGAUGACUUUAAGUGACCAAAAUGUUCAUCUCUUGGAACAUAAAUUUUACUGCUUCGUUUCUCACUCUUACAAUCUGCCACGAAUCGAAUAACACCAUAAAUUACACCAAAAUGAAGCCAAAAGUUUCUUAAACUUUGUCUUACACAAACAAAAUUGAGUUAUGUUUAAGAAGUAAAAGUGAAACCUUUUUUUGUGGGUUUUCUUCCGGUUCUUCCUCUUCGAGGGUAGGGAUAAGUGACAGACCCUCCAAGAACUGGACGAGCCAAGUCUUCAUUGCUGUCAGGAUUGCCCAAAUCAUUGUAAACAUCGUAAUCGUAAACUCUAUGCCAUUGUCUCAGUUUCCCUUUUCCAUUUCCUUUCAGAAUCUGCAGUUCUUCUUCUCUGUAGCUCACUAAUGCUACUGGUGUUUCACUUGGAACAUAUGUCUGCAAUAUAUAUAUAUAUAUAUACAUUUAUUUAAUGCUCAUUAUAUAAAUAACUUAAACUUGUUGUGGUGAAGAUGAUUAAAAAGCUUCAAUUAUUUCGGAAACAUUUGAAAAAUGGUAUUUUAAUUUUAUGAUACAUGAAAAUAGUGGCUUACCUCAUUAGAAAAGAAGAUUCGGUCCUUGUCGUAAAGAUGAUGAUUGUAAACCCAUGAGUUGCAAACGAAGUGCAAUGAUCCUUUACGAUUAGGAACAUCUUCAAGAGUCAAACUGACGAGAAAGAACUCAACUAGCAGAUGAUUUCUUAUUGUAAAUGCUCCAGGAAUUCCCAUGUCCUCAAUGUCCCAAUCAAAAUGAACAUCAAAUGCACAUUUCUCCGCUGUCAAAGUUGGCAUGGUGGAAAUUACACCUUCCAAAUAAGUCUUCUUUCCAACUUUCCCACUUCCAUUUUCUGCAAACAUCGAUUUGAUACAUAUUUUGUUUAAUAGUGAUAUGUAAUAUAUACAUUUUAGAACAAGUUAACUUGGUUGUUGACAUGUUUUUUGAAUGUGAUGCAUGUUGAUAGAGAAGAAGUGAAAGAGAGAGAGAGAAGUAAUACCAGCAGCUUUGGUAGCACUGAUCAAGCGAAGAGACACACAUUUACCAGAGAAUGCACUGAGACUAUCAAUGAAUGUUGAACCAACUACACUCAUGGUAGUUUGAACAACCCCUUUCACACUGGUAAUGCUAUUUGUGUCCAACACAUUCUUGGGUAUCAACACCACGCUACCCUUCAGCUUCUUGCUUCUGUUGAACAACGCCUUCACCCCAGAAUACAUUUUACUCACUUCUCUCAGUUACACCAACAGUGUUUGAUUUCUUGUACCUUGCUUCGUUUGUGAGAAGUGUUAAGGUGAUAACAGCUAUUUAUAGAGAUGACUUAGAAUAAAAUAAUCAAACCAACAUCACAUUCUUUUAGCUUUUCACAACUAGCAUUACAUAAUACUUCCAUUAAGAAACAUGAUACUUUUACUAUGAAAUUUUAGUUCUUUGUGACAGACACUGAAUAAUUUUAUAAUGGUGACAUUUUUAUAACAAUUUAAACCAAAUUUAAUUCAAAAGGGCAAAGUUAAAUUCACACUUUCUAUAUAGAAACAUCUUCAAAAAAUAUGAUUCGUAAGACACUUUUCUAAGAAUGUUAUUUUCACAACCUGAAAAAAUAAAACAAAUUCAGCAUAAGAAACUGAUAUUCUCAAUUUAGAUUCUCAUGACUUAAAGUUUAAUUCUUAACACUUCAAAUCAAAUUUUAACGUGAAAAAUGUAAUAGCUAGAGAUUUGGAACUAAUCUCAAUGUGAAAUUGAGUUUUUUUUUUUAGCUAAUAAAUUUAAAAGUUAACUCUGUUUUAUUUAUUACAUAAAAAAAUAUAUAAUUAAGAUAAAGAAUAACUAUUGUAAAAUAUUAAUAUUAGAGUAACUUAAUAUUUCAUUAUUAUAUUUUAUAAUAUAAUAAAUUGUAUACUUCCGGCUUGAUUUAAUAAUAUCCUAUCCUAAUCAUUAUACAACAAAUUAUAUUAAAUUCAAAUAGUUAAUAUAAUUAUAGAAAUUUAAAUAUAUUGCACCACAAUCAAUUAAUUUAAUUUGAUUUAAUUAGCUAUUUGAGUCUAUUGUUUUUAUUUAUCCAUUAGACAAGCAACUCUCGUUAAUGAUAAGCCACACGGUAUAAGAAAUAGUCAACAUCAAAGCCGUUUUACAUAAAAAGGAAUGUAUCAAUAUUGAGAAAACUAUGCUUUAGAGAAAAAAUAUUAAAAAUUUAAAUAUAAAUUGGAAGUUUGGCAUCAAAUAAAAUGAACUACCUAAAAUAAUAUUAUAAUAAAAACUUUCGAACUCAUUAUAUCUUAAAAUUUUAAAUUAAAAUAGUGUUUUAAUAGAUAUAACUUAAAUCUUUUGUAUUUUCUUUAGAAGAAGAAAAAAACUAACAUGAUCUCAAUUAAUACCAUUAAUCAAUUUUAUCUUUACAAUAUAUUUCAACUCAUACAACACGUGAAUAAAAAACAUAGAUAAACGUAUAUAAAUAAUCAGUUAUCCUUACAAGUAGUUGCAUGCCUCACUAAUAAUAGCACAAUCAAUGUCAACAUUAAACUUAGUCAAAACUUUAAUUCUACAUACAGCCAAAUGACAUAUCUACCUUAAUCUUGAGAAUAUAAAAAUUUAUAUUUCUAUAAAGAUGAAGUUUAGAUUAAAAUAAAAAAUAUAUAUAAUUUUAAGCUUAUAUAAUUUUUUUUUAUUUUUCAUUGAUUAAGAAAAAGCAUAUGUCAUAUAUAUAUAUAAAUUAACAUAAAUUAAACAGGUCUUAUAAUAUGAAUAGAUUCAUCGCUAUAUCCUUUAAAAAUAAUUCAACAAUUGAGUGAUUAAACUAUAAUUGAAGAACGACUAAUAAAGCAAUAUAAGAUAAGAUGAGAAAAUAUAGUAUGAUAUUAAAGUUUGUAUAUAAUAUAUUAUAUAAUUUUUAACAGUAAAAAAUUAAGAAAAUGAAUCAAAUGAGUAUACCAUAAUAUGUAAAUUUAAAUUUCAACAAUUUAAAACAAUAGAUUUUAAAAAUAACAAUUUUAAAUUUAAAAUAGAAAAAGUGAAAAUGCUUUAGAUUAUUUUUAUUUUGUUUUGGUGUUUAUCAAGUUUUACUGGUUCACCAGAUCUACUGAACUAUAAGUCGUUUCUAUUUUGAGUUAAACUGGCAAAUUUCAUCUGAUACUAUAUUCAAAGAAAACAAUAUUUACUAACGUGUUAUUAAACUCAUACUGAAUCGGUCAAUUCGAACAAAUUAACUAAAAGUCAAAAUGUUACCAAGUUGACCGCUGACUUACGAUUUUAUCUGUAUGCUAAUAGAUUUAUAUAAUUAAUAAUGUUAUUAAAGCUGCAUAUUUAUAAUUUUUUUUAUAAUUAAAAUGUUACUAAAAAGUUAAAAUUUGCAAAACUCCUUUGGUUCGUUCGAAUGAUUGAAAAAUUAUUCAUAUUUAGUAUAUCAGGUCAUAUCAUUUGCUUAUUUUAAUUUUAGUAUUUAUAAAAUGUAGUAUAUAUAUAGCGUGAUUGUGAUUAUUACGGCCAUAUAUGAGACCAAAUAAUUAACAUUUGUAAGUAUAAACUCAAAUUUAAUUCGUAUUCUUUUAAUGUAUAAAAACUUUAAAUUGAAAAUGAUAAUAUUUAGAGAAUUUUAUUUACCAAAUUUAACCUUAAAUUGAUUUAUAAAGUUUGAAAUUUCAAUACAUUGAGAGGCUUCUUAUCCCCUGAAGAGUACUACAGAUUAUGUUAUAUAUAAUCAGAUAUUUUUAAUAUUGUUCUCUUUACGUUCAUUUCACAAACUUGUCUAACAAUUUUCUCCAUUAAUCAUCUAACAACAUCUUUCUUUUUAUUUUAUCUCCUUUUAUCUCCAAAGUAACUUUAUUUCCUUGAAAAAUUCAAUAAUCCAAAUAAUUUGGUAUCACAAUUCAAAUUAUUAAUUAUACAUUAAAUGUGUCUUUUUGUGUUCCUAUUACGUCCAACAAUUCUAAGUGGCUUUUAAAAAUAGAAUGUAACAAAGUUUCAUUCUCAAAAACAGACAAUAUUUCAGAUGUAUGGUGAUGAUAUUAACAAUUUCACUCUAUGGAUAUGAAAUCAAAACAUUAACAUCUAUCGUAAGACGAUAACAAAACAUUUAGUCUUUUAAAUCUUCUAUUAUGAAUGACCAAUUAUUCUUAUUAGACGUCGACGGUAAAAUUUAUGUUCUUACCAUAUCUAAUAAUUUUAUAUUAUUUUAGAAUCGAUGUCAAACACAGUUUAAAUACUUUUUCCUUUUAAAUAUUUUCUAUUUUAGAGAGUGUAUAUAUUCAAAACGCUUAUUUUUUUAAAAUUUGUGAUAUAAUUUAUAUAUUAAAAUUUUAUAAUAAAAAAUAUACUUAAAUAAAGUUGGUUUUACAAAAUCAAUUUUAAAUAAAAUUACAAAAACAGACAUUCAUUAAAUAUUAUUUUUCAAUAUUCAUUCAAAAUCUGAUUGAAAUAUCAAGUAGCCUAUACAUUUAAAACUUGGAAACAUCCAUUUGACUUUAUGAGACAAGAUUAAAAAUUGGUGUUCUGCAUGUUCCAACAUUUUCUAACUGUGUUUCCUUGUACAAGUUGCUGUGCAUUCAUUGUUUUGUCUCUCUUGUCCCUCACUUCUGACAAUCACACGUUCAUCUUUAUCCUUUUUCCCAUAUAAAUAUUCGAUUUACCAUUUCAACAAAACAAAAAUAUAUUGCAACUAUGAGUAUCCAUUUCUAUAAGUAGUGAAAUGGGUUGAAUUAGCAAUAACUAAAGUUGAGUAAUUAAUGUUAAUAAACACUUUAAGAACAGUUGUCAUUCCCUUCUAGAAUCAGUAGCAGUGAAAUGAAAGUGUAAAGAAAUUGAAUAGAAUGUAUAUUAAUUUUAGAUUAAAAACUUUGGAGAAACAAUAUGCCACUAAACAUGUUUGAAUACAAAAAUUACUGCUAUAAAUAGUACAAAUUAAAUCGAUUGCAAAGAAAAUUAUUCUGAAUGUAUAAAAGAAAGAAUCAUUAAAUACUUCAAUGAAAAAAUAUAUGAUUUAUAUCUAUUCACAUUAAUAAAAAAAAUAUUGUGAAACAUCAAUUCAGAAAUAACAUCAACCUAUUUUAACACUUUCUAUCCAUGUAAACUACAUAAAAAAAUAAAACAUAAAUAAAACAUAAAAAAUAAAAUCGUAUAUGAACAUUAACUUAAUAAAAUAUUGACUUACAUUCACCAAAAAAAAUUUCAUUAACAUCAAUAAAAAAAAAAACUAGCUAAUAUUGGCUAAAAGUAGUACUACUACCAAUGUUGGUCAAAAACAUUCUAAAACAUUGAUAAAAACAAAAUAAACCCAACUUAUGUUAUAAUCAAUGUCGGUAAAAAAUUACAACUUUAUUUUACGACAACAAAAAAAAAAUCUUAGUAGAUAUCAAUAAAAAAAUGCAUUUGACAUUAACUGAAAAGCACUACUAAUAUAAAAAAAAAAAAAAAAAAAAAAAAAAAAAAAAAACUUUUAACAACGUAAAUUGAAAAAUAACAUAAGUUUAUAUAAAAAAAAUAUAUAUAUAAACUUUGACUAUAAAAUGAAACUUUGACAAUAAAAAUGUCUAACGUUUGCUAAGUAAGCAAUGUUUCAAUUGAAAUUAAAUCGAAGAUAUUUCAACAUACAUUAAGUCCCAGAGAAAACAAAUAAACAAGAAACAUAAGUUUUAAGAAAAUAAAAUGUAUAAAAGAAUUUCAAAUUUUAACUUUACAAAUGAAAUUUAAAAUUUUUUAAUUCUAAAUGAUAAAAUUAAUAUAAUAAUUUUUUUAAGUUUCAAAUUGUUAUUAAUUUUUCUAGACAAGCAUUAUAUUUUAAGAUAAAAUAUUUUAAAUUCUCUAUGAAAAAAUUAAUUACCUCUAAAAACUUUCUUGUCUACACGAACUGUCAAGAAUUUUAUUCAAUAAUUUUUACACAAAAAUUGUACAUGUAGAAAUAAGUUUCUACUUCAAUAUCAUUGAAUUUUGAGUUACAUUACCAUCCUAAGUACGCAUUUUCUCUAGUGACAAAAUAAGCUAUAUGCAAGUGGCGUAUAUCCCAACUAAGAUUAUAUUAAAUAGAACAUAAAAACGACAAAAAUAUAGCCAUAUUUAGAAAAGCAACUCAUCCUGAAAUGUUUAUAAUUUUCAAAUUUUGAUCGACAUUGGUAAGAUAUUGUAUGUUUUGAAUCAAGGUUUAACAGAUUUGUUUUUGAUACUACUUCAAAAGAUCUUUUACCAAUAGAGUAUCUAUGUGUAUAUAAACCAAUAUCUAAUUCUUCUUUCUAAUAUGAGACUUUAUUUAAGAAAAACCUUCUAAUUGUAGGUUUUUUCUUGUUUUGUUUUAAAUUUCUUAUUUUUAUUUUUAUUAUGAGUACUAAGUAUGCAGUAUUUGACCGAAUAAUCUAAGCAAGUUGUGUCACCCCAAGUCGAACAUAAAAACACCAUAAAUGUUGUCAUAAUUUAUUUUAAACAGUAACAAUAUACAACAGAUUCUGAAAUAAAUAAAAAAAUUAUAAUUAAAGUGUCUACAUUAAGUGACAUAAAUUGUCAACGAUUUAUUUACCAAGCAAGUAAACGGAAAGACCUUCAAAUAUUAUAGGUUUUCAUUUUUAUUUUCUUAAAUUCUUUUCUUUUAUGAGUAGUAAGCAUAUAUAUUUGACCAAACAAUCAAAACAAGUUGUAUAUAUAUGUUCAUUAAAGUUAUGGCAAAUUGAACUUAGAAACACAAAACAAUAUUGCCCUAAGUCAUUUUAAAACAGUACCAAAAAAACGUGUCUAAAUAAAUUGGUCAGCAAUAUAUUAAUAUUUCCCAAGCAUAAAAAAAUGCUCAAAAAAUUCAAAUAUUAUAGGUUUUCAUUUUUGUUUCUGUGAAUAGUAAGUAUAUACUAUUUGACCAAAUAAUGUAAGCAAGUUGUAUAUUUGUGUUAUCAUUAAGAUUUAGCAAAUUGAACGUACCAAUAAUUAUGUCAUAAGUUAUUUUAUAACAGUUAUAAAUUUUUUAAUUUUUAUAGACUUAUCCAAAUUUUAUUUUUGAACUUUUUCUAGAAGCUAAAUCCUCUUUUGAGUUUGGUUUUCCCACUACUAUAUAUCAUUAAUUUAUAAUGAAUUGCACACUCUGUCAACUAGAACUGUGAGAUGUAAGAUUUGUUUAGUUUAAUCCUUUUCACAUGGAGAAACUAGCUUCCAUUCACACAUAAUUAAUGGAGAAUAAAAAGGUUGACUAUCAUUACAACCAAAUUUAGCCACAUUUCAGUUUAGUCGACUUUCACUUAAACUAAUAAAAAGUUUUGAUUAUAGAACUGUUAUUAAUUGGUUUAACCUUUUCUAUUAUUUAUAUUAUCUUCAUUAUAAAAAACAGUUUUGAAAUUUUUAAUUUUUAUGUAGAUUGUAAAUUUUCCAUUUUAGUUAAUUAAGUUUGUUAUUUAAAAAUCUUAACUCUUAAAUUCCAUUUAAUAAUUAAACAGUAAAUUUCAAGACAAAAAAUAAUUUUAAAUCUCCCUUAAUAUUUUUUCUUAUUCCAACCGAAGACAACUUUAAUGAAGAACUAGAUCAUUUUAAUGAAAUAAAAAAUAAUGAUAAUAAGGAUUAACUUUUUGUUUUAUUAAAUUUCCUGAUAAUUAAUUUAAUUUUUUACAAAAAGAAUAAUUUAUUUAUAAUUCAAGUUCAUCAUAAAGAGUAUUUUCAUUGAUCCUGUUAAAUUUGUUUUUUCCGUAAUAUAAUAGCUUCAAACUCCUAAAGUUGUGUAAGGAAAACACUUUUUCUUAUAACAUUUUGAUCAUUUAUAAUGAUUUGUGAUUGAUAUAUUUUAAAUAUAUUUUUAAAAAUAAAUUUAAACGGAUUAAUAGAAUAAUGACAUGGAUCUGCUGUAAAAGAUUGUUAUAUGAAAAAGUUAUUAAGGUAUCAAGAUCUGUUUGUGGAAAAUUUUAUAAAAAAAUUUAACAGAUAGAAAAUGUUUUUUUAAUAAUUAUUUUUUGACAAAUUUUUUACAUUAAAUUACGUGACAUUGUUGAUCCAUUUCAAAUAUAUAAAUCAAUAAAACAGUAAGACAUUAUAAAAAAAUUAUUAAAAAGAAAUUGUUAACUUAUAAUAAUAAUAAUAAUCCUUGAUAGAUUCAUUUCCUUUUAUAAUAGCUCGAAACUUCCUCAAGUUGAAUAUCAGUAUUUUUCGUCCUUUCAUUCCCUGAAAACUGUAAAGAACCAACUGAAGUAUUUCAAACUUCUUAACUCAGUUUUGAAAUAUUAUAACAAGUUGUUUAAAUCAAAAUCUAACCAUAGCUAAACUGGAGAAAAACUAACAACAAAUCAUAACAUAACAAACCUUCUGAAAAAGUUAAGCACAAUACAAGAAUACACACAGAGAGACAUUAUAACACUAUAUUAAGUUAAAAACAACCUAAAUUCAGAUAGAGAUGCUGUUGGGAAUUCCUCUAAAAGUCAACCCCGUUUCACUAGUAGGAAGAAGCAAAGUGUAAGGCAAUUCAGCUGGUCCAGUUCGAUUUUUAAGAUUUGGAUCAUGAUUCCUUUCUGAGAUUUUUGUCUCAAUCUCUUUUAGCCUUUUUCCAAACUUUUUAAAGGCUUCUAUAGCCCUUGAAUCGGAGGUCCAAUUUGGAUUGUCCCUCUGUCCAAGGUACACCUCAUCAGAAGCAUGUCUUGAUAAUAUCUCUAUCACUGAAAGGUCAACAAGAGCCUGAUACUUUGGUGUAAUCGUUCUCAAAUAAGCCUUUUGAGGAUUCUUUGUCAUCUCUUCAUAUUCUGGAGUUCCCUUUUCUGGAAUCAAUCUUCUGCUUAGAGUUGGACGAUUCAGGAUAAAGCCACCAUAAGGAUAUUGUCCAAAAUUAACUGCUGCAUGAAAAGCUGAAGCAAUCCAUAUGAUGGUACUACAAGAUCGAAUCAGCUCUUCACGACUGUGUAAUUUAGGCCACCAUGGCUUAUCUUUUAAGUCACCGUGACCCUUUUCAACAACUUCUUUCCACCAAGCUUGAAGUUCAAUAUCCUUUUUAACCGCAUCAUCUGUAACAUAAUACAACAAGACAUAUUCACGGACCCAUGUCUCGAUAGCGUUCCAUAUCUCUAAUCCAUCAACAGCAUACGGGUAGUCCUUUAUCACAAGACUAAGACCAUUUCGAGAAGAUGAAUCCUUAAUAGCCAUGCCUCUGAAUCAGGCAAAGAAAAACUGUUAUUAACAGCAAAUGUAGAAAAAUUGUAUGCGUUUUCACUAAGAAAGUGAGUUUUUAACAUUUAAGAAAGUGAGUUUUUGGCAUGCCUUAAGACCAACGAGAUACUAGGGAAUCAACCCUUUUGGAUUUGAAUGUAAAAAAUAAGACACUAAUUAGUAAAACUAUUCACAUAAAACCCUUGUUCCAUGUUCACAUAGCUUACCUCUUUAUAAGAUCAGUAGGUAAGGCUUGCUCAGGAAACACCCAAUUUUUGUAAGCUGCCGAAGAUAUCUCCACUGCAUACUUUCCACCCAAAAAGGAUUGCUCUAUAACGCCAUCGGCAUUGAUUAGUGAUUCCCGAGCAAGUGCAUUGAUAUUCAUUGUGUCACGAUAAUGAGGAAAUAGAAGUUUAUAAAUAGGAUGAAGAACACUGAGAUUUCUGUUUGUUGAUAUGACAAAGGGUUCGAUUACAGCAUGAGUAUUCAACCUGUGACCACGUUUAUAUAUAUGUAUAAGAAAAAGGGUUAGGAAUAAUUUUGUAUACAUAUAUUAAAACUGUGUGCAAUGAUUUUAGUGAGAGAGUUCAGACCAGUGGCUUAUGAGCUGAUGAUAGCAGGAAUCAUUCACAAUAACAUGAGCCUUGGCUAACAGCCAAAUUGUACUUUCAACUCCAAGUUUUGCGGGCAAUAUCACUUUACUGAUGGAACCACGUCGUUGUUCAACUGAAUUUGGCAAACUUAAUUCGAUGACCAAUGGCUUUAAGGUCCCAUCAUCUUUCAAGAAAAGGAUUGUCCUCGUGGCAUAAGCCUUUGUAUUUUUUAAUUCGUUUAGCCUUGUCAAAAACGGCAUAAACACAUCAUGGUGAUCUAAUAUGAACAGUCUCUUGCCUUCAAUUGCCUUAUCUACUGUGAACCCUUCAAGGUUAAUCUCCAAGUGUUGCUUAGUUAUUUUACUGGAUUGAUCACCAUAGAUGGAGGGAUCCAACUUGCUUUGAGGUGGAAACUCCUGUCAGUCAUUAAAGAAUAUUAUGAAGAAAGAUGACAGACAACUUCAACUCUCAAAGUAAAGAAUAGAACACUUGGACUUACUUUUAGACGGGUAAUCAAGCAAGGAUUUACACCUGCAAUCAUCUCUCUUGCAAAUUCUUCAUCGGUCAUCCAUGCAGAUUUACUAACUGCUCCAAAUAAAAAUGAAAAUAAUUUUCAAAGUUCAAUCAUGGUUUUGUUAAGAUUCACUGUAUAUGUUUGUGCAAAUAUAAAAGUCUACACAUAUGAAAACACCUCUGAUUACAUGAGGCACUGAAAACUGGAGGACGUUUUCACCAUCUGUGCGAAAGAUUUCUUUGAGCACAGGUAAAGGGCUAAUUUUGCAGAGUAGAUCUGUAUGCAGUUUAAUUCCACCUUCACAUAGUUGACGUACAUCUUCGAAGCUAUCAAACUCAUUUGGUGUGAAAUUCAGAUCAAAUGAAGAUCUGAGCAGUGGCAAGAAGUUUCGAGAUACAGCUUUUACCCCAUAAGUAAGGAAAUCAGAUGACUUCAAAUGACCGAAAUUUUCAUCUCUCGGAACGUAAAAAUUAUCGCUCAGUUUCUCACUGUUGGGAUCUGACAAGAGUGGAAUAAAGCUACAAAUUUAUGUCAAGAAGAACUACAGAAGAAAACAAAAUUAGGUUAUGUUCCUGAGAUAGAAAUGUAACCUUUUUUGGUAGGUUUUCUACCAGUUCUUCCUCUUCGAGGGUAGGGAUAAGUGACAGAUCCUCCAAGAACUGGGCGAGCAAGGUUUUCACUGCUGUCGGGUUUGCCCAAAUCAUUGUAAACAUCGUAAUCAUAAAUUCUGUCACAUUCCUUACGUUUUCCUGUUCCAUUUCCUCUUAGAGUCUGCAAUUCUGCCUCUCUGUAACUCACUAGUGGUCCUGGUGUUUCACUUGGAAUAUAUGUCUGCAACGUACAUUUCUUUAACGUUCAUAUCAAAACAAAAAUCUUGCAAACGAACUAGGUUAUACUUUUUCUUUUUUUUCAUGAUAAUCAAUAACCAACAUGCAUAUAUACUUGCUGAAAGUAACAGUUUACCUCGUUGGCAAAGAAAAUACGAUCCUUUUCGUAAUUUUUAUAGUUGUAAAGCCAAGAGUUACAAGAAAAGUGCAUGGUUCCAUGAUUAGGAAUAUCUUCAAGAGUUAAACUGACUAGGAAGAACUCAAGUUGCAUAUGAUUUUGUAUUAAAAAGGCUCCAGGAAUUCCCAUGUCACUGUCCCAUUCAAAAUGAAUAUCAAAUGCACAUUGGCCAGCUCCCAAAGUUGGUAUCGAGGUAAUAAUUCCUUCCAGAUAUGUCUUCUUUCCCACUUUUCCAUGUCCAUUUCC